AGUAAAUAAUCGCAACAAAGAUAGAACAGUAGAAUACAUAUUACUUAGAAUGGGAAAGCAACGGCCAUCUAACAAUUGCCCCUUUUUAUUAAAGUCCAAAUACAUUCAUAAUAAUACUUAAUAACAUUGCAGCAUCUCCAAGGAAAGGUAAGCAUCAAGUUGUAGUGGGUAUUUGAUUAUUUAGUUGGUAGCAAGGUAAGCAUCAAGUCCCAAUGAGAGCUUAGAAACAAAGUCCAGGUAAGCUUCCGGGGUAGGGAUGUUCUCGUCUGCCUUCUCGAACUCGAUCGUCCACUUCACGGUGGCGCUGCCGCUUUCUCCAUUGGGGGAGGCUUGGAACUUGGCUCUGAAAAAGUUGUAGUGGCUUAGUAUAUCUCCUUCAACAGCUUCGUAUGUGAUUGACUUGUUUUGUUCAUCCACAUCAUCCACUUUUGCCUUCACUUUUGCAGGGCCAACUGCAUCAAAAAUUACAACUCUUUUAACUUUAUUACCCAUUGUUUUAGCUAUCAAUCUUUCUUGAUUUGUUUUAACUAUUUGAUUUACUUCCACCCAUUUGUUUCUUUUUUCUUUUAUUAUAUACACACACCCACACACCCACACAAUUUUUUCUGAACUUCUUAAAAGCAGACGCCCUUUUCAAAUAAAUAACUAAUCUCGUUUUAUUUUUCUAAAUUAUCAAACUAGCUCUAUGAAAAAGAAUUUCUUUGUUUUUGAAAAUUGACUACGAAAUUAAAUGUUUAUACUAAAAUAGAUGAAGAUCAUAGCAAAAUUAAAAACGAAAAAAGAAAUAAUAAAUUAAAUAAUUAUUAACUUCCAUGUUUAGGGUCAAGUCAGAUAUAUAAGAUAUAACGAUAGCUAGUUUUGGUGUAAGAAAGUAUUAGAUAAUGUGGUUGACCGUCAAACAACUCUUGUAUUCUUUUUUUAUUAUUAUCUUGAGUUCAACUGCGAAUUUAAAAAAAGUUUAGAACAAUAGAGCAUAUGUGUUAUGAUAUGUGUUAUGGUGGGAGUAAGAACAUGAGCGGAUCUAUUAGGGGCUAGGGGCACGUGACCCUUACAUUAUCGGUUUUUGUAUUUUAAUAUUAAUUUUGAAGUGUUAAAUUACAAUAUAUCUUAAACAAUGUUUUAUUUUUACUAUAUUUUACCUUUUGGACGGUGGUUGUGCCCUCUUUAAAACCCCAAGGUAUUAGGUUCCCCUACAUAUGAUUUCUGGAUACACCACUGAGUAAGAGUAAGAAGCAAAUUAACUUGUAGGGUUUAGGGUUUAUAAAAGAGAACUAAAGUCAUCUAUGUUGUAUAAGCUCAUAAUUAUAUAGAUUAUCUUUUUAUUUGCAAAAUAAACGGAAAAAUAAACCCUAGUUCAAUGUUGGGACAGUUGGGAUUUGAAGCAGUAAUAUAUUGGUCGAGAAUGUAUAUUACAUUGAUUUGAUAAAUUUAAUGUGAAGUUUUGAAAUGAAGAAAGAAAGAAAGAAAGAAAGAAAGAAAGAAAGAAAGAAAGAAAGAAAGAAAGAAUAUGGCUUACCAAUAUCAUAAGACCACUGCAUGAGAGCGCCGGUAGUAAAGUCAUUUCCUUCAAGGAAUUCACAAGCAUGAAGGUUUUUGGGAAACAUUUGGGCCAAUUGGAACAUAUUUUUCCUAAAAAAACCAUAGAACUUCUCAGCACCACAUUUAAUUUGAACAUCAGCAGACACUUGGGAAAUUUGAGCCAUUUUUAUUUUAUUCUUAUAUGCAGAAAGAAAACAACUGAAAAAUAUUAUGAUUCUAGGAUGACUACCCCAAUGGAGGUUUUUAUAGUUGUUAUUGUGAUUCUUAUUAUUAUUUUUUUAUUGCAACUUGACUUUGCGACCACUCCAAAAAUUCUGCAUCCUUUAGUAUCUUCUUUCUUUCUUUCUUUCUUUCUUUCUUUGUUGUCUGUGACCUAACAAUUUGGAAUCUCUCAUAUGCUUUCACUCUUGACGUACACAAAUCUUUUAUCUUACUUUUUUUUCUUUCGGAUAAAGGAUAAAUUAACUUUUGGAGGUUGUGUCAAUUUCAUCAUCUUUCCUUAAGUUUCAAAUUACUUGGACAAUUAAAUCCCAUGUUCAUAAAAUGCUAAUCAACUAGGAGAAUAAAUACUGUGAUUAAUUAAAUUUCACUGUCUUUCAUCUCUAAAUUCAUUAUAUUAAUUCAUAGAAAUUAACAUAAAAAAAACAUUUGUCAGCUUAAUUUCCUAAUUUCAUUUUAUAAGUGAAAUUUAAUUCCCUACCCUUUAAUUGUGUAAUACAUACAUAUACAAACAUAGACACACACAUACAUCUAUACAUACAUGCAUAUAUCUAUAUAUCUACACGUGCACACAUACACAUGCACACACAGAAUUAAGAACGUUCAAUUUCCUACCCACCAGAUAUAAAUUUUGUUAUAGAUUUUAGAUGUCUAAUUCAUUUUAUCUCUUAUAACUUUCGACAAAAUCUAGAACUUACAUUUAACAUGCUUUUCUAUAACACUUAUGUAAACAUACCUUUCAUGAAUUAUUAUCACAUUUAAUAGUAGUACUCAUGAAAUUCUACACACAUAUAUAUACAUUAUAACACUAAUAACACACUUUCAAUUCAUAUGAACAUCCUAAUCCUGUGGUGGGGUUUGAAAUCUAUAUGAUAGACUCUAUGAACAAAAAAAGAUUUAAUUUAAUUAAAACAUACAUUCACAAAUUAAUGCAUAAUUAAUUAAUUAAGCAUACUAAAAUUGGACCAGUUUUGACAUAUCCUUAGACAAGCUUAACACAAUAAAUUAUUACAAUAAUAGUUCAUAAACCACCUCAAAUCGGACUCAAACACUUCAAACCAGCCAAAAAAAAAAAAAAAAUUCUAAAAACUCGAACCAACCUCCAAUAUAAACUCUAAAUCUAAUGUUUCUUGAGAAUUUCUAAGUUCAAAAGGUAACCCAAAGUUUAGUAUGAAGUUGUUGGGUUGGGUUGGUUGCUUGUUGAAGAAAGUAUGAAGGAUUGCCUUUAAGUAUUGGAGGCUUAAGAGGUUGGUGGCUAAGUGAAGAGAAGAAAGGGUUUUAGGGGUUUUGACAUGUUAGGUGGCAAAAGGAUGUCUUAAGAACCUCUAAUGGCAUGUCCUAGAUGGCCAAAGUGUCUAGGCACCAAACAAGCCUUUGUGAGCUUAGGAUGAGGCCUUGUAAAGUGUCUGAAGCGCUAUGCGAGUUGAGAACCUCCAUGUGCCAAAUCUAGGUAUUAUGACAAGCCAAGUGAAGUGCACGUGUGAUGAUCCAUGCGACCAAGAGCAAGGGGCUUUAUGAGAAGCUAGGGGGCAUGACCUUGUUAAAAGGUUAUGUGAGAUGAGUAAGGAAGCUAGGAAUUUUGGAAGACCCUUAGGCAUUCAAGGGAGGUCGGUGGAGUGGAAAACAAGUGUCCACAACAUGAAAAGUCACAAAAAUGGCGAGCAGAAGGUGUCACUCUCAACCAUGCAAAGAUCUUUAUAAGCAUGUCAAUUUCAUAAGAAGAAUGCUCUCAAACUACACAUGCUUUUCUCCCAUUUUUGUCUCAAAAGAAGCCUAAAGGAGUGUACUUUGUGAGGUAGGGCUUUGAUAACUUGUAAAAAUACUAGUUAUUAUAACAUUUUAGGUAGAAUAAUGGGACUAAAACACAUGGUAAAGUGUGCGAAAACACGUAACUUAUGUUGUAUAUACAUAAUUAUUUAGAAACACAUUUUACAUAAUCUUCAUGUCUGCUUUACCCCAUUUAUAGUGUCUAAAUGCAGGAUUAUUAACAAAAGAUAAGGUGGCAAAUGCAAAGAAACUUUCGCACAAAGACAAGACGAAAAGACCAAAUCACCACGCGAGAAGAGGUUUGCUAGAAGACAAAAGUGACAAUUAGAGUGAUGUGACUUGACGAAAAGGACAACUUUCGGUGCAAAUAUGGUCAAAAUGAUAGAUUUUCUGUCAAAAGAGGCCUAUAUAAAAAGCUCCAUCACCACCGAGAAAAUGAGGCAUGUAUGGGUCAUAAAGGCUAGAAAUCUACAUAGACCGGCUAACCUAGAGAGUUGGUGGCAAGGAUUAGCCUUACCACCAUCUGUGAAGUACAUCUUCAUCUUCUCUGGUUAGCCUAUGGAGUGAACGCCUAUAGUCUGAGUGAAAAAGAUCGCAUCCUCAUCUUCCCCUAACUUGUAUUAUCUUUUCUUUUCUUUUCAUUUUUGUAUUUCUUUACAUUGUAUAUGCUCAUAUUGUACAGUGGCCGAAGGACUACAUUUUUUAAUACAAUGUAUAUUUAUACCUCUUUCAAUCUAUCAAUCUAUGUACUGUUCAUUUGUCUUUGUUUAAUUUGUAGUUUAAGUCUAUGAUUCAUUCUUGAUAAUAAACUUUAUUUAUAAUGCUUAUCGUGUUAGCCGAGCUAUUUCAUCACUUGGCUAGUAUAUGUCGCCAACUACCUGAGAGGGUAAGUAGUAAGGACGUUGCUAACACGCAAAAGGAAGAGUUUUCUCACCUUAAUGAGAUGACUUUCAUCAUUUUGUAUCCUGAAAGGUGAACAAGUAUGGACAAUAAGUGCCAAGAGGUUGUUAUCCUUAAAGUGUAUUGAGCUUAGCAACUUGAGCAACAAGAAAUGAAUCAGAAAAAUUCUCCAAGGGACGUUGUAGAUGAAAAGAACAUCAUAGUAGUCUAUGUGUGGGAAUGGUUUACAUUCUUAGCGAAAGGAAUAUGAAAGACUAAUGUAUGUUUAUGUUUUAUGAAUGAGGUGUUGAAGCUUGUUUAAUGAAAAUGAUUUAUGUAUUGCGUGCUCAAAAGGUUUUUCUAAAACCAUUACUCACUAAGUAUUUGACUUACGUAUUUAAUUUUCCUUUCUCAGGUUACAAGGCCUCAAGACCAAAUUAAAAAAGUAAGGCAAAUUGUGAUCGAGACAUUUAAGUUGAAAUUGUCCAAGGCAUUUAAAGCUUUAUAUUAUAGCUUAUGUAUUUAAGGAAGCAUGUAUCAUUUGGAUUGUAUAUUGUUAAGAGAAAUUAUUUUUAUUUUGUUGCUUUAUGUUAUUCUUAUCGUUUAGUAGCUAAGGGAGAUAAGUUGAAUAAGGUGAUAAAAUUAAACCAAGAUUCAAUGACUUAAGUUGAGCGUUCUGGCGUUUCGUCUUGAGGCACCAAGACUGCUCAAGUCGCAUUGCGGCCGCAUCGCGAGAUAAUAGAAAGGAUUUUUCGGGUUUGUGUUCUUUGUCAAGUUUAUUUGUUUGUUUACUUUGUUCGUUUUAUGAUUUUCUAUGUUUAAGCGUUUGGAGAGAUUAGAGAUUUCUUCUAUCAUGCCUGUUUGUAUAUAAAUGUAUGAUUUGAGCAUGCCUGUUUGUUUGAUGAAUAAUGAAUUGAGCUACAUACUUAUUAAGGAAAAUUGGUUUUAUUCCUUGAAUUAAAUCUAAUUUGUGUGAUGAGGUUUGUGGGAAGAUGGCUCACUGAGCAUAGUUUCUUCAGUCAAAUACAAUACAUAUAUAGUGUUAUUCAUGAGAUCUACUUUUUUUUCUCGAUAAUAUUUUAUUUAUGGUAAGAAAUUACAAAAGAAAGGAAAAGCCCAAGUAGAGAAAUUUCAAAAGAACUUUCCAACUAGAAAAAGAAGAGUGAAAAAGAUAUAACGGUGGAAUAAGGGGAACAUUUAUACCAUUUCCCAACCUUAUUAACUGUUGUAUAAAAAACUAUAUAAGAUACUUUUUAUGGAAAGGGUUUGACAUGGGUAGUGGAAUUAGGAACAAUUGUAUCCUAAAUGCAUCUAACUCAUUUAGAAAUUAACAUGCAACGUUACUCUAAUUAAAUGAAAUUGAGAUUAAUAGAAAAAUACGUUGGAAGCUUCUCAAUUCUCGUAAUCUCCUCAUGAACGGGAAUCUAAGAUCACUAUUAGUAUUGAUACCCUAUUCUUUGGACUUAGAACCGGGUUGUAGGACACAAUAAAUGAAGGAAUUAAGAAAGAGAGAUGGAAUUUAGAUUAGAGUUCGAAGAACUUUAGGUAAAUUUUUCACUUAUUUGUUUUCAAUUUCAAAAUUUUAAAAAUGCCAAAAGUUUUUGCAAUUUUGUAAACAAGCCUUUAAACAGAGAAAGGACACGCAACUAUUGCAUGUAAAAAUUAGCCUAGGUUCAACGCCUCACUUCCAUUAACCAUUAGUGAAAGUUAGUGGACUAGUUAUUUACAUCCCAUUUAGCCACAUAUUCCACCAUAUGUUAGUGAGAUUAUCCAACAAAGUGUUGUAUUUCUCAAUAACUUUAGUCAAAUGACCAUAUUCAAAGCCCAAUAUGAUCAUUUGACCAGUCAAAGUCAAAAGUCAACAUUUUGAAAUUUUACCAUUUUGUUCGUUUUGACUAAUUCUGAUCUCCCAAACACGAACUUCAUUUUUUUGAAAUUCAAAUUACAUUUGAAUCUAUAGUUGGUCAAAAUUCGACUGUUCAAAGUCAAAAGUCAACCUUUUUUCUUUUUUAAAUUUUGACUAUUUCCAUCAUAUUCAAGCUUUUGAACAUGAAUAUGAAUUCAUAAUUUUUAUAUUUAAAUCGCAUUUAAACACAAAAUUCUAUCUCAAAUUGAUAACCAACGAUUAUAGCACAUAUAUUUGUUUGUUUCUCUCUUUACCUAUUCGAACAAUUCAAAAUUUUCAUCAUACUCUUUUAAUUAGUUUAUUCCAUAUGAGCUAGUAGAGGAACUAAUGGACCUAUAGAUCAUGGGCUCCAACAAACCGAAAUUAGUGGCUAAAUUGUUCUAGAUCAAGCUAAUCAACAUUUGUUAACUAAUGGGUCAUUGCACUAAAGUCUCGUAGUUGCACUCACCUCAUUAUAGAUAUAUUUAUGACAAUUUUAUAUAACUAUGAUUAGUAAUUUAAUCAUUCACAGGUUGUUCAUAACCUCAGCUGGGUCAAAAUACCAUUUUACGCACGAUACUACAUCUUGCUCCUUAAGUCCCACUGAUCCACCUAUUGAACAACUGGUUUAAGGUGGACCUAUAAACUAAAUCUCUCUCAGGUGAGAGGGUGAGGUCUCUUGUUCUAGACUUGGAUCUAGUCCUUAAGGGAACAAACUAUCUACUGACCUUAAAGCAGGUAAUAGUGAAUUUUUUCUUGCACCCUAUGUCCCAAAGCUAUCUACCUAGUCUUACCCUCUAAUAUUGGAGGUUUAUUAGACAAACUUUGUUCAGCUGCCCUCAUCUAUGUAGAUCUAAGGAUAAUUUUGUGUGAAUAGAAGUUCAUAGUUAGCUUAGGAUUAAGAUGAAGUUACCAAAAUAAUCAAUAAUAAAAAAGUUUGUUCAUACGGUCAACAGUGUGAUAACGUAAAAGUGACUAUUUCAUGAUGCCAAUCUUAUGUAAACUCUUUACAUAGGAUUUUCUCACUUUUAUGUCUCCACAUGAAUGAUUCAAGAUCACAUCAUUUGUACUAACUACAGAACGACAUGCAACUAUAGUAUCGCAAAAUAAGACGCUUAAGCUAAUACAUAUAUAUACUCAUGGCUAACAUUUAUAAAUAGAAACAUAAUUUAUGGCCCAAUUUGAUUUUAGAUUAUCCAAUAUAAAAUAACCUUAGUUUAAUGUGGGGAUAAAUUGGGAUUUGAAGCACUAAUCUGUUGGUGGAGAAUGUAUAUUACAUUGGUUCAAUAAAUUUAAUAUAAAGUUCUGAAAUGAAAGAAAAAGAGAGAAUAUGGCUUACCAAUAUCAUAAGACCACUGUAUGAGAGCAACAGUUAUAAAGUCAUUUCCUUCAAGGAAUUCACAAGUAUGAAGGUAUCUUUUUGGGCCAAUGGGAACAUAUCUUUCCUAAAAAAGCCAUAGAAUUUCUCAGUACAACAUUUUAUCUGAACAUCAGCAGACAGAUGGGAAAUUUGAGCCAUUUUUAUUUUAGUUUUAUAUGAAGAAAUUAAAAACCAUAAUAAUGUUAUGAUUUUAGGAGAACUAGCCCAAUGAAGGUCUUCAUUGUCCUUGUUAUUAUUGCUGUUAUUUUGUUUUGUAGACAAUAUAUGUUGCAACUUGAUUUUGUGACCACUCCAAAAUUCGCAUCCUUUAGUAUCUUUUUUAUUUCUUUUGUCUCCAACCUAACAAUUUGCAAAUAUUCAUAUGCUUCUAUUCUUUUUAUCUUUUUUUUUUUUUUCAUUUGAAAAGUUUAGUUUUACAAGUUUGUGCCAUCCAUACUGAAGUUGAAAAGAAGUCAAAAAGACUUACCAGAAGAAUAGCAAAAUGGAAGCUAGGUUUACUUUGAAUAAAUCACAAUUUUUUAUUUAAAUUAAUAAAAUAGCAAAAUCAAAAAAUAUGAAAAAUAUUGUUGGAACAAUGCAUCAAAUGUCCGUGCUAAGUAAAAAAAUUGAAUCCUAAAUACAAUUAUUCAAGAAACCACAAAUACUCUAUAAUUAAAAUCAAACUCCCAACAUACAAUUAACACCUAUCACCAUCAAAGUUCCACAUAAUUUAUGUUGCUUUUUCAUAUCUUCUUCAAAUCGUGUGAGUUUACACUACAAGAAAUCAAAGGAAUUCUGACGCGACAUAGACAUCGGUGAAAAGGGACGUCGGAGUUGACCAACUAUCGCCGAUGUAACUUUCCUUGCGUCGGCGAACGGUAUCUUCCUCGACAUAUAAGAAGUAGACGUUGGAGAAAGUAUAAAUAUUAAUUUAAUAUUGAAACUUUCCCCGACGGAGGGCACAAGAACGUUGGGGAAAAGUGAAUUUAAAAUUAAUACGUCAACUUUUCUCAACAUGUGGUAGAGAGACAUCGAAAAAAGGUUAAACAUGAAAUUAAUUUUUAACGUUUCCUCGACGUCCCUCUGUCAUACGCCAGGGAAAGUUGACGUAUUGAAAUGACUAUUUUAACUUUCCCUGAUGUGUGGAAGUGUGACGUCGGAAAAAGGUUAAAUAAUUAAUAUAAAAUUUCACAUUUUCCCGACAUUAUUAGUAACAAUGUUGGGAAAAGCAGACUAAGACGUCGGAGAAAAUUGUCUCUAUUUGUUCCUCUACAACACAUAACAUAAUGCAAAAAAAAAAAAAAAAAAAAAAGAAGAAGAAGAGAAAGGAAAAUAGGUCAAGAGAGAGGGUUUAGGGUGGUUAUUUACUGAAUUGAAGGUUGAGGGAGAAGGUGUUUAUUGAACUUGAGAUUAUGGGGUGUUUAUUGAAUUCGAUAUCAAAUAUGAAUUUCACUUUCAAAUUGAAUUUGAAUUUUUGAAAAUGUUAAAUACCCAACCUAAAAAUGUUUACGUAUUUGGGAGGCGUCUUCAUACACCAUUGAAGUGAUCAGGGUGUUUAAAAUGUUAGAUAGUUAAUGGGAGAUUGGACAUAACUUAUUCAUAGAGUAAGUUUAAGUAGUUUGAGUAUUUGAGAGAAUAGGUAUAAAGCUAAUUCAACAUAUUUAUUUGUUGGGACUUUUAAGGAGAUGAAUAAGAGUUGGGUGAAACCUAGAGAUAGGCUUUUUGUUGAAUACAGAGAAGAAAUUUUUUAAUUUUUAGAGGUUGCAAAAGAUCACACAAAUAAUUGCAGAAAAAUAAGGUGUUCAUGCAAGAAAUGUACAAAUUCAAAUUGAGACUCAUUAGAGAGUGUGAAGCAACAUCUAUUAACCACUGAAAUAGCCUUCUCCUAUAUAAACUGGGUGUAUCAUGGAGAGUCCGUAAACUUGCACAGAGUGCAAAGAUUUGAUGAAGGAACAAGUAGUAGUAAUCUUUUUUUUUUUAUCAAAGAACUAGCAGUAACCUACUUACUAAAGAAAAUGAAAUGUUGGGUAUGUUGCAUGAUUUACAAGCUGACAUUGAACACAUAGAAGAAAUGGAUGAAGGUUUAGACAAUGAAACGUCAUUUAACAAUAGGGUAGAUUUAGAAGAAGACAGAACAAACAUGGUAUUUAAGAAGUUAUUAAAUCAAGCAAGUCGUGAGCUAUACCCCAGUUGUUCGGAAUUUUCGUCAUUGAACUUUUUGGUUAAGAUGAUGCAUGUGAAGGUUCUAAAUGAUUAGAGCAACAAGUCCUUUGAUAUGAUGUUAGAGUUAAUAAAACUUGUGUUUCCAAUGUGUACUACCCUCCCUAGUUCAUUCAAUGAAGCUAAACAAAAAUUGUGUGAUUUGGGCCUAGGGUACAAGACUAUUCAUGCUUGUAAGUAUGAUUGUGUAUUGUUCUGGAAGGAGUUUGAGGAUUUGAAAUAAUGUUCGACUUGUGAUGAGUCUUGAUAUAAGAUUAAUUCUAAUAAAUGAGGAAAGAAAAUUUCACAAAAAGUAUUGUGUUACAAAUUUCACAAAAAGUAUUGUGUUACUUUCCGAUAGUGCUAAGAUUACACCAAUUGUUUGUACUGCAGAAAGUUCAGCAGAUAUGCGAUGACAUAAGGAUAAACUAGCGAAAAUAGAGAAUGUGUUGAGACAUCCAAUCAAUGUAGAGGGAUGGAAGUACUUUGAUUCUGAAUUUUCUGAUUUUGCUUUAGAACCACGAAAUGUUCGUUUGGGGUUAGCUUCAGAUGGAUUCAAUUUUUUCGGUCAUAUGAGUAUCAUAUAAUAUGUGGCAUGUGGUGUUAAUUUUCUAUAAUUUUCCACCAUGGAAAUGCAUGAAAGAGUCAAGCUUCUUCAUGUCAAUUCUCAUUCCCGGUCCAAAAUCUCCUGGUAGAGAAAUUGAUGUGACCUACAACCAUUAAUUGAAGAACUAAAAAAUCUAUAGACGUUUGGUGUGCGUACAUAUGGUUGUCUGACGAAUCAAAUGUUUUCAGUUUUAUACAGUCUUGUUGUGGAUAAUUAAUGACUUUUCGGCAUAUGGUGAUCUAUCUGGUUGGAGUACAAAGGGGUAUCAGAUAUGUCCCAUUUGCAUGGGGGAUAGAUCAUCAUUCGAAAUACAAAAAAUUAGGCUACAUGAUGGAAAGGUAGAGUGUAAAUCACCUCUAGUGGUAAUGAAUGGUCAAGAAAUCUUAGAACAACUAAGAUUCGUUGGAGUUUCUAGUCAUGAGUAAGCAUCAUUCGUGAAAAUAUAGAAAAAAAGAGCUCUUAAUUGGACUAAAAAAAGUAUUUUUUCGAUCUUCCUUAUUAAUCGAAACUACUUAUUUAUCACAAACUUAAUGUAAUGCAGAUUGAAAAGAAUGUUUGUGACAACUUGGUUAGUACGUUGUUGAGUAUUGAAUAAAAAGAAAAGAUACCAUGAAUGUCCGAUUAGAUUUACAAGAUUUGAAGAUAAGAAAAGAUUUAUAUUUUGUAGAAGUGGGUAACCGAUUGGUGAAACCACGUGCGAGCUAUACGUUGACUAACAACGAGCAUGUUGAGUUCUGUAAGUUCUUGAAAGCAGUUAAGUUUUUCGAUGGAUUGGUUUCUAAUAUUUCACGAUGUGUGAAUGCAAAGGAGGGAAAAAUAUAAGGUCUCAAAACACACAAUUGUCAUGUUCCGCUACGCCGACUUCUUCCAAUCGAUGUUUGAGCAUUUUUUUCCAAAAUGUGUACACUGUAAUUACUGAAUUGUGCAGUUUUUUCUGUGAUUUGUGUGCGAGAACAUCAAGAAUAAGUGAUUUGACAGAUUACAGUCAAAUAUUAUAUAUUGUGCAAAUUGGAAAUAAUAUUUUCACCUACUUUUUUUAGCAUCAUAGUACACCUUGUAGUUCACUUGCCAAAUGAGACGAAGGUUACUGGUUCGGUUUCUUAUAGUUGGAUGUAUCCCAUUGAAAGAGGUCUUCACACACUAAAACAAUAUGUUCGUAACAAAGCACGUCGUGAAUGGUCUAUUGCAGAAGGAUAUCUUAUGAACGAAUCAAGUGCGUCAUGUCACGGACAACUUCAUAAACGAUGAAGAUGACGGACAAUUAUCAUCACAUUAAAGUGGGUCAAGCGAUGAUGAAUAACAAUAUUUUUUUACGUAUACACAUUAGUCAUUUUUCUAUACAUUAGUUACAUUCCGAUACUCACAUUUGUUUAAUGAUUGUUAAUUUUUAUGUCUACAGAAAUGAUGUGUAACUUUCUGAGCAGUGCUCAUGAGGCUGACUAUUUCCUUGAUUUAGACGCAUUAGAUAACUCGGGCGAUUUAUCUUCAGUGGGCGACACUUCAUGUUCGUAAUAACGAGCAUUUUCAAUAUAUCCCUCUCAACUGGAUUCCACUCCCACUACGAUGAGAGUACGAAAACUUCAUAAAACAUAGAUGUCGAGAGAUACAUACAGCAGAAUGGGAGAAUCCCCAUUUCAAUCCUCCCUAGAGGGGACAGAUUUGUAUCACCACACACCCCUCAUUUCAACUGCACGAUUGAUGUGUUGACGCGAGACACGUUUCCGAUUCAGGCCCUGAAGUGGAUAAAUAUACCACGAGAGUGCAUCGAGGUCGUCAAGGGCGGCCUGGUGGUAAGUCUGUAAAUUCAUAAUUACUUAUAUAUGUUUCAAUUAUCUACAUACAUAUGUAAAAGACUGACUUGAAACAUAUUUCUUUUGUAGCAAUUUUUCGUGUUCAAUCUAAAUGAUCCAACAAUUAAUCGGUUUGUUGAGCAUCAAAUGCUCACCUUGUGAAAAGAAUUCAUGAGAGAUAACCACUGACAUUUCAAGAAGUUUAGCCACCCUGAACAACCACGGGCAAACCCACCCCUGAGAUUGGUCAAUCGGGUGCAAGAUUGACACUUUCUCUGUGACCACUACAUCACUCGACCGUUUCUUGUGAUUUAUAUAGUUUUACGUUGAAAUCAAUUAAUAUUUAUUUAGUUUGAAAGUAUAACAUUUUGAUCAUUGUCAUUUUUGGAAUGUAGGAGCAAUCAAAUAUGUGCAAGGCUGUUAGGGUGCAACAACCUUACAACCACAGGAGCUGCACAAAGUCGUUCCUUCAAAGACAAAUAAAGCUCAUUGAACUACGCGGUCGUCUGGUAAAUCGUGUCGAGUUAUUUAGAGAAACGCACGCCAGUAGUAUUGGCGAGUUCGUUUCACCAGUAGCAGAGGAUGCUUUUGUAAGUUUAGAAAACUUUUUGUUUUCUUAUACUUUCAAUUAUGUUUUUAAGUCUGAUCAUUUUUCAAACUUACAAGUUUCUAUUAUGCAGAAUCAAAUGGUGGAGCUUCAGUCUCAACUCGUCCCAAAGAGUUCUCAACCACUAUCUAAGGACGAAAUAUGCGAGAUCAUUUUGGGUACACGAUCGGGCUACUCAAAAGGUCUUGGUUGGGGUCGAAAACCCAAGUCUAGGAUGAGUUCCGCUUCAUCUUCUUCCUCCAAUAUGUAUGAUCACCCAUGCACAUAUGACGGAGGUUAGCGAACUAAAGGUGAGCCUUGAAAAUGCUAACCGCAAGAUUAAAGAACAACGCCUAAGGGAGGAGGAGCGAGAUCGAAAAAUGGCGGACCAUGCGCAACAAAUGAAGGAGAUGAAAAAGAUGAUCGAGGAGAUGAGUCGGACAUAAAAAUGGUCAUGAUCACUUGGGGUACGUACUUUUCAAUAUUUAGUUUGUUUAAUUUUUUAUGUGUGAUAUUCUAACUCUAAUUUUAUGUCAUUUGUAGGUUUGGCUUUCGUAACUAGAGCAUAGUACAUAGCUUUCAUUUUUUUUUUAUGUUAAUGUAAUUGUUUUUGUAUUGAACAUCUUUUAUGUACAUUUUUUGUAAUUAAUUGAAAUAUUUUACUUUUCAUAAUUUACUGCAAAUUUUGUUAAUGUUGCGAAGUGGAACGAAAACCAAUAAUUACAAAAGAAAAAAGGAAAACGAAAAAAAGAAAAAAACUAAUAAAUUAACUAACAAAAAAAUAUUGAAAGCCUUCCCCGACCCACCUUGCACGUCCGGAAAAACCCGUCUCCAACAUGUAUCAAAAACGUUGGGGAAGGCUUUCCCUGACGUGCUAACAACACGUUGGGGAUAUAUUUUUGCCAAUGUGUCGUUGUGCGCUAGUGAAGGUUUCUCCAUUGUCGACGUGAUGUGCAUAGGGAAAGUAUCCCUGGCGUGCUUAUGUGCUUUCCCUUAUGUACCUUUCAACGUCAACUUCCUUGACAUUUUUCGUGUAUUUGUCGACGUAGAGCUGCAUCGGGAAAGGUUCUAUUUCUUGUAGUGUUAGGCAUUCAAACGUUCAGACAUAAACGAUUGGAGCUUCCAGUUUCUUCCCCUUCAAACCCUUUAAAGUUUUCAUACAUUUGGCGCAAAUCAAUGAAUUUUCUUCUUGUCGGCUCAUCUAACUGAAGACCCAUGUGUCGAACAACCCACUGUAAAUCCCAAGAAGAACCACGACUGAAAAAAAUACCCACGACAAAAUUCAUCGUGAAACUCAUCGAAAACGUCGCUUGACCCUUUUUAUCCUUUUGCCCAUGGCUAAACUCGUGAAAGGCAAAUAAAUUCAACUCCAUCAAACACCGUUAAACGCUGCUCGAAAAAGCUCGUCAUCGCUAACGUCGAAACUCCAACGUCUUCUUCUCGAUUGGCCACAAUUUUUUCCUAUUUUGUUUGCAAGAAAAAUUUUCUCUCUGCCACUAUGUUUGUCACUUGCAUCGGUUGCCCCCCUCUCAACCUUCUUUUCUUUCUCAAAUAAAACCUAAAAGAAGAUGAUUCAACUAAUUGCAAAAUAACAUUGAGGUAUAAUUACAAUUGUAAAAUUUAAAUUCAAAUUAUUGUUAUUAAAAAUAUAUAUUAUAUAUUGUUUAAUAAAUUAUGUAAAGUAUAAAAAAGCUGAAAAGUCUUGUAUUUAUAUUUGGCAUUAUUUUAGAGGAGAAUCUAAAAUUUAAAUUCAAAUUGUUAUUAAAAAUAUAUAUUAUGUAUUAUUUAAUAAAUUGUUUAAAAUAUAACAAAAUUGAAAAACUUGUAUAUAUAUUUGUAUUAUUAUAUAGGAGGUUGCUACAAUCUUGUCUAGCAAUAAAAUAACAGAUUUAGUUAUAAUUUACUAAAUUUGAAUGGUGUUCGCACCAUACAUUGUCUUCGUGCUAUUUUCAGUAUGCUGCCUCAUUUUUUGAACUACUCAAAUAGACUGUAUUUGGAAUAUAUGAAUUAUCGUAUACCAGGGAAUGAUACUAUAUCUUGAUGACCAUUUUUUUUACCUUUUUGUGUGUGUCUCAAAUCUAUUGUUUAUAACAUCUUUCAUACUCGACAUAUACUAUGUUUAAGAAAUCUUAAUUCUGUUGGUUAUUAUAAAGUUUGGUUAGUUAAACAAGUGUGAUUAUGAUUCAAUGACACUAUUUAAGAAAUCGUUCUUAUUGUUGGUUUUGUGACAAAUUCAUCUUAAUGUUAAGUUUUUUGGAUGGAAAAAGUAUAUGAUUAUAUGAGCAAAUAAAUAUUAAUAUUUGAAUAUUUGAUCAAGAUAUAGAAAACAAAUAGCUUAUCAGAUUAUUUAAAAACAUAAAUUACAAUAUAAUUGUAUCAGCAACAUAUAAUUGUAUCAGCAACAUAUGUUAUACAUUGUAUCUAAUAUUGUAAAAUUAUUAUGUAGUAUUGUCAUGUAGUAUAUACAAAUACAUUGCAACUCCAUAGAAAAUCAACGUAAUCAAACCUGACUAAUUUAACCAAUAAAUCGAUUUUGUUAAAUUAAAAAAAGAAUAAACAAAUGAAACAAAUUGAAUAUAUUCAAACUUAUACUUUCCUUAUAUUUUUCAAAUGAAUAUUUUCAAGUAGGUUAAUGAAAUAUAUUUAUUUACUAAUCAUAAAAAUAUGUUUAAAUGGCUCAAUAAAAUAUUUUGGAUUAAAUCUAAUUUAUUAAUUUCUUUUGUUAAUAAAUAAUAAAUUUGGAGAUUAUCGAAACAAAUUAAAACUAAUAAAAUAUUUUUCUAUAUGAGACUAAAUGGUUGUUACGAAAAAAAUACUACUAAUAAAAUUCCAAUUUCAAAUUUCAAAUUGACACAUUUAUCUCAAGUUUGUAAUAAAAAGUUAAUUAAUUUUUUAGAAAACUAAUUAAUGUUUACGUUUGGAAUGAAAUGUAUACAUCAACGACACGAUAAUCAAUAUAUCGAAAAGAAUAUAAUUUAACGUACUAUGUAUAUAUGCUUGAAAUGGAACGUAUACAUCAACAUAAUAUAAUAAUGUACUACGUAUAUACAUUUAAAUAUAUAAUUUAUAUUUAUUUUUUUAUACAAUUGGCACAUUGAUAUAAUUUUUUAAAAUAAAAAUAAACAAAAAUAAAUGGUUAAUCAUAAUGAGGAGAGAUGAUAUAAAAUUUAAAUUCAAAUAGUUAUAAAAAUAUAUAUGGUAUAUUUAAUAAGUUUUGUAUAAAUAGUUUGAAAUAUAAAAAUCUAAAAAUGUUAGAAUUUAUGUUUGCCUAAAAUUUGAAUUCAAAAUUUUAUUUAACAUAUAUAUUAUGAAUUAACCAAAAUAAAUUAUUAAUUAAUGGUUUAAAAUAGGGCUGUAUAUCUUAUUAUUUCCAACUUUUGUUAAUUUUUCAGUUUGCUGUAUAAAAAUUUGCUAUUUGUCCAGUUAUUUAAUUUCAAACUUGGACCAUGAAAUCCCAAGUUCAGAAAAUGCUAAUCAAUUAUGUAUGCGGUUCUUACUACUUUAAAAGCAUAAAAAUUUUGAUUAAUUAAAUUUUACUAUUUUUUAUCACUAUUAAAAUUCAUUUUAUAAUUUUACUUUUUUUUAAUUAUUUAAAUUCGUUAAUAGAAACAAAUGUCAUAGUUAAAAUUGCGCAAAUAAGCUUAGGGUGUGUUCAGAUUAUAUAUGAAAAACAACCCUUAUUUGGUUAGAUUAUUUUAUAAGUAUUUAUGUACAUAAUUUUGUUUAAAAUCUAUUUUCUCAAAAUUUGGUUUUGAGUGUUUUUUUUUAAAAUAAAUCAUUUAUAAAUUUCAUUUUUUAAAAUGUAUUUUGAAAAGUUAUUACCAAACACCUCAAGUUUUUUUUGGUAUAAUUUGAAUUAGUUAAGUAUAUAGUUGAUUUGGGAUCUUGAAAUUAAAAGUUGGUUUUAGUGGAAGUUUAAAUUAAUUGAGUAUAUACGGAUAGGUAAGUAUAUUUAAUUAAAAAUUAGGAUUUUGAGUGGAAUAUGAUUUUAGUUAUUUUGAUUUUGUAUAAAUAGUUAAUACAAAAAAGUGAAGUUAAUUAUAUGAUGAAAUAUAAUUAUAAUGGUUGGAAAUGAAAAUAAUUAUUGGGAGAGAAGAUUGAUUUGAUUAGAUGGAAAUGGAAAUGGAUGAUGAAUUUAGUUAUAAGACGGAAGAAAAGUUUAAAAAAUGUUUAUUAUAUAUGAUUAGAAUGAUGAAUUAGCGUUAUUAUUGUUGCUAAAGAAGUGUCACAGAAGUAAAAAGGUAACCUUUUAAAUCAUUUAUUAUUUAUUAUAAUAUAGUUUUGUCUUUCAAAUAAAUACUUUUACGGAGUUGUAAAGAAAUUAAUGGUUUUUCUUUGUUUCUUCUUCUUCCGUUUUUUGGGUGGUUAUUUAAGUUGUUCAAGGUGAAUUUUCUUAUUUCUCUUUUCUUUUUUAUUACAUUUUAUUUUAAGAUUUGAAUUGUUCCAUUGCAACAAAUUUGUAAAGUUGUUUUUUAAAAAAUUAUUUCUAGAUGACAUUUAGAACUAUAUUUUUUCGUGCAUAGUUAAUGUGAAUAUGUGAUCCACGAUUUUUUCCAGCAACAUUCAUAUAAAUUGUUACAAUGUAUCAAGAACGAAGAAUAAGUGGAUGUUUUUAGACCCAUUAUUAUUGUUGAAGAAGUAAAUGAUCUCUUUUUAUAUGUUAAUUUUACUUCUAAAUUAAAGUUGCAGUUAAAUCUCAUUUUAAAUUACUCUUGGUGAUGAAAAGAACAAUAACUCAUUUGUCAUCAAAAUGUAUCAAGAUCUAUAAAGUUUAUAGUUCGAAUCUCCUAUUCAAUUAUACUAAAAAAAAUUACUCUUAAUAAUACAUAUUAUUUUGUUUAGUAAUUUUUAAAUAUAAAAAGCCAACAAUAUAAUUUUUAUACGCGCAACCGACGUGAAUAUUUUCUAGUUAUGUGAAGUUGAUGUUUUGGAUGAGUUUGGGAUCUUUUUAGAUGGGUUUUGAAGUGCCCAUUAAAGCUUAAUCAAAGUUCUAAUAAAAAAUUAUUUUUUGAAUUAAUUUGGAUGUUUCUUUUUUAUUGAAGUAAUUGGGGACUUUUUUCAUCUAAUUUGUGGACCUUUCACCCACGUUUGAAAUUAUUUUUCAACCUCCCUUUGGAUAAGUUUGGUAAGCUAGAUAAUUAAUUAGUAAUUUGUUGGCAAAAUUGUUAAUUUGAUUUUAGUUAUGCAUAUAUGAAAUUGUGGAUUAGUUUACAACAAUAAACUUAGCAUAACCUAAUCUAAGGGUUUUACAACUUGAAUCUCCGAUUGAGGUUUGGAUUACUGUGUAAUAAGGAUAAUACAACUAUAUGCAUAGUUUGUGAUGGUAAAUUAUCUGUAUAGUCCAAGGUUACUGUUAAAUUGUGAAGGUAGUCAUUGGAUUAGGCUAAGUGUAAAAGAUAAUUAUUUUCAUAUGCUUACUGUGGGAAUUGCCUAUACUUGUUGUGAAGUAUAAUGAUUAUUUUUACUCCUGCUAUGGAUUACUUGUAUGGUAUGUAGUGAAUUAAACUGUGAUAGUUUACUGUGAGUCCAUUACUGAUGAAUUAUUUACUUAGCUUAUGGGUUCUUUUGAUAAUCGUUAUGUGGAGUUAUUUGCAUAGAAUAUGGGUUACUGUAAUAAUUGUGAUGGUUACUAUGGAUUUGGUAUAAGGCUAUUGUAGAAUGUGUAAAGGGCAAUGAUUUGCAUAACAUAUGGUUACUUGAGAAUGCUUUUAUUAAGUAAAAUAAUUAAUUGUUUUCCUUAUGGGUAGAUUAAUUUGUGGUUUAAUUUGCAUCAAGGAGUUUUGAAAAAUAAUUUAAUUCUAUAUUGAGGUAAAAGAUUUUACUGUCGGACCUUCAAAUGAAAAUUUAAGAGUUUGCAUGUGUUGAUAGACUAUGCAUUGACAAUGGCUAAAGUGCAUAGAUGAGUUGUUGUAGUUGUUGGCUAAUCUUAUGUGACGUUUAUGCAUGUUUGGAUUAUAUGCUUAUGACAGUUACGACUAAUGUUUAGGUUGACUGUUACACGUUUAUUGAACUGAUGAUUAGCUUUGGCUAUUAGGUUUAGGUUGUUAUAUAAAAGUUGAGAAAUCGCUUAAUAAAGGUUGAACGAUUGUUUAAUAAAAGAUUGAUCACUUAAAAAAGAUGAGAGAUUGCUUAACAAAAAAGUUGAGUGAUUUUUUUAAUAAAAGAUGAGAAAUAAUUGCUUAAUAAAAGAUGAGAGAUCGCUUAAUAAAAGUUGAGCGAUUGUUUAAUAAAAGAUGAACGAUCAUUUAACAAAAAAUGAGAGUCCAAUUAAUAAAAGGAUGAGAUAUCGUUUAAUAAAAUUUGGGACAUAUCGUUUAGUAAAAAGUUGAGAGAUUGUUUAAUAAAAGUUGAGAAUUCAUUUAAUAAAAAUUGGGUAUCAAAUAGUUUAACAAAGAUUUACGAAAUAACAAUUUACACGAUCUUGGUUCAAGAUCGUGUAUCAAAUAUUGAAGAUCUUGGUACACGAUCUUGAACAAAAAUUAUUUAGAUUUUGGUACAUGGAUUGUGUACCAAAUUUUAAUAAUAUUGAUAUAUGAUAUUGUACUAAAUAUAAAUUACCUUAGUACACAAUCGUGAAACAAGAUUGUUUACAUUUGGUACACGAUCAUUUAGAUCUUGAACACAAUAGUAUACCAAUAUCCAAAUGAUCUUCAUUUACGAUCGUGUACCAAAAUCAUUUAGAACUGACACAAGAUCAUGUAUUAAGAUCGUAUACUAAUAUUUGAAUGAUUGUAUAUCAUUUUCUACAUGAUAGUGUAUCAUGAUCAUUUUGAAAAAGAAUUACAUGCACAUGUGUGGCUGAUGUUAUACUAUCUACAUGAUUCUGCACGAUCGCGUAUCAUGAUCAUUCUAAAGAAGAAUUACAUGCACAUGUGUGGCUGAUGUUAUACUAGUACAAAAGUGGUCUACGACGACAGUUAUUUACUGUCGCGAACGGAUUUCGUGACAGUUAUUUUCAGUCAUAGAAGCGGGAGUCAUGGAAAGGCCUUCGACGACAGUUUUUGAAAACUGUCGCAAUAGGUUAUUUUAUGACAUGAAAUAAAUGUCGUUAAUCAACAUUCAACGACAUUCAAUAACUGUCAUAAUUUAUUUUAUGACAUUCAAUAACUAUCAUCAUUUCUUUAUUAACGACAGUUAAAUAAUUGUCACGAAUUCUAUUAUCGUGACAUGUAUUAAUUGUCAUGAAUAUGUUUUUUCGCGACGACAGUUUUUUUUGUAAAAAUGUCAUUGUUUAGUUAUUGACGACAUUUUUUUUCCAGUCAACGAUUGUGCAAUCGUGACAGUUUUUCGAUAACAUUAAAUGUCAUUGUUUUGCUAGUGACGACAUUUUUUUCCAGUCAAAUAUAUUGCAACUCCACCAUUACACGAACCAUUAGAAUGACAAUAAUGUAGCUGAGAAUGACAAAUUUGAAAUUAUACAAGUUUCACACCAAUGUACAAAAAAAUAGCCAACACUUUAAUAUAUAUACACUAUAAUACGAUUUAUAAUAUUUGUACAUCUUAAUACAAGUUUCAAUAAUCCACAUAUACGAAAUACUAGCCCUUAAUCAAAAUAUAUUUUAAAUAGCAUUAGAAUACAUCUAACAAGAUUUUCUGCAGAAGCAUAAACGACCAACCGAGAAUGUUCGUCUCUGAAAAUGUUCUUUGAAAGAAAACUCAUGAAGUUGUCGACUCCAGUUGAACCUACAAAGACAACAUGAAUAUAAGUAUCCAUAACACAUACGUACAGUCAAUGAGUAACUAAAUCAAUGUCUCAACAAAAUACAGAACACAAACAAGAACUUCAACACUUGAUUCCAUGAAAUGAAAAGAAGCACGUGAGGACUACAUUAGGCAAACGAUAUCGUUUAGACAUACGUACAUGUGUGCGUGUGGCCGAUUAGUCGCAUGUUGGAAGAAAAAUGAUAUUUUUUAUUAAACAAUCUUUCCAUUUUUUAUUAAAUGAUAUUUACCAUCUUUUAUUAUCAUCAAUGCAAUCUUGGAAGAAAAAUAAUUAGUAAAAUUUACAUUCGAUAUUUUUUUGGAUCUCUCUAUGCUUAAAACAAGUUUAUAGGAGAGAGAAAGGUAACUAAACUAAUUGUCUGUUAAGAAAUUGAAGAGAUUGGAUAAAAAUGGUUUAGACAAAAAGAUAGCUCAUAAAUAAGUUUACAGAAAUAUAGGUCUUAGUUUGUCAAAUUUUCAAACUUCAACCUCUUCCUCAUUCUACCGAUGAGCAAAAGAAUCUCCAAACUAGCAAACACCAACAACAACUCUUUCUCCUGUUGGACGGCUAUUCUCAAAACAUCUACAGGUGGUGCUUGAUGUGAGCUCACCCCAAUUCUAAAUUUCUUUCAAAACAAGGAAGCUCAGCCAGGGCAUAUUUGUCGAUGACGAAGAGCUUGGUCACAGCUUCUUGGAUGAAGAUUCAAAACAUCUAUGCUUUCUGCAAACUCCUGUAGAGGUACUUUAAAAACUAUCACACACCUCGACUUUUCUUUCUUCUUGUUACUUUCUAAACAGAGGUUGUAUACUUUUGGAGGUUGCUUAAUGGAAUGUGUAGUUUCAAUGAUUUUGGUCUGAACAUUUAAGCCACUUCUACACUAAACGCAAUUUUACAUGCUUUUAUGUUUUAUGCAUUUAGUGUUUAUGAGGAAUUUUGGAUUUGGGUCCUAAGUUAUGCUCAGGGUAUGACUGGUAACAUAGUUGAUCAUUGAGGCUUCAGGUAUAAAAUGAAAAACACAACAAAGAAGGAAGGUGGUAUUAAUAUUUGGAUAGAGAGCCAAGGAAUUUCCUCUAAGAACUAAACUGGGGGUACUGAAGAAAACUUAAGUCGCUUGGUCAAUUGGGAGACUGUUUUUAACCAAUUGAAAAUGGAGAAACACUUUAAUUUGUUGGUGAUUUAAGAAGAAAGAUGCUUUACAAGGAGGGUCGAGUGGUGCUGCAUGUUUUCAAAGUCCAUUAUUGAAGGGGAGUGGAAGCUUCAUAAGGAAUUUGUUGUUCGUCAGCUUUAGCAUAUAGUUACUGGGAGAGAGAUGGUUUUCGAUAAUUCCAUGUAAAAUGAGAAAGAUCCCAAUUGUCAUUUGAUGCCAUUUCAGCACACUAUACAUCAAGUCUAGUCUUAGUUUUUUUCUAAUUGUGUGCAAUACUCAAUUCCCCUCUUUUCUUUUGCAUGCAUUUUUGUUCGUUUUUUCACGGUCAAUUAAUGUCCUUACUAUUUUUUUACUGCCCACCAAUUUAAUCAUGCUCAGGAUGAAAAAAGUUUUAGAUUUCUUGUCCAUAUUGCUUUUGAUUUUGUGUUUGGUUCAAAUGGUUAUGAAUUUAGAAUUUUGCUUAUUUUACUUUGUUCUUGUUUCUUAAUUUGUAGUGGCUUGUAUGUUAUCUUAUUUUUCCUAGAUCAAGGCCACGUUUAAUAUUAGAUUACUGGGGCCAUUCUUAUUAUUUUCUUGGGUUAUUGACUGGUCUUUAACUUUUGACCAAUGUUCUUCUUCCAAGAAUAUUGCUUUGGAUGAUGGGUUGAGAGACGUUGUCCAAUCUGCAGGACUUAUCGUCAAGGCUUUGACCACCAUCGUCUCAUAUUCAAAAACUAUCUUUACAUUUUGAUUCCUCCCACCUCUUGAAGUUUAUAUGUUUAGAUAAUUUUUUAAAAAUUAUUUGUAGAUAAUUUUUUAAAAAUUAUUUGUAGAUAAUUUUUUAAAAAUUAUUUGUAGAUAAUUUUGAUUUAUGUGAUUUGGAUUCUAGCUAGUUGAAACACAUAACAUGCUCUACAUGUUGACACCUUUGUUUGUAUAAUGUUAUUGAAACUUCAACUCUUGAUUGAAUUUGUGUAAGUUUAGCUAUGUAUUAUUUCAGUUGGGCAAAGGUAGACAGAAAUUGCUACUGUAAGAUGUAGAACUUUCAAUCUUCUCAUUCAUGAUCACUAAUCAACUUUAAAUCUCCUCGUUCAUAACCAUUAACCUGCUUUUAUCCAUACCAUCAAAUAAUGUUUUGUUGGGAACCGGAUGUGAUAUUGAAUUGGAAGUAUUAUUGAUAGCAGAUUCAUUCCUUGUUACAAUCUCUAAUUCAGAACUCAUAAAUGAAUAGAACUCAACUCAGAUUAGGACCCUUCUGCUAACGUAUCUCUCGAGGUAGAACAUAAAAUACUUUCUAACCAAAGCUUUACUAACUUUCAUGCUCCUCAACUCAAAUCUAUUUAUACUGUCCUAACUAACUUUAUUCUUGCGUGCUUACUCCCCCAUUCCCACAUGUCAAUUCUUUUUCUCUCUUCUACUAUAUUGAUGGAUGAUGAAGGUCUAUCAUUACACUCCUCCAAAUUCACCUUGCCCUCAAGGUGAAAAUCUGAAAAAUGUUACUGCAUAACUCUCCCACGUUGCCGCUUUAUUAUUCAAAUAGCCACAUAUUUCUUUAGAAACUGCUAACCACUCGGGAUUUUAUGUCACAUAAGGAAGGUCUUGAUGAUUUUCGUUGUGCAGUCCCAACAUCUUUUUCAGCUAAGAUACGUGAAACACAGGAUGUAUAGCUGCAUCACUAGGCAAAUCCAGUUUAUACCCAUCAGCCCAAUUUUCUCCACAAUUUUAUAAGGCCCAAAGAACUUAGUUUAAAGUUUCUAAUUUCUCUUCUUCCUCAAAGACACCUGUGAGUAUGGUCUUAAUUUCAAAAAGAUCAAAUCUCCCACCUGAUAAUCCACUUCUCUCCUCUUCAAAUCAACAUAUUUUUUCAUCUUAUCUUGUGCUACUCUUAAGUGCUCCUUUAGAGCUCCCAGCACUACAUUUCUUUCCUUCAGCUAUUCAUCCAAUCUGGAAUUCGAAGUAUCUCUAUACCCAUAGUAUAUCAAGAGAGGCGACAAUCGACCCUACACUGCUAGAAAAGGUGUAACUCCAAGCGACCUUUCAUAUGUUGUAUUAUACCAAUACUCCGUCCAAUGCAACCAUCUCACCCACUCCUUCGGUUUUUCUCAACAAAAACUGCUUAGGUAGCUCUCCACUCCAUGCAAACAUCCACCCACACCCUUAGCGAUACCAACAUCCACCGUUACCCUCUCCAAAGGUCAUCUAUCAUAGGCAAUCCUCGCCGACACUCGUCGCCUGUCGUCGGCCAUUCCUCAGUAUUUGUGAUUAUACGAGCUAUGUGUGUGUUCAUGUUUUUUAGUAAUGUAGCUUCAAAUGUGGUAGCUAUGGCCAUUGCUAAACAGGUUCUACUCAAAAUCCAAUUUCUGUUACAGGUUAUGGGAUAACCCUGCAAAAUUUCUUGACUAGAAAGGUUGUUGUAAGAUAAGAACGGAGUGUAGCAUCACAGUUUAAUAUAGCAAUCCGUGGAACCCUAAACCCUAAAGUUGUAUGUUAUUCCUUUUAUAACAUUGUCCAUGUAUAUCUUUAUUACCAUUUUAAUUGCCUUCUAUGACUGCUUAAUUUCCAUUCAUAUAACUCCAAUGUGUUAUAAAUUUGAAUUAAAUGCUCCUUGAGCAAAUCAUAAAUUAAUGCUAAGUUAAGUCAGUCUUUUCCUUUAAGGAAGAAACGGAACAAAUUCAAUUCAGUCGCAAUGAGUUGUAGCUUUCGUGAAUGUUGUAACAAUUUUCAUUUUUUUUAAAGCUGUGUCACGAUUGACAUAUUCUUGACAGAAAAAAAAUGUCAUAUACGAAUUCAUGCUAUUUUAUAUCUGUCAUCAAUAUGCAAAGGAUGACAGAUAAUUACUCUAAUAUGUAUGGGUUAAUGACAGUUACUGUUUGUGAAUAAUACAACACAUAUGUGACAUUUAUUUUCUAUCAUGAAAGCACUUAUUGUGUCAGUUUUUUAAAAUUGUCAUUGAUAAUCUUUCCUUUACAGGUGAUACAAUUACUAAAAAAUUGUUACAAAUUUUUAUAUAUCACACUAAAUAACUAUUGUUGUAAUUUUUCUUGUAGUGGAAAAAAUCGAUCUAAAAAACUAUUGACAAGAAGUGUCUUUACAAAAAAGUUCAAGAGAAGUUUGAUUGGAACAGACAAUCAUAAACUCAAAAUUAUGUUGAAUAGGAAACAAAUAAAUAGCUUUCUUCAAGGCAUCUUUGUUUAUAAAAAUUGAACCAGAAGUCUACAACACGUAAAUCCAAAUCUACUAAGUUAACUACAUUAGAUGUGCAAUUGAAAGUUCUUGAUGAGGAAGCCAAAAUAGAAAAAAUUGAUAAACAAGAUGAGACAUAGACAACAACAACAUAAACAUCUUUGUCUUCGACAUUAGUAAUGACAUUUGGAUUGUUGCAACUAUCAGAUACAAUCUAACUCGAGAAAUUAAAUAUUCAGAAGAAGUAAAAAAAUUAGAUCGAAUUAGAUAAGCAAGCUGGUUGAAAAAUGUGUUCAAUCAAAAAUGCACUUCAACCAAAUUGAAGUAAUAUGAUAACAAUUUUUUUCAUUCUACCAUUGAACAAAGACUAUUAAAAGAUUAAGAUUCAUGACAGGAAAUUAGUUGAGUUGUUGGGAUGAGGACAUAUUUACUAUUUUCUAAAAGGUCAAAUUUUAAAAAUAAAAUAAGAUCUAAUACGAAAACUAGUUUUAAUUUUCUAAUUAUUAAGGGUUGAGAUUCAACUAAUAAAAAAUAAUAAUUUGGUUAUCUUAAAAUUAGUAAAAUGAAAUAAAUUUGUUAAAAUUUUCAACCAAAUGGUUGAGUUAACUACAAGAAAUCUGGUUUUUAAUGUCGGUUUAAAACCAACAUUAAUGACCUUUAGUGUCAAUUGACAACCGAUAUCUAUGCUAGCGUAGUAAAGAUAUUUAGUGUCGGCUUAAAAACGACGUUAAAGGCCUCAUUAAUGUCAAGCAAUCCUAAUUGACCAAAAUAAAAAAUUUGUUCUCGAGGAUAUUCCUAUUUUUGGAAGAACAAGAAAGUUGUUGUUGCAUUGGACUUCAGAUUCAGUUUGCAUAAUUUCAUUGACAAAAAUGAAAAUUUUCAUAAUAUAUCUGAUCAUUACUUCAUUUUUCGUGCAAAGAAGAUUGGUAGAUAUUUAACUACCAAAAUUGGAAGCAUCGAUGGAAGAAAUAGAGUUGGUGCAUUUAUGGAACAAAAUACAUAACAAGGAUUGAAGAUGACCUGCCUUCAUUGGUUAGAAUAGAGAAGCGACUGUACCAAGAAUCGAUUUAACUUUAUUGCUUGCAAAUGCCCAAUGAAAUGCCAUUCAAUAUUUUAAGGAAGUUGAAACAAAACCACGAGAAGUUAUUUGUUAUAGUAAGAACUUAAAAAUAUAGCAAACCCUACGAACAUUACAGUAAUUAAAGCCAUCAAAUUAACAAAACAAAUUAAAGUCACCACAUAAACCAAACAAAUUAAUGAUUUCACUUACAUAACAACCAACAUAAUUAUUACUUUAUUUACACAGAAAAGUAAAAAAACCUUUACAAACCUAAAACUUAUCUUCAUGAGAGAGUUCAUCAAGAUAUCUAUUAAAAAGGAAUCAACCAAAGUAGCCUACAAACUCCAAGUCAUACUUACCAAUAAUGUCUAGAUCAAGUAUUCAACAAUCUCUUCUUGUUGUAAUAUUGUUUUCUUGCUUCCACUCCAACUACAGAUGAAGAGACCAAGUUUUUAAGAAGAAAAAAAAAAACUCUAUGGUUUAGUGUCAAAACAAUAAUAAAUAUCUCAAACUCAAGAUUAUUGUGGCCAAAUAUGUUGAAGUUUACUAAAUUUGUCUAAAGCCGAAGUUAACUAAAGAACAUUUAAUCCUAUGAAGGAUUCUCAAUAUUAAUUAUCACAUUUGUGGAUCUUCGUACAUUUACUUUAGUUUGGAUUUUCUUUCUCCAUCCCCUCUCCUUUGUCCCUUUAGUUAGAAGUUUAGGUUUGUGUGAAACUAUUAUCGUUCUUUCAUUGGAAUUGACCUUCUUUGGGUACUUUUGCUUAGGGAUGAAAAAACUCGAACCGAACCAACCGAACCAAUUCGGUUCGGGUUGGAUUGGGCUUACCAAUAUUAUUAUCGAAUCGAACCAAACCGAAUUGAACUGAAUCGGUUCGGUUCAAAUGAAAAUGAGUUUAGGUUAAGAAAGUAUAUCUUUAACGUAUUCCCUCCUGCAGUUCGCACUUCUUCGUCCUUCGUCUUCGUCCUUCGCCAGUCCUUCAUUCGUCUUCCUCCUACACGAGUUCACGUGGGUUCGUUCUCCGUUCUCUGUUCGUCGCCAUUCUCUUCUUGGAUCGACAUCUUCAUCUUUGGGUAAAUUUCCCGUUAUCUGUUCGUCACCAUUCUCUUCUUGGAUCGACAUCUUCAUCUUUGGGUAAAAAACUUCAUCUUUGGGUAAAUUUCCUCCUCUUCUUUUACAAGAUUUUCAAACUUUUUCUCCAUUUUCUUUGAUGAUUAUUAGUUAAAAAUUGUGUGUUUUUUGUUUGUUUUGUUUUAUGAUUAUUAGGAUGACUUCGUUUCUAUAGACGAAACUUCAAAACAAAGUUGUUUUACUCCAAUGUUAGGAAAAAGAAAACCGAUUAAACCACCAUCAUCAGUAUGGAAACAUUUUAUAAAAGUAGAAGGAUGUGAUCCUAAAUAUCCUAGGGCUGCUUAUAAAUAUUGUGGGGCUUAGUAUGCUUGUAAUUCCAAAAGAAAUGGUACAACUAAUUUAAAUAGACAUUUAGAGAAAUGUAAGAAGUAUGUAGAUCCAUUGGAAGAUAAUGUUAAACGAGAGGGAGAUUCUGAAAGUAGUUUAAUGGUUACAUCCUUCACUCAAGAAAAUUGUAGAACAAUGCUUGCUAGUAUGGUUAUCUUGGAUGAAUUGUCAUUUAAAUUUGUAGAAAGUGAAGGAUUUCAUCAAUUUUGUCGGGCAUUAAAUCCAAAGUUUGUGAUUCCAUCAAGAGUAACUAUUCCAAAGGAUUGUUUUCAGAUGUAUAUGAAGGAGAAAAAAAAGUUAAAAAGUGUAUUAACUCGAAGUGGCCAGAGAGUUUGUUUAACCACCACUACAACAAAAAUUGUCGUGAAACUCAUCGAAGCGGUCAUGGAAAGUCCUUCCAUGACAAUUAUAAAAAAUUGUCGCAAUAAGUUUUUUUAUGACAAAAAAUAAGUGUCAUUAAUUACUAUUUUAUGACAACAAAUAAAUGUCAUAUUUUAUAUUAUGAAAACAAAUAAUUGUCAUUAUUUGCGUAUUAACGAUAGUUUAAAAAUGUCGCAAAUUCGUUUAUUAUGACAUUUUUAUAUGUCAAUUGUGAUAGUUAUUUUUAGAAAAUUUAAUUUCAUUGUUUUGCUAUUGACGACAUUUUUUUUCCUGUCAAGUAUAGGACAGUCGUGACAGUUUUUUUAUAACAAAAAUGUCAUUGUUUUAAUAUUGACGACAAUUAUAGAGUGUAAGGAAUUCAUAUAUUAUGACAUUUAAUUCAUGUUGCAAAUUCUUCAAUUACUAUCGCUUUUCCCUGUUCUCCUUGUCGCUCCACCAUUAGAAGAACCAUUUGAAUGACAAUAAUGUUAUAAUACAUAACACCCUUAUAGAAACAAACGGUGGACACUUUAAUACAUAUACACUAUAAUUCACUUUGUAAUAUUCUUCUAUUUCCAAUCAAGUUUGAACAAUUUACAAGUAUAAAAAUUCAGCCCUUAAUCAAAACCAGUGUAAAUCAUCAUAAUACAUAUAACAUAAUUUUUUGCACAAGCAUAAACAACCAACCGGUAAGCCUUCAUCUCUAAAAAUAUUCUUUGUUGCUUGAACCAUGGUAGCUAGUGUAGGAAUUAUGUAUAAGGUAUUAUUGUAUAUAAUAUGAGGUAUAUAUAAUAAAUAACAUAUAUAAAUUCAGUGUAUAUUUUAUUAGUGAAAGGUUCUUAUAUCAAUUUGUUUAUGUUUUUUAUUUAAAUAUUCAUAUCUUAUGUGGUAAAUAAUACGCUAUGUUUGAAAUAAUAUUGAUUAUGUAUUAAAGUUGUUUAUGGCUACAAGAACAUGAAUGAGAAAUAAUUAUAAUGAGCAUAUGUAAUAUACGUCAUUAAAACGUUAAUUGUUUUAUAGUAUAUGUAAUGUUGAGAAAAACAUUAGUUGAUGUUUUAUAUGGUAUAUAUCAUAUAAAACAUUAACUAAAAGUAUUAUAUCUCACGGUAAUAUAUAAAACUAAUAUAAAUGUAAAUAAGAUGUGGUAUAUAUAUAAUAAAUCAUGUAUACAAACUAUUAUAUAAUGCGAUAAUAUUAUAAAACUAGUAUAAUCACAAAUAAUAUGUGGUAUAUAUUUAUAAAAUCAUAUCAGAAUAACAUUAAAAUGAGGGUACAUUGUUAAUAUAUACGAUAUAUACGCAGAUGAUAUACUCAGAAUGAACUAAACAGGUAAUUAUUUUGUUGUUUAACUAUUUAAUUUUAAAUGGGUAAAAGAACAAAUGACUUACUUUGGAAUUUAUCGUAGCUUCAGGUGAUGGAGAUUUGUAUAUGCCGGCGACUUGUUAAGAUUAAUACAAAUUGAGAAAACAAUGUAAUAAGAAGUUCGAAUUUUAUGAUUGAAUAUUUAAAAGCUUUAAAUGAUGGAGAAUAAUAGGUAAAAAUAACUGCCGAUGAUGAAGAAGAAUAAAUAUAAUUUUAGAAAGAAUAUAUAAGUAGUUUACUACAAAUUAGAGAAAAAUUAUAAAUAUAUAUAAUAUAUUUUAAUUUAUAAUUAAUUUAAAAGAUACUUGAAAUUUAUUACCAUAUUAAUUAAUCAAAUAAAUUUAAGAAAGAUAUGAAAUUCAUAUUAAAUUCAAAUCAUUUUAAAUAAGGUAAUUUUUCAAAUAAUCUUAUGAAUAUAAUAUCUAAUUAAUAUUCGUAUUAUAUAAUUAAUAAUUAAUGAAAGAUUAUAAUUGUCCGUAAAAUAUUAUCUUUCCUAUUUAAGUAAAUAAUUUUCAAAUUAGGACAUUUGUGAAAUUUCUUAUUAAAUUAAUGCAUUUUGUCUAAAUCUUUCUUAUAUUAUAUUACGUUCGGAAGAAGUGUUGGGUUUUACUUUUGUUCUUUCUAUUUGUUAACCUCACUUUUAAUAAUGGUUUCCCUACGCCUGUUCUUCACAACAACAACAAACUUCAACCGCCUUUUGUUGUUGGUACUGUCUUAUGUGAUACUUGUUUCCAACAUCUUUCCAAUUCUCACCAUUUCAUCUCAAGUUCUUUUUCUUCAUAUUUCAACAACCAUACUUCUUAAUUGAUAACUAUUGAAAUAAGUUCAACUAGCUAAUCACAAAAGAGAAAGGUUAGCUUGAGACACACAGUAGCCCAGAGGGAGAGGUAAAGGAAGAGUUGAGUCUAAAUCCCACACUAAGAAAGGAAAUUCACCUUCUAUCUUUCUCUCUCAAUUGAAAUUAACUAAACAUCUUAAAAGUGAAAAAACAAGAACCGAAUUAUAUCCUUGAAAUAGAAACUCAAAUUCUCUUUUUCUUAUUUCAUUCCUAGAGAGUGAAGUACCAUGAAUAAGAAAUGAGAAUCGUUUUAUAUUUAUUCAAGACAUCAAAGUUUGGUCUCCACAGUAAAACUAUAAUAAGCAACUAAAAGAGAUCACCAAAACAAUCUAGAUAAUGCUUUCCUAUGGAGUUUAAUUUCCACAAAAACUGUUGGAAAUAUUCAUGUAACUUUCUCUCUUUUUCUUUCAUUCCUGGCUCCCCCCUCUCUCUCCUUUGACAGUAUUCUCUCUCUCACAUUAAUUGAUUUAGUACCUCACCUCAAAUCUACAAAAACUUCCUCUAAUUAGCCAUAAAUUAUUUGAACACAUAGGUAACACAUGCUUAGACUUAUUUGAACAUUACUUUAGGUACUGUGUGUGUGUGUCAAUAUGUUAUGUAAUGUGACGUCAGAAAAAGAAUGAAAAUGAUAUCUGAAAAAACAUGCAUUUAUGAGUUCAAAGUUCAAUUUCUAGGAUUUUGCUUCUCUCUCUGUACGAGUAAAUUAUUUAAGAAUUAUAGCACAUAUAAUAAUGACAGUUUCAAAAACAUUAAUUUGGCCUAAUUUUAAAAACGUUGAUAAAAAGUAGAGGUAAAAAAAAGUGUACAAGCUUAAGUUUCAAAAACUUAAAGCCAAAAACCAAAUAGAUGACAAACACGACCUAAAUAAUUCAAAACUCCUCACAUAUUUAACUUGAAUACACAUAAGCACUAAACACUUAUACAAAUGGAAAACAUAAAUAAUAAAUCAAACAUUGCAAAAAGAAUUUCUUCUCCACAACCAUUGAAUCAAAAAGGUGAAAAGGGGGAUUAAUAAAUAGAAAAAAGGUAAAGACACGGAACUGAAAUUGGAGUUAUAAGCAAGUAUAUAAACACCUCCCUCUGUCUUGUAAGUUUAAAGUAACUUCAAAUGGGAGAUACCCAAAAACCAGUUUACCAUUGAAUAUAUCUUUUUUUUGUCUGCAAGAAAAGUUUCACUUCCACUUCCUAAUAAAUCCAAAAAAAAUCAUAAACAAAGUUUCAUUACAGAGGACUAACAUCCUUUUUCCAAUGUGUAUAACAUACAUCGUGGUUUAUGUUUCAAGCAGUGGUGUAUUUCGACAUUUUCAAAUUUACUCCUCUUGGAAAGAUCUAGCAUGGUAAGUGGCAAAUAAAAUUCUACCAUACAAAAUAAAUCUUAAUUCACCAUCAUUUUUUUUCUUUCCUUUCAAUAUAGAAGAACAUGUAGUAAUUUUUGUUGCUACUAUCCUUAUUGUAAGAAAGGGAGAGAGAACAUACCUAUAAUUAUCAAUAAUCACUUCCCUCUAUCCUUCAAUCAAGGUAAGACAUAAUUUUAAUCCAAAUAAAAUAAAAGAAUUUUAUGUUACAAAAGAAACCGUAAUGCUUCCAAGAUUGCAAGAUCAUAAUAUAGACAAAAAGAAAAAAAGAGUGAAGGUUAGACUUCUUUUUCAAAGAUAAUAACAAUGGAAAAUUGAAUUCAACGAUACAUUUAGGUUUAAUAGCAAAUGUCUUACCUCACAAAUAUCAUACUUCUCUCUGUCUAAGAGGAGUAGGACCAUUAUUGCAUAUUGACUUCCAACAUGAACAAAAAGAAAUAGAAUUCACAACUAUAACAAGGCCAAAACAAUUGCUUAAAUUGAUGGUUUAUCAGAGCUUCUUAUACAUCAAGAUAAGUUCAUUAGCAACAUAAAGAGUUUAUUUCUUUCUCAUAGUGAAAAUGUUCAUAACUUUUUUUAAUCUUCAAUCAUUAGUAAAUCAAGAGUAACCAAAUUACAAUUAUUUAGUAAUGAGUUAGAUAACAAGUGCUUGUGUACAAGUUUAUAUAUAUAGUUUGUUUAUGCUUUAACUAUCAUGCAAUUACGAUACAACUCAAUAGUAACCAUAAACAAAAGAUCAAUAGAAAAAUCAAAAGCACUCAAAUUUUCUUGGAAAAUACAUAGACAAAAAAAAAAAAAAAAAGCCCUACACACAAUCAAAGUUGAAAAUCUCACAUUUCAUUUUUCGUUCUCUUUUUCUCAAAGCUUCAGCCCAUAGCCAUGAAAUCUCCAUUGGCCUUGAUUUUCACCAAACACAUUCUAAGCUACCAAAAUGUUUCAUCACAUAGCCAACCAUAAAGAAAAAAUGUAGAUUCAAAUUAGAAAAAUGCUUGUAAACAACAAUAUUAAAUAGGAUGGUAGACAAAACAAACACAUAUCUCCUAUAAAAGCAUUUCAUAAAAAGAACCAUCAAUAUAUCACAUUGUGGGUAAAAUAAAAGCAUUUGAAGUUAAUAUACUGUAUAAAUACAAACAAUAGAAAUAAUGGUUGAGAUUCACUAGUGAGUUCAGCAAUGCAAGGGGUGUUGGGUGGUGGCGUUGGCUGAAAGAGAGAAAAAGGGAGAUUUCGCGCGUCGUUGACGAAAAGUUUAGUCUUUUUCAGCGUGCGUGAGAGAGUGAGAGAGAUGGUUAGCGGAAGGGAGGAAAAAUCGAGAAGGAAGGGCGACGCGUGGACCUUCCACAAAGAAGAAGAAAAAGAGAAGAAGAAGAAGAGGAGGAGGAGGUAGAGAAAGAGUUUUGGAGAUGUUUCAUUUUAAUAAAUAAAUUAUUUAACGUUUUUAGAAUUAUGAAAAAAUUUGAUUUUAAUAAAUUUGAUUUUAAUAAAUUAAAUAAACUAUUUUUUGUAUCUUUUAUGACACUAAAUAACUGUCGCGAAAAGUAAAAUCCAAAAAAUUCCGUAUUUUCCCACCAAAAAUCCGAUUUUUUAGCUUUUGUGAUAGUUUUUUCUUUCCUCAUUUCAAUUUGGGAUGUAUACAACUGUCAUAGUAGGUAGUUUUUAUUGUAGUGCAUGAAUUCAUGGACUUCUGUACAAAAUAUUAAUUAUAUGGUUAUAACGGCUCAUUUCAUUUAUUAUGAUUGGAACCUUCACAAAAGAAUUUUGAACUUUUGUCAAAUAGCUAAUCAUAAAGGAGAUACAAUAGGGAGAGUCAUUGAAAAGUGCUUAGAAGGAUGAAGUAUUGAUAGGCUCUUUACUAUAAUAGUUGAUAAUGUAAGUUCAAAUGAUGUAGCCAUUGCAUACUUGGUUAAAAAGUUUAGAGGUAGAAAUAGGUUGGUGUUGGAUGGUGAAUUUAUUCACGUUAGAUGUUGUGUCCAUAUUCUUAAUUUGAUUGUUAGUGAUGCAUUAAAAGAUUUGCAUGCGUCUAUCAUUCGAAUCAGAAAUGCUGUGAAGUUAUGUUAGGACAUCUCCUGUUAAAUUGCAAAUAUUUAAAGAUUUUGCUAAAGAAGAUAAAAUGUCAACAAAAAAUUGUCUUAUGAUGGAUGUUUCAACACGAUGAAAUUCUACUUUUACUAUGUUGGAUGGAGCAAUUAAGUGACAAAAAACAUUUGAAAGAUUAGAGGAGCACGACCCUAGUUAUUUGCCAAAAGAUGAUAUUCCUACUGUUGAAGAUUGGGAUAAUAUAAUGCAAAAGUGUUUGUAAAGUUUCUAAAAACUUUUUCAGAGGUAACAAUGAAGUUUUCUGCAUCAAUGUCUGUGAUUUCAAAUAUAUUUUUUCACGAACUUUGUUUGAUCCAAGAAAUAAUUCGUGAACAGUCGUUGUAUGAGAAUGCAUUAUUGAGUCAGAUGACAUUAAACAUGCAGACAAAAUUCAACAAGUAUUGGGGUAUAACUACAAGUGAGAAAAUCAAUUUAUUAUUAUAUGUUUAUGUAGUUCUUGACCCUAGGUACAAACUGACUUAUGUGAAUUAUUGUUUUAAUGAAUUUUUGGAGGAAGAUAGUGCAAAAAAAUGGACGAAUAAGGUUGAAGAAGCAUUUUGUCGAUUGUGUGAUGAUUAUUGUAUGAGAAUGUCAAUGUCAAAAGAAAAAUAUUCACAAACACAAUCAUGUACUCCUAUCGAAGGAUUUAUGUUUCAAAGUCAAAGUGAAAUGCCUUCUAUCUCAUCUAGUGGAUCUUAUAAGGCACGUGCUGCUGUUCAUGAUAGAUUUAAACAAAGCAACAAAUGUCUCGAUGAUGCUAAAACAGAGGUGGCUUGUUAUCUAGAUGAGGCUCGUAUAGAAGAUGAAUAUUUAGACUUGCUAAAUUGGUGGAAGGUAAAUUCUUCUCGAUUUAAGAUCAUCAGCCAAGUAGCCAUGGACAUCUACAGUAUUCCUAUAUCAAUUGUGCCUUCUGAGUCGGCCUUUAGCACUGGAGGACGGGUGUUAGAUUCUUUUCGAAGUUCAUUAACUCCUCAAACUGCAGAAGCACUCAUUUGUGUUCAGAAUUGGAUUCAAUCUAAACCUUUGGAUGACAUGACUGAAGAAAUUGAUGGGGCUGAAGAAAUUGAUGAAGGUAAUAUUCUUUUCGAAGUAAGCAUUUAAGAUUUAAAAUUGUCUCAUUAAGUUAACAAUUUGUCAUUUUGAACUAGAAUUCAUAAACAUAGGAAAGGAGAUGGAAGCUGCAUUUUGAGAAUCUGAAUCAUGACUAUAUGGUAUAAAUUUCUACUCUCAGAUCUAUUUACAUUUUUUUUUGUUUUAAAUUGUUAACAUCUUUGAUUUUUUUUUGUUUAGAAUCUUGAAUCACAAUGAUCUAUAAACUUUAUACUUCUCUAAUCCCAUCAUAGUAUUUUUUUUGCUUAACUUAUAAAUUAUUCUUUAAUUAUUUUUUUUGGAAAAUUGCAUAGGAUGACAUUUUGAGAAUAUGAUAUAACAAUUAUAACACAUUGUUUUAGAUAUUUGUUAAUAUGACAAAAUAAUUUUCAUUUCUCCAUCUUAAAUUUCUUAUUAUUCCUAAACUACCCUUCAAUAACUUAUUUCUCUUCCUAUUUUUAAUGUCCUACUCAUAUUUAUUUAUUCUCUCACUUUUUAAGACCCUAAUUGUUUGUUUAUUCUUAUAAUAGAAAAUUUAUUUAUUCUUUCUUAAUCUUAAUUUUAAAAUAUCAAUAAUACAAUAAUUGCAAUAUGAAAUAUAAUAUAAUGGUUGUUGAUCAGAGUAAUUUAACUUCAUUUGUGAUUUUUUUUUUUUUACUUUCUUUGAUCUGUAUUUUAAGUUUAAUCUGAUUCCAAAUGAUUUUGUUUUAUUUUUUUACAUUAAUUUUACGUUUUACUUUGUCUCAGUUUCAUAUAUCAGUGUCACGAUAUACUUAUAUUAUAUAUAUUAGUUGGUUAACAUACUUACUAUGUGGUUUUUGUUUUCAAAUUUUAUGCAGUUCAUUAGAGUAUUAUUAAGUAUAUGAAUGAUGUAACUCAGUGUAUCAUUGUCAAGUAUAUUAACAAUAUAUUAUUAAAGCAUAUCAUUAAAGUGAAUCAUUAUCAAAUAUAUGAAUCAAGUUUACAAGUGUAUAUCAAUAGUAUAUCAAGUGUAUAAGCUUGUAUAAGUGAAGAAUACUAAAUUAUACACUUCAAGUAUAUAAAGUGCAUUUAAUCAAUCAAUUGUAUAAGUGAAGAAUAUUAAAUGUAUCUUCAGUGUAUCAGGUGUAUCAUACAUAUAUUAGUAAUAUUUUUGGUGUGUAUCAAAAGUUAUUGAGUGUAUCAAAAAGUAUGAGGUACAUCAAGUGUAUCAAUCAAAUAUAUUGAGUGUAUCAAGGGAUGUAUUAUGUGUAUCAGACGUGUAUAAGGUAUAUCAAACGUAUAUUAUUAACAAUGACAUUUGAGACAUUUUACCUCUUGAUGUGUGGGCUGAGCUUCGUUUUUGUCAUUUUCGCAAAUAAUAAAAUGUAUGUGCUAUGAACUUAAUUAUUAUAACUUAUUUUGCCAUUUUUGCAAGUGUUCCUAUUUUUUUUCUAGUUAGUUCACUAAAUUAGUAAAUUCCUUCUCUAUGCAACGGGGGAGAAAAAGAAGAGAAAAAAAAACCCAACCAAAUCCAUGUUAACCCGACUCGAAGUUGGGUCAGGCCACAAUAGAAAAGGACCCGUAUAUUUUGAGUCAGGUCAUAUUUGAAGAAAAAGUUUUGCUACCAUUGUUUUUCAUAUUUGUCAUUUGUUAUUUUUAAUAUUGCGAGACCAUUAUUCACUUCACUUCUUUUUCUUCUUGUUUGGGAUUUAUUCUUCUUCUUUUCAUACUAUUACUUCUCAUUCUUCAUAUUCUCACUUCUUCUCUUGUUUUUUAUUUUUUCAUUUCCUCUUCUGGAAUUUUUCUUUUUUCUUUAUUUCUCAUAUUCUUUUCUUCUUUUUCAUACAAGAUCAAAACAAUAUCUAAAUUGUUCGUUGUCUAUUUCAGAUAAAUAGAGAUAGACAACUAUCACUAACAAUACACAAUCGUUUAGACUAAAAUUGCAAGGGUACAAGAUUGCAUAGCAAGAUCGUUUAGGCUGGAUACAAGACCUAUCAUUUUGGUUGAAAAUAGUUUAGAUGUUUAGACUUGGUACAAUGGUACAAGAUCGUUUAAACUAGGUACAAUGGUACAAGUUCGUUUAAACUAGGUACAAGAUCGUUUUUUCACAUAAAUGUGACCAAUUAAUUAUGGGAUAUUUUUGUUAUUUUAUGUUGUGGGCUUGUGGAUAUUUUUCUUUUCCAAAAUUGUUUUAUAUACUGUAAAUACUUUUGUGUGUUGUUCUAUUUUUUUUUUUAAAAAAACCCUAAACUAUAUUAUGACUUUAUUGAAAAUACUUCAAAUAAAAUUGAACUUUUGAAUGUAAAAACACAAAAACAGAAUUGUGACUAGUGUAAAAAUACCCUAUUUUAACCCUAAAAGAGUUAAGAGGUACCAAAUCAGUUCAUAUAAAAGAAAUUAAAGAUAUGUAUAGAUAAUAAUUAAAGCAGGAUGCGAACAUUAUUGAAAUUGAUAUUAUUAUCUUUACCAUUAUAAUAGCAUUCUUCAAAGUACACACAACAAUGGAGGUUAAGAGGGAAAGCCAUCUUAUUUAAGAUAUUAAUUUGAAGAACCAAUCCAAAGUUGGUAUAUUAUAUUAUGUUUGUCGUUCAAUUGUUGGAAAGGUAAGCAUCCACAUCUUUGCAUAUUUUAACUCCAAAUUGAAGAUAGUCAUUUGGUGGAGCCACAUUUUCAUUUGACUUCACAAACUCCAAACACCAAUUCACUGAGCUGUUCCCACUGCUUCCACCAUCAGUCACUUCAAUUUUCACUUUGAACAUAUCAAAGUCUUUGAACAGAUCUCCUUCAAGACAUUCAUAGAUGAUUGUUUUGUUGGCCUCAUCCACAAGUAGUUUCAUCUUUACUUCAACUGCCCUACCUGUGUAUGUAUAUGUUUCCAACCCCAUAUCAAUGGUUAAAUCAUCAUCCAAUCCAAAAACUGAGUUAUUAGGUCGAACACAAAUUAAAGAAGACAUUAACCAUGCAUACAUCAUUUGUAAAUUGAAAAAUACUAAUGUAAAUAUUAAAUUGUAAGUUUGGCUUAGGAAUUUUGAGAUUAACAUUCUAUUAACAAGAGGUAAUCAGUCACGACUUAAUUUUUGUGUCAAUAAUUUUUUAAUAUUCAAAUUUGUAUCUAAUAGAUCAUUGAUAUGUUAUUGAAGAAUUUAUUGGAUAUAAAAUUGAAGUUUAAAAACUUUAUUAUAGACGUAAACUUUAAUAUAAUUGUACCGUUCCAUACAAUUGUAUAUUUAAAAAAUUGAUGGCAGACAGUGAGGGAUCAAAAUAAGACUUAUUCAUAUCUAUUAAACUAUAACAUUUAUUAGAUACAAAUUUAAAAGUUUAAACACUUAAUAAUUUAAAUUUAAAUCAAAAGUAAACUUUUAAAUUAAUACACCUGCUUCAUAAAAAAAUUAAAUUAACCUUAUUCUUAUCCGUAUAAAUAUAGUUUAUUAUUUAAUUUACUUUUCUUUUUAUUUUGGUAUAUAAUGCGUUUGGUUUAAAUAUAUGUUUACUUUCUAAACUUUGAUAUUAUGUCAUGUAGUCCCCGGGCUUUUGAAAUAGUCCAAUGAGUUGCCCAAUCUUUACCUUUUAAUUCAAUACGUAGAUUUAAAAAGUAUCUAAUAGCCAAAAUGUGACAUUUGUAUGUUUCAUGGAUAAUAGUUCUUCCGUUCAAUUCUCUAUCCAAGUUGUACUUGAUAAGACUUUUUUUUCUAAUAAGAGUAUAUAAUAUGUUCCUAAACAUAAAAAUUUAGAAAAUUGCAUCAAAUGACAAAAACAUUUAGAAAAAGAAACAGCUCAUGAUACCUGUUUUUUUGCAUACUGCGAAUAUGACAAUAUUAGUGAUAUGAGACGACUAUCAAGCAGUGAUCAUAGGAUUUCGAAGGGCUAUUGGUAAUGAUAAGAUUAUCGACUUUUAAAUUUAUUAUAUUUAUAAUUUAGAAAUGACAUGAGCUCAAUUAUCAUAAAUAUUUUUUCACUAUUUUUGGAAAGAUCCUACAAAAUCUUCCUUCUAGAUCAUUAUCUUUUUUUUUAAUUUUUAAAUUGUUUUAAAAAACCUCAAAUCUAGUAGGACACAAAUUUAAUGUUUAAAAUAUGGAAUAUAUUUGUAAAUUUAAAACAAAAUUAAUGUGAAAAAAAAUCAAAGAACUAAUUUUAAAAACGAUUAGAAUUUACUAGUGUACAUCUUCAAUAUGGUAGAUGUGAGACAUUAGGGUGUCUCUUUUUUCUCACAAAAUAAAAAAAAUGAAACUGGCAAAAAUCAUUUGAAAUUAGUUGUGGAGCAGAGAAGAAGAGAAGGAGAAGAAGAACAAGAGACGGAUCUCACCGAAACCAAUGUCAUAUUUCCAGAUGGAGACACUGCCAUGAGUGAAACUAUUUCCUUCCACAAACUUAUAGCUCUCAACGUUUCCAGCGAACAUUCGAGGAAAAUAGUCCAUUUUGUUCUUGAAAAACUCAAAGAAUUUCUCCCCAGAUGACUUCAGCUGCACCUUCUCAGCAAUCUUAGCAAUCUGAGCCAUUUUUUCAAACUUCUUUUUUAAGAUGAUUAUAUAAUUAUUUAUUAUGAUCUCUCUGUUCAUAUCCAUGCCCAAAGGAGCAGCGUUUUUAUACCCAAAAUGUGGGCAGUUCAUUGAUGGUGACUUUUGAUUCUUCUUGUCCUUUAUUUUUGCCUAAAUUUAUAUGUGAUUAUAUGGUAAUCUUCCAUAUAUAUCUCUUGUAUGGUAUAUUUAUACCAAGCUUUGUAUGCAGAAAUCAAUAAGCAAAGAUAUGUUUUUCUAUAAGGGGUUUUUCAUGGUAUCAUAGAGAUCUCAAAAGUAAUAAAUUCUUUUAGAAAUACCUUACCUUUUCAAUGACCACCUCCAGCGCUCCGAUUCUGACCCCACCCCUACCAUCUUUUAUCUCCAUCCGAAUCUUCACCUUCAGGAAACACUUAUGUUCACAUUUCUACUAUUUUCUUGCCGUCCAACAUUUGUAACCUUGUGCCCAUUCGUCUGGAUUCCACCAAUUAUGUUAUCUACCAUUAUCAAAUCUCAUCCAUGCAAAAAGCUCACUCUCUAUUUUGUCAUCUUGACAGUUCUCUUCCCUGUCACAUCGCUCCAGCCACCUCUAAAACCAACCCUAAACAUCUUCAAUGGGUCUCUUAUAACGAGGUCCUUAUUACCUUAAUCAAUGCUACCUUGCCAGCCUCUACGCUUGUUCAUGUUGUUUAUUCUCACUACAAUAACAACUAUCUACUACCAUAAUUUUGUGUACAUUAGAAAAUGAAAGGAAGAAAAAAAACUGUCACAAAAAGUAAAAAUACGCGUUUUUAGCGAAAAAAUGCGAAAAUUUUUUAAUAGCAUUUUUUGAGAUAGUUAUUUGAUGUCGUAGAAGAUACAUAAAAUAAUUUUUUCCAGAUCAAAAUUUUUCUCAAAUUAAAAACCUUCAUUCCCCCAGUGAAGCAGCCAUGUCCAAACGCGAAGAAGGCCAUCUCUGGACGACGUCUGUUCCCGUCACCACCACACCACCCUCUCAUUCCCGUCUCCUCAUUCUAGCGCCGCCGCAACCUCCUUUACCGGAUGACAAAACCUCCUUUGUCAUAACCUGUGUUCAAUUCGUGUCUGCCAUCUCCAAUCUGCCGCAAUCUCUUUAACGUUCAAACCAUGGUCGUCACCUCCUCUGCCGAUAAGUCAUUUGUUCCUUUUCUCUUUCUCUUUCUCCGUGAAGUUGUUCCCUGUCACUAUUUCCCUCAACUCCAUGGGUCGUCGGUAAGGUCUGAAAUUUUCAAUUUCGUCUGAAUUCUCUCUUUUGGGAAAACACCCCUACACGAUGUAUGUGAAAUAAAUGUUGAAUUUUUCUUUAACUUAAAUUAGACAAAAAAAAAAUGUUAAGACUUGAAGGUAGAGCAAGACAAAAAGGAAAAAGGUCUUCAAAAUGCCCUUCAUAUGUUUAGGUUUAUGAGAUGUUUAUUUAAGGAAAUAAUUUGGGUUUAUGAUAUAUAUUCUUUUAUUAUUAUUUGACACCUCCCCUUGUUUUAACUUUAUAUAAUAUUAUUUUGGUGAUGUGCUUUCUUGGUUUUCUGCUGUCCAUUUUUCAUGACAAGAUUGUUCUUUAGUGUUUAAGGGAACCUAAUACUUCAUCAUCCUUAGUUGAGAAAGAGUUUUAUAACUCAAAUUUAGGAGGAGCCUAAAAGUAAGUAUUUGUUGAUGGCAGUAGAUAGUGUCUUUAUUGAUCAAAUUGUGAGGUCUAAUUGAAUUUCUUUCAACUUUAAAUUUUGCUUCAAUCUUUCUGUCUUAGUAUUUUCAAACUUUUUGUCAUUGAUGUUUUAAUUUUACUUUAUUUAUUUUAGUUUGCUAUACUUGUGCAUAAACAAAUUUGUGGAUUUUAAUGUUAAUAUGUGUAAUCUUCAAAAUAUUGUUGUUUGCUGAUGGAAGCACCAAUUGGCAUUUGACUUCUUUGCUUGUUGGUACUUACUUUUAUAUACUCAACACUCUUUCUUAUUUGUAACUUGAGAACAUCAUAAAAUGUUUGCUACAUUUUUUAUAAUUGAAAUUUUGAUGUUUUUUUUUCUUCUCUUUUUGGGAGAAGAAAAAGGAAGAAGUAAAACAUUUCGUGUUUUAUUUUAUAUUUCACUACAAAUUACAUAAAUGUAACAAGCGUAAUUUAGUGGGAAAAAAUUUGCAUAUAGAAAGUGUUUGUGAAAAUGUAUGAGAGAGAAAAACAAUGUCUCUUAGAGAUGUGGAUUGUAGCUCUGUUUUAUACAAUUUGUUUUCUAAGCAUAUUUUGACUGUGGAACUAGAAAGGAACUUUUGGAAUCCAACUCAUUUGCUUUAAUUGCACAAAUUGCUAGUGGAAGGAUUUGACUGCAACUCAUGCAGUCUAAAUAAUGGAUUGUUAUUAUUAUUAGUCUAUCUGUCCCAUUCUAGUGUAAAAUAUUAUUAGAAACUUCUUGCCAUGAGUUUGUUAUUUACCCACUAGCUUUUCAUGGUUGAAUUUUCAUGUCUAUUUGAACUAUCAACCCAAAUUUGUAACUUCAAUGUUGGGGUUUUGGUGAAAGAAAAUGCUAGAACCUGAAUUUGAACUGAACUGUAUACUUACUAAUCUCUAAAAUGUAUACUUACUAAUCUCUGAAAUGUAUACUUAUUAAUCUCUAAAAUGUAUGGUAGUGUGAUCUACAACAGUUUCACAAUGAUUCUAAUGAUUAAGAAAUGGUGGAGUUUAAAAGAAAGAAGUUGAAAUUUCCAAGAAACAAGCAAACAUAGUAAAGGAGAAAAUGGGAAAUGGUGAAAUGAACGAGUUGCACUAAAAUUCAAGUUUUGACCGUUUCCAUCUCUUUGCUGCCUUUUCAUACUUCAGAGGGAGAGUUAGUUUCUUGUUUUUGUUAUUGUUUUUUUUUCUUUGUCCAUAUUGAUUUGUUUUAUAUCAAGCAAUUAAGUUGAAAUAGCAUUCAAGUCUGUUAAUUGAAAAAUAUUGAUCAUUAUUAUUUAAUUCUUGUUUUUUGUUUACUAUGAUUUCGGGGUUCUAUUCUCUAUUAUUGUGCAAGGACUACUCUGGUCAGUUACAUUUCUAUAUCUUUGCUGAAGACAUGAUAGUGAUAAUGGUGGUUUGAACAUUUGAUUUGAGAAUGAUUAUAACACUACCUCUUGAAAUUUUUUCAUGUAAGUUCUUCUCUUCAAUAAUUAAAUAUCUUCUAAGAUAAUGAACAUAAAUUGCAUAUUUUAUUAGAUAAGAUGAUAGAUACGUGUUAAAUCUUUUCUUGUUUAUUGAACACAUGGAUGGGUGGGUAUGAAUGAGAGAGUCCACGAUAUAAUGAAUACUUUAGUGAGUCAUGUUGGAUUGUCAGCAGAAGCCAUUUUUUCUAGGAUUUUCUGGUGACUAAGUUUCAUUUCUACAUAACCAAGAAUUAGAACCAUACAUAAAAUCUAAAUCUAUACUAAAGCAUAAUCAUGAAUGAUAAAAGUGGUGGUGGCAAUCCAAUUUUCAGUUGCAUUCCAGGACACAAUUUUCAACUCAAGAAAGAAAGUGGUAUGUAUAAAGGGGACAUUUAGUGGCAUGUGUGAAUUAAAGGACAAUUUUUUUUCUAUUUUGAUCUCAGUAUUUACAUGACUCAAAAAUUGGAAACUUGACUUCAUUCAAAUAGGAAAUUGAAUCUGUCACUUUUGGUUAGUGUUCUUGCAUUGCAGCUUUGUUGAGCAAUAUUUUGUUCUUGCAUUGCAGCUUUGUUGAGCAAUAUUUUGCAGCUUUGUUGAGCAAUAUCCAAAUAAAGUUAUUAGUGUGGAGUGAAAAUAAGGAUUAUUGUGAAUUAAUUUAUGGUGUGCAACAUUGAAAUUGAUUAAGAAGACGUGAGAUAUUUAAUAUGGAAAUUACGUACCUUAUCGAAGCUUUGUUUGAUAACAUUUUGUUCUUAUUUUCUCAUAACUUUUUGGUGAAUUUUUCACCUUCCUUGAAAACACAUUUGAAUCCUAAGCCACAUUAAAAAAAAACAAAUGAAGUUUGUAAAAACUACCUAUUUAGCUUUCUAACUUUUGACAUGAUUUUUGUCCUUUUGAAAACGUUUUUUUUAUUAAAAAAGUUGGUGAAUUAUACAUGGUAAAAGUAGCGUUUAUAAGCUUAAUCUAAUUUUUGUCAUUGCCUGUUGAUGUUUUAAAAGGGCUUCUACAUACAUGUGGAGGCUUUGGUUAGUAGUGAGGGUUGGAAUGCUGAAUUCCAGGUAUAUUGUCUUUGGCCUUUUCACUUCUAUCACUGUGGGCAUUUGAAAUUUAUUUAUUUUCUAUUUUUUUUUUUGUAACCUUAACCGAAUAUCUAUGAUUGUUGAAUACUUAUGAGCCAAGUCAAUGAUAUUCCGUAUGUAAAUUAGUUAAUUAGUCGUUUGGCAUUUAAGGAUUUAAUUGAUUUUGAUCAUUUAUUAAUGUCAAUUUUUGAAAUGGGUAAUGGAUUCUAAGCUCAAUAUAUUAUGUUGCCUAAGGUGGUUUCUAUUUUAUUAGUUGGUAUUGUUGCUCAACACUUAUUGGUUUUUUCUACUACCUUUAUAGUCCCAGGAUGCAUCCAUUAGUAUGUAACAUGUGUGAGUGGCACUUGGAUAUUUGUUAACAUAUCUACUCUUUAAUCUAACUUCAUUUCAUUAUCCAUUCGAGACUGUGGAGAGGGAGCAUAUCUAAUUUUCUUUCUUGUUCUGGAAAUUGGCCCAAAGUUACUCAUUUGGGAGGAUUCUAAUUUUAUGAAUGAUAUUUCGCCAUAUUGUAUUUGGAUUCAAUUCCAAUGAUACAAAUGUUAUAUUUUUAGGAAUAUGAUUCUUGUAUUUCUGUUGGAGAGUCUGUAAGAUAACUAAUAAUACAUUAGCUAUCUUACUAGUACUUGGAACGAUCGUAAAAAUUUGAAAAGAUCGGCUCUAAGACCCCUUUUUACCUUCACAAUAUUUGAUGGAGAUUUCACACCUCAAAAAACAUGCCAUCAUCUGUAUCUUUUCAUUUGUUGAAAGGUUUGUUGCUGAGGUAUUCCAUGAUUUAUGCGAAGAGGUCAUUUCAACAGCUGCAAGAGGCCAUAGUCUUAUGAUUCAGGUGCAACAACUUGAGGAAGAGGUUCCUUCAAUUGAGAAAGCAUUUAUGUCCCAGGCAAAUCAUACAUCUUUCUUCACUGGUACAGGUUCGUCCAUCACAUAUAUUGUUAUAUUUUUGCCAACAAUCAUGGUCACAACAUUGUUUAUAUUGAUGGAUUUGAACAAUUAAUUUGAGAUCAUGAACGGGUACAAACAAAUGAAUUCAUGUUCCCUCGUUUUCCACUUUAUUUUUUUUAUUAUUUUGAGGAAUGUGAUCUAGGGGCUUAGAAGAUUCUAAUUUCCAGUCUUCCCUCGUUUCAAACUACUGCUACAAAUCGUUCAUUUAUUUACAUCGUUUUUAUAAAAAGACAUCGUUUUUAUAAAAAGAAUAUUUAUUUAAAUCAUCUAGCUACGUGGUUACUGUAAUGGCCAUUGAUUAUGGUUAUCUUUAUAUCAUGGGGACGCUUGUUACUUCCCAAGUUUGAUAGGAAGUUUUGUGGGAUGAUCCUUUGUGGGAUGAUUAGGUGAAUUGAUUUAGGUGUACAAUCCUUUUGUUUUUAUUGAUCUGUGAAUUGAUUUGCUUUGGAAAUGUUCUUUACCUCUAAAAUGAUAUUUUGUUUUCUUACUAGGUUUAGAAUAAUCCAUUGGAGCAGUGAAGCAAACUUGGAGCAAUUGAUUAAUACAAGACUUUUUGUAUAGUUGGUAGCAAAAUCAUGGUUCCAAUGCACUUAUUUUAGGCUUGUUGGUAACUAAAGAUGUCAAUGUUUAUUCUUUUUUAAUCUAAACUACCUUUUAACAAAAAAUGGUUAUUACUCAGUGGGUGUACUGUAUUAUUACGUGUAUAUAUUAAAGUGUUGACUCUUUGUUUUCAUAUCAAUGUGAUUUAUUAGAACAUUAUUGUCAUUGACCUGGUUAGUGUACUAGCCGAGUGGCAAGAAGAAUAGGAAUUGAAGAAUAUACGACAAAAAAAAAAAUCAUAAUAUACAAAUUUGUGACAUUUUGUAAUUGUCGUCAAUAUCGAAACAAUGACGAUUUAAUUUUAUAAAAACUGUCAUAAUUGGCUGAUCCUUGACAGGAAAAAAUGUCAUAAUAUAUGAAUUCAUGACAUUUUUGUAACUGUCGUCAAUAUUGAAAAGAUGACAUUUAUUUUUAUAAAAACUGUCGCGAUUAACAUAUUCUUGACAAAUAAAAAAUGUCAUAAUAAACGAAUUCGUCACAUUUUUGUAGCUACCGUUAAUAUGCAAAUGGUGACAGUUAUUUUCUGUCAUAAAAUAAAAUAUGACAGUUAUUUCGUGUCAUAAAAUAAAAUAUGGCAGUUAUUUGUUGUCAUAAAAUAAAAUAUGGCAGUUAUUUGUUGUCAUAAAAUAAAAUAUGACAGUUAUUUGUUGUCACAUAAUAGUAAUUAAUGACAUUUAUUUUCUGUCAUGAAAAAUAAUUUUGUGAUAGUUUUUUAAAACUGUCAUGAAAAGACUUUCCACAGCAGACUAUACUAUAACUUGAAAUAAUUGUCACAGAUUUUGUUUGCGACAGAAAAUAAGUGUUGUCGUAGACCAUUUUUGUUGUAGUGAUCUGCCUCUUUAAAAGAUUUAUUGCUUUCUCUUGAAAAGCAGUAUUCCCCAAACUCUAGAUCCAACAUCCUUGAUUAUUUACGAGAUGCUCUUUAUGUUGAGAUAAAUACCUUAGGACCAAUUAUUCCACUCGUAUGGGAAUUUAAUAGAAUACUAAUCAAGUAAACAAAAUAAUAGUAAUCAAAGUAUAUGGAACUCCAAAUUGGCAAGUCAUUACUGUAUAUUGCAACUGCCAAAGAUAUUUGUGACACAACCCAUACAUUGUACUCCAAGCGUGAAAAUACCUUUUGGCUUUAAACUUUGCAGAAACGUAUCCAAAAACACAAAUAGAGGAUGAUCAAAUUGACAUCUUAUUUUAACAAAAUCUCUCUCUUAUCUGGUAAGAAAUGAAUUUGUGCAAAAAAAAUUGUAUGGAAUUGUCCUAGUGAUCAUGAUGUACAACACUUGAGGAUUCAGGAAAUAUUGACAGGAUCUAUGACUUUCUUACUGGUCUCCACUCUUAGUUAAGAAAGAUCAUGGUGUACUUUCUUUGAAACGUUUGAUGUUGUACAAGGAUGUAUACUGAGCCAGAGACCUAUUCCCUCUUUUAUGGAAGUUUGUUUUGAAGUCCUUUUUGAGGAGGAUCGUGAAAGUGCCAUGAGUAGUCUUCCAAGCCUUGCUAUUGAUUUCACUGCCUUCAAUGAAGAUCCCUGUUUAUGAUAGUGAAAAUAAUAGUGGAAAAUCGAGCUCGUUUGUGAAAACUACAAGAAAUAGUGGAAUACAAAGAAGUAUAGUGUUGGAAAUUGCAUGGUUGUUCCUCAAAAGGUAAGAGGAAAUCUUCCAUUGACAAACAAAACACAGGACGAGCCUAUGUGAGUAAGACUGCUAGUUAGACCACUCUUACAACUAUUGUUCAGUCAGGUAUACCUCAGUCCUUUAGUCUCAUUAGUACUAAUGGUUGGUGCCACAAAUCAUUUAACCGAUUCCUCUGAACAUUUUGUGUCUUGUAUUCUUUCUGCUGGAAAUGAUAAAAUAAGAAUUGCUCGUGGCUUCUUUUCUCUCAUUGCCAAGAAAGGACAAUCUUCUCCUUUUGUUGGAUUAUCAUUACACAAUGUGUCGCAUUGUCACAUGAACUCCCAGAUCACUUACUCUCGAUCGUCCAAGGAGACGGCGUGGUGUCAACUGAUAUUGUUCCCUCUUGAACGACAAUAGCUAACCCUUAAUUUCUAACCCUUAAAUCAUUUGUAAGUAAAACGAUUUAAUAAUCUCAACAAUUUUAAUAAAAUAUUUAAUAACCAAAUAUUCAUGAAAACCUUAAAACAACCCACACUUUUUUCUAACUUUAGCAAAGUGACUCAGUUUAUCUUAACAAAUUUUUUUCGCAAUUAAAUUCUAAUUUGCUUGCCAAUAGUAAGUCUAGCACUCUGAGUUGCGCAAUCUGUAUCUGGAAGGAAAGAAAACAUUUUGAAAUGGUAAGUCAAAAUACUUAGUGAGUAUACAUUGAUUUUAAUUUUGUGAGUAUACAUUUCGAAAAUUAUUCUCUUACUGAGUAUGCAUUUGGAAGUGGUAAGUCAACUAUUUAUGAAAAUAAUUAUUUCUCUUACUAUCUAUACAUUGAUUUUCAUCUAUAUCACAAAAUUAUUUAUCUUUAUCAACAAGAACCUUGUCACUUGAAUUUUCAAGUUUGGCAUUGAACUCAAUGUGUGUAUCAGCGUGACAACAUCCUAGCAUACUUCUUUCAACUAAUAAAUCGAUGGUGUACUUUCUUUGGGACACUGAGAUACCUUCUCUAGAUCUACCAACAUCAUCCUUAGUUGUCUUAAAGACUUAUUAUCCUACAUCCUACUGGACCUGACAACAUCAUCCUUAGUUGUCUUAAAGACUUAUUAUUAGAGUGGAAGUUCUCCCUUAAAAACAACCACGAGUCCUUUCAACAUGCUUUUUCCUCACUCACAUGCAUUCUAAGGAAAUUCCCAGGAGGUCACCCAACAUAGAAGAGCUCCAAGUUAAGCACACUUAACUUUGAAGUUCCUUUGAUCGAGCUACCAAAGCAGGAGGUUCGUCAUAUUGGUAUAGGUAGUAACAUUUUAAUUCUUUUAAAUCUUUCUUAAGAUUACUUUAAUGUUCUCAAGAUCCCUCUCAUACAUAUGUGAUAUCAUUUCAUUCAUGUCCCUCUCUUAAACUCGGGGCAUUACAUUCUCCAAGUUCUUUCCAAAAACCAACACGAGUUUUUUUAGCAUGUUUUGUCCUUAUUCACAUACAUACUAAGAAAAUUUCCAAGAGGUCACAUAACAUAGAAUUACUUCAAGCUAAACACACUUAAAUUUAAAAUUCCUAUGAUUGAGUUACCGAAAAGGCGUUGGAUCGGUAUGGCAACCCUAGAGGGGGGUGAAUAGGGUUUAAAUAAACUUUUUGACAAAUAAAAAGUAAAAUCAACUAAUUAGAUAUUUUCUAAAAUUUAAAUAAAGAACUUUGUAAACUUUGUUAAAUAACAAGAUUGAUAAAAAGAUAUGAAUGGAAGUAUGCAAUCAAACUCAACCAAUAAGAAUAUGUAACUAAAAUUAAAUUAAAAAAUAAUUAGAAAAGAGUUAGAGAAGAAGACACCGUAAUUUUAUAGUGGUUCGGUUAAACUCAACCUACAUCCACUUUCCCAAGCACCUCUUGGGAUUUUGAUUGAAAAUCUUCUUUGGACUCUUUCCACGGAUUUGAGCCGAACCGAUUCUUGCUCCUUUUUCGGGUUCAAGAGCAAACCCGAUCCUUUCCACGGGUUAGGAUCCAACCGUUACAAUAUGUUGAAGUUUUUAAAUCACACAAAAGAAAACUCUCUAAAAGAGUGAGUAUACAAUUUGAAGCUCACAAAUUUAAUCCUCAUAAUACAAUAAGAAGCUCUCAAGAAUAAGAUGAAAAGAAUAAAAAUUGGAAGCUUUAGAGAGAAUAACAAUGUUGGCUUUUUGCACUUUUUGAGGAUUGUAAAGAUGUUUUUGAUCUUGUGUAAAUGUGAAGUAUUUAAAAAGAGGAAAGAUAAAUUCAAAAUCAUUUGGGUCAUUAGAUAUAAGUAAAAGAAAAAUGAAUGGUUGAGAUUUAAACUUAAUUAGCCUUAGAUACAAUACAAAUAAUAAUAUAAUAAUAUGUCUUUUCAAAAUACUUGGUUUAAAAAGAAAUGAAUAAAGCAACUUCACCAUCUUUUAAAAAACUAGCCGUUAGACACAAGAAAAAAAUAAUAAUAUUAAAAUCAUUUUCUUUUUAAAUUCAUUUUCUUUAUAAAAGCCAAUAAAACAUAACAAAAAGCCACAUUUGUUACUCCUUCAUUGCUCCAAGUGGCUUUCUCUAAUUGGUUCAAAUUGAAUGCUUGGUCGCCACGUCACCAUCUCGGGUAUUUUUCCGUUAAGCUUCUUUUAGCAAUAUUUUCUUCAUUUGAACUUCGAUUUGGGUGAUUCAAGAGGCGUUAGAAUCAUUUUUCCAAGCUCUACGAUAUGGUCUAUUCAAAUUAAUAAAAUUGUCAAUAAAAAAAAUCAGAUUUGUUAUCAUCAAAACAUAAAUUAAUUGAAUAAUUAAAAUAAAUUAAUUUGAGAUUAAGGGCCAAAAAGCCAACAAAAGGGAGGUGCACCUUGUUGGUAUAGUUAGUAACUUUUUAAUUCUUUCUUAACCUUACUUUCAUGUCCUGAAGAUCCAUCUCAUCCAAAUGUGAUAUCGGUUCAUUUAUGUCCCUCUCCUAAACUUGUAUCGUUGCAUGCUCCAAGUUCUCCCCACAAAUAAACACGUGUCUUUUCAGCAUGUUUUGUCCUCACUCACAUACAUUUUAAGAGGUGGUUGUUGGUAUAGGUAGUAACUUUUGAAUUCUUUUAAGUCUUUCUUAACCUUACUUUCAUGUUGUCAAGAUCUCUCUCACCAGAUGUGAUAUCAAUUCAUUCAUGUUCUUUUCCUAAACAAAGGGUGUUACAUGCCACCAGCUUUCGCUUGGUUUGUCUCUGAACCACAUCUUACUGGGAGAGGUUCCACUCUGAUACCAUCUGUAACGCCCCAAGCAUAGGAUUCGCCCCAGAAUACAAAAUUCGGAUCCUUCACAUCCUCUACAUCCCUUGCAACUUGGCAACAUCAUCCUUACUUGUCUUAAAGGCUUAUCAAAGUUAAAGUUCUCCCCACAAACAAACAUGAGCCCUUCCAGCAUGCUUUUUUCUCACUCAUAUGCAUUCUAGAAAAAUUCACAAGAGAUCAUCCAACAUAGAAUUGAUCCAAGCUAAUGACGCUUAACUUUGGAGUUCCUAUGAUCAGACCAUCAAAAAGGAAGCAACACCUUGUUGGUAUAGGUAGUAACUUUUGAAAUCUUUGAAGUCUUUCAUAACCUUACUUUAAUGUCCUCAAGAUCCCUCUCAUUCAGAUGUUAUAUCGAUUCAUUCAUGUCCCCAUUAAAACUCGGAACACAUUAAGGCAAGGUGGAUACUCUAGGAUAUUGUACUAGAGUUAAGACUAAUAUUGAAAGCCCUAAAUUGUGGUGAAGGAUUCUUGUAUGACAUAAUUAGAGAUGGAGUGCUUUGUACAAGACCUAGUACCUUCCCUCAAUGCAAUAGGAAGAUCAAGAGAUGGAUCAUACUCACUAGUAUUUUCUGAAUGGUCUGACUUAGUUUCAUUUUCAAUAUGUUCAACAACAUCCUUAUUCUCAUCAAUCUUUUUCUCUCUACCUCCCGACCCAAUCAAUAGUGGUCUACUCACUCAUAUCUUUAGGAACAAUUAUAUCAUAAUAGUCAUUCUCAUUUGCCUUAUUAUUGGUAUAUGAGUCAGUUGAAUCAAUCAUACCUUGAUCUCUUAUUGGUUCAGAAUCCUAGAGUGGAGUUGUUUGAACAAUAGAACACUCAACUUCCCUUUUAAAAUUACUCUUAUAAUAUGUUUUCUAGGGAACUUGAUUUAUGGAUAGGAUUGUACUGUGAGGACUAGGGUCAGAUAAAGUAACCACAAUAGGACAAAUAAACUUUAAAGAAAACAUAUAGUUAAACUCUUCAAUCACAGUCUCCCCCUCAAGUACGCUAGUUGUAAAGAAAGGACAAUCCUUACUAAAGAUGACAUUCAUGGUAACAAAGUGCUUACGUGAAGAUGGAUGGAAGCACCUGUAGUCUCGUUGGUGUAGAGGAUACCCAACAAACACACAAACCUGAGUGCGAUGAGUGAAUUUAGUUUGGUUAGGGGCCAUGGCUAUGAACAUAAGUUGUGCAUUCUAACACCUAAAAGGAAACAUCAGGCAUGAGAUUAGUGGAGGAAUAAGAUUCACUAAGACAAUCUAAUGUUGUAUGAAGGUGAAGGACACGAAAAGACAUGUGAUUGAGUAAAUGAGCUGCAGUGACAAUGGCAUUUGUCUUACCUGUCCCAAAAGUCACUUCAUGCGACCAGAUGGAGGCAUGGCGCCUAGACACUCAAUGUGUUUCACACCACGUGAUAAACACUGAAUGCCUAAUAAGCGAAACAACUUCUUAAACCAGUUUCAACGCAGAGCUCCAACCUUGAACGGAAGAGACUUUCUCUGCACAACUUAGGGUAAAUAACUUAAACAAUCAAUUUAACUCUCUUAUGCUUAGGUUUAUCGCCUAGUCUUCAAUACUUAGCUUAACUUAAACUCUUUAACUACUAAGUGAUAAGCACAAUACAAUGCAGUAGAAAUACAUAAUCACAACAUCUUUAUUUACUUCGACCAAUGCUAAUUUACAAUUACAUUUUCCUUUCUUUCUUAGUACAAAGGUCGAUCUUAGACUUGAAUGCCUUCUCCCAAAACUGGGAUGUGGCCCUUUGCGUUCAAGUUGUUUAGGAGUAUAAUUACUCUUCUAUUACAAUAAAAUACAAUAUAGAAGAGCACAACUUACUCAACUUCCACGCAUAGCAACUCAUCUUACCCUUAUUGACUUGGUUUCAAUGUCUGCACCCCUAGAGAAGGGGAAACUCAACACAUAAGUCAAAUAGUUAAGGAGUGAAGCUUUUAGAAAACCUUUUAGAUGAAUACAAUACAAAUACACAAAUUCAUUUUCAUUUCCUAAACACAGACUCACAACGCCUCAUUUCACAAAUCACAUAAAUCUUACAUUAAAUUUUUAUUCCUUUCCACCAAGAAUAUGAAUUGUUCCCUACACCAAGACUACUGGGAUUCACUCUCACCAGCAUCGUGUGUUUACACUAUUGUAAUUUUCACUCUAUACAUAGUGUCCGAUAAUUUUCCUGAUUCAUUUCUUGUUGCACAGGCCAUCCACACAAUGUCUUUAUACAUUAUGUGCACACCAUAUAUAUGCUGCUUACUUGAUAGCAAUAAGGCUAAUGAUUUACUCACACACAAGCAUCACAAUCAACAUAUAGAAAUCAAAAGUUUUCUCUUUUCAAAUAGCAACAUCAAUAUCAACACAAGAAUAUAUAGGUAGAUAUACAUGACAAAUUAUGCAUAACCAUGGACUCAGAAAGAAUACUUUAAACACAUUUAUUUGAGGAAAUCAUUCACAAAAAACUUCUUUUACUUUUGAAGAUCAACUCACAAACUACUGGCUUCCUUUCUUUCAGAGCACCUAGCUCACUUCCUCUUCUUGGCUAGCUUCUUCAGCAAACAACUUAACUUCAGCACCACUUAUUCAACUCCUCCGAAUAAUCACACUUCCUUUAAUCCUUUUGGUCCUAUUUAUACUAACCUUUGGUUUGGUUAAUCACCAUCAAAACUCACUUUAUCCACCAGAUCCUACUUAUAGCUUUACACUUGUCAACUUAUUGCUUGUCGUGUCAAGCAACUAAUCUAAGCUUACCAAGUAGCCAAUUAUCCACUCAAGAUCAGACAUUUCCUUGAGAUGUUAAACCUUGUCUUCUCAAUAAGCUAAACUCUACUUCGCCUUUCUUGCCUUGUGAUAGACUACAAACUCCAUCUUCUUUUUCCUGUGUUAACUUCUUGUUACUAAAACAUAAUGCCUAACUUUCCUUGCAACAAAAUGCCUAACUUUCCUUGCAACAAAAUGCCUACUUCACUACCAUAACACUUAACAUAAACUUUCACCCUUCAUUGCCUUUCUUUAUAAUGCAACUUUUUCAGCUAAACACCUCAUACUUAACCAUAAUAAUCAUUUUAUCAAGCUCUUCUUCAACAAAAUUUUCUUUUUGAAUUUGGGCAAUAUUAGGGAAGGUGCAACAUCCAAAGGGUGAUGGUUCUUUCACUUGACAACUCCAUUUUAUUUGAGGGUGUAAGCAUAGGAACUUUGGUGAAAAAUAUCUUUUGAGGAUAAGAAUUCGUUAAUUAAGAGAAUGGUUUCUAAACUCACGACCACUAUCAGUCCUCAGAAUAUCAAUCUUUGUAUUGAAUUGCAUUUUUGUGGUGUGAUGGAAGUUCCAGAAUGUGGAGGCCACUUCAAUUAUUAGAGAUUAGGAAAACCCAAGUAAGAUGAGUAUAGUCAUCAACAAAGUUCACAAACAAUCGUUUCCCAGAGGAUGUAGUGACCUUGGAUGAUCUCUAAACAUCACUAUGAACAAGAGUAGAAGGUUGAAUUAGCUUAUAAGGUUACAAGAGAAAAGAGACUUGGUGUUGUUUAGCCUAUAUGCACACAUCACAAGAUAAAGAAGAAACAUAAACUUUAGAUAAAACGUGAGAAAAUAAGUAUUUCAUAUAUUUAAAGUUUGUGUGGCCUAAAUGGAAAUGUCACAACAUACACUCUUUUUCACAAGUAGUAAAGUAGGAAGAUAAAGACUUCUAAAAAUGGUACUAUAGGAGGCAUGAUCAUCAAACAAGUAAAGUCCCCUAUGUGUCGAGCAGUGCUUAUCAUCCUCCCCUAGCUCAGAUCGUGAAAAGAUACAAAAUCAGGUGAGAAUGUUAGUUUAAUCACUAGUAAUCUUGUUUAUUGACAAAAGAUUAUGUGGAAUUUGCAGCACAGACAUGUCAAACACCCUCCUAGAUCACCUACUCUCGAUCCAAGAGACGUUGUGAAGUCAACUUAUAGCAUUCCCUCUUAAACGACAACAAUUGACCCUUAACCUCGAACUCUUAAACUAGUUGUAAGCGAAAGCAAAAACAAUCAUAUUUAUAAAAAAAAUGAUAAGUAACCCAUUUAGUAAAACAGUUUAAUAAUUGGUUAAUUUUCAUAAAUAUAACAAAACACCAAAAUAUUUACGACCUGUGUGAAAAUGAAAAGGUUCAUGAUAAUUUCAUAAAUUUUAGGUUUGUCCUUGAAUAAUAUUGAAGAUUUUCACUUCUUUUUCUUCUUCUUCUUUGCGAUUAUUCAUCUCGUCUUCAUUGUAUUACUUCUUUUUCAUUUUACAAUAUUAGGGUUAUUUAUUUAAAUAUUUACCAAUUUCUUCAUUUCCUCUUCCAAAUUUUAUUUCUUCUUCUUCAUUUCUCAUCUUCUUUUUUUCUUCUUGGUACAAGAUCUAAAUUAUAUUAGUACAGGAACUAAAUGAUCGCGUAUCAAUAUAUAAACGAUAAAUUAUCUAUCUCAAAUAGAAAAAGUUAAACCACUAUAGCAAUAGAUCAUUUUGAUUUGAUACAAGAUCGUUAAGACUUGGUACGAGAUUGUUUGGUACGAGAUUGUUUAGACUAGGUAGAAGGGUACAAGAUCAUUUAGACUAUGUAUAAUAAUACAAGAUCGUUUAGAUUUGCUAUGAGAUCGUUUAGACUAGGUAGAAGGGUACAAGAUCACUAGACUUGGUACAAGGGUAUGAGAUCAUUUAAACUUGCUACAAGCUCAUUCAGAUUAGGUAGAAGAGUACGAAAUCAUUUGGACUUGGUACAAGAUCAUUUGGACUUGCUAUAAGAUCGUUUAGACUCGCUACAAGAUUGUUUAGACCACUAGGUAGAAUGGUAGAAGAUAGUUUAGACUUAGUACAAUGGUAGAAGAUCGUUUAGACUUGCUAUGAGAUCAUUUAGACUAGGUAGAAAGGUGCAAGAUCGUUUAAACUUGGUACAAGAGUACACAAUCAUUUAGACUUGCUACGAUAUUGUUUAGACUUUCUACAAGAUCGGUUAGACUUACUAUGAGAUCAAUUAGACUAGGUAUAAAGGUACAAGAUCGUUUAGACUUGGUAAAAUGGAACAAGAUCGUUUAGACUUGCUAUGAGAUCAUUUCUAAAAGAUCGCAGCUAAUAGACCGUUGCUAAGAGACCAUUUAAAUUGUGUAUGGAAUCAUUUAGACAGAGUACAAAAUCAUUUUUCACGCGUGUGUGACUGAUUAAUCGUGGGAGUAUUUUGGUUAUUUCAGGUUGUGGGCUUGUGGACUCUUUUCUUUUUUAAAAUUAUUCUAUACGGUGUAAAUAUUUUCUCACUUUGUUCUAUUUGAAAAACCCCUUUAUAAUUUCAAUAAUUUUAACAAAAACAUUAAUAACUAGAUAUUCAUGAAAACCUUAAAACAAACCAUACUUUCCUCUAACUCUAACUCUAACAAAGUGAUUCAUUUUAUCUUAACAAAUUCUUUUUCACUAUUAAAUUUUGAUAGGCCUGGCAGCAGUAACUCCAGCGCUCUGAGCUGCACAAUUUGUACCUAGAAAGAGAGAAAAUAUUUUGAAAGGGUAAGUCAAAAGACUUAGUGAAUGAUGGUUUUUGAAAGGGUAAGCAAAACUACCCUACGCAUGAUCUAGAGUUAGCAACGGUGAUUUUUGCACUGAAGAUUUGUAGGCACUACUUAUUAGGUGAAAGUUGUCUGCCAACUUUGGACAUCAGCUCUGGAUAUCAUUGUCGGCCCACCACCAGGGUGCCAUUUUCUGCAACUCCAUCGACAAACUUCAGAUCACCAACUUCAACGAUCAUUGCCAACCUUUAAAAAUUAAUAAAAAUGAAUAAAUGAAAGAACUUUUUAUUCUAAGUUAUUUCAUUGUAGUUUAAUCACAAUAAUAUUUUUUUUAAAUCCACUUUUCCAUUCUUUUAUUUUUCCUCUAUCAUCUUCUUAAUAAUUGUUAUCAUUAGAUUAUUUUUGUAAUGAUCUCUUUUCUCAUCUUUGUUUAAAAUUAAUAUUUUUCUUAAUUUUAGAAGAUUUUUUUUUUUAUUUUGUUAAUUAUCUCGCUUUUUUUCCUUUUAUUUCUUUUCGGUUCUUUCACAAAAUCAAUAAAAAAAAAUCAAAAUGAAUGUAUAUUUGUGUUCACACCACACUUUUCAUUUUUUUUGUUGCUUAUUAGUAUGAAUUAUAACAAAAAAAAUGCAAACAAUCCUCAACAUGUCCAUAUAUCUUGGAAUGUAGAGGUGUAAAUCAAAGGGUUCAACAUCCAUAUUUAAUAUCGAAUAGUAUCUCUAAUAUCUUUUAUAAAUGAUUGUAAAGCAUAAAAGUGUAAUAUAUUUAUUCUAAUUUGGUACAAUUUCAUAUAACAUGGUUUUGGAGUAAAAAUAUCAUACCUAUUGAUCUAAAUGAAUUUUAUACAUUUUUGUGAAUUCCACUAGUGUCUAUCAAUAUCAAUAUUUUAUUCGAUAUAUUUUAUUGAUAUAUAUCUACAAAAAUGAAAUUUGAUCAUCAAUAUCGGCACCGAUACUUUUAUCAUUAUUGGUAACACACUACAAGAAAACGAGGCUCUCUCGACGCAUAAAACUUCGUCCGGAUAAGAGACAUCAAGAAACAGGACUUCUGUCGACGCUGUAACUGAUAUAUUGAGUAAGUCAAAUCUCGACCAUCCCUGAUGCCAUACAAAAUAACGUCGAGGAAAGGAAAACAAUUAAAUAAUAAUUUGCUUUUCCCAACGUCAUACAGACAAAUGUUGGUCAUGGCUUCCAUAUUUCCAACGUGAGCCUUUAUGGUGUCGGGAAAAAUAAAAUUAAUUAUUAUUUAAUUAUUUCUCUUUUUAGGACAAUACACAGUCAUACUUACACACAUGAAUAGUCUCAUAUCUCAGGCCCAAGACAAGUAAUUUUUAUUUGGCUUCAUAGAAUGAAGUUGGGAUAAUAGUAUUAACAUUUGAAAUGCUGCUUUUAACAGUUUAAUAACAUGUCAAAGAACUAGUUACUCAAACCGUUGAGAACCUUGACAUGCAUCAAUUUAACCAAAAAUUUUGUUGAGGAAAAUUCUGAACACUCGAGAUAUAGCUCACUACGUGCUUCAUUCAACAACUCUUGAAAUAUGUUUGUUGUCUCUUGUUCUACAACAAUAUUAUUAUACGACAUCUCAUUCUUCCCAACCUUCCUCUAUUUUCUCUUCAUGUUCAAUUGGAUCUUGUAAACAAUUAAGCAUACCCAAGAGUUCAUCUUCUUCAAGAAAAGAGUUACAACUAGCUCCAUCAUCAAAGCUUUUUAUACCUAUAUGCAAGUUCACUGCUGGCUCUCCAUGAUACACACAGUCUGUAUAGAAGGGGAUAUUCCAAUUGUUAAUAGAUGUCGCUCCACACCCUCUACUGAGUCUCAAUUUGAGUUCAUACAUAUCUUGCAUGGACACCUUGUUCAUUCUUAAUCAUCGUCAUAAAAGACAACCUUUAAAAAUUGGGACACUCCCUUUUUUAUACUCAACCGAGAAUUUAUUCCUAAGAUUCAUUUACCCUUGUCCAUCGUUAAAGACCUAAAACAUAAAUAAGCUUGAUUAGUCUUAAACAAAUUCAAAACUAAGUUUGAAUUAAAGAGGCUACCAUAACUGCAGAAUAGUCAUAAAAAAUCAACCUGUUAUCCGAUAUAGCAAAAUAUUAUUGUCUAUUUACGAUAGAUUAGACAUAGGAAGAUAGAUUACUGAUUUAUAAUUUAUGUUAGAAGUUCUGUUAUUGAAAUUAAAAAAAAAAAAAUCUAAUUUUGUUGGUUUAGAUAAAACCUGUUAUGAGAUAUUCUUUUUAUAUAUAAUUAUAUCCCAUUGGAUGAUGCAGACAAAGUAAUAAGAAUACAAAAUAUUCUCUUGAAAUGUGUGUUUUUUAUUACAUCUUUUGGCAUAGAAUUUUUUUUGAUUUGAUAGCUUUGAAAGUUGGAACUCCGUUUUGGACCACCAACUUUCGACAUCUUUUGUUUACUUGAAAUGCUUUAAACAAACUAGGCAAGUAGUUUUAUCCCACAAGGACUUCCAAGCUCCUACUUCUUUUAGCAAUAAAACAAAAAGAAAGUUAGAUGUCUUCCAACUCAUAAAUGGUUCUUUUUCCAAUCAUGUGUGGACGGAAGGAGAUUGAGAGACUAUAAAAACAAAGAUAUUUUAAGAGAAUUAGGAUAGAAUCCCAAAUGUUUGAUAGGACUAAAGUUAGGGUUCCACCAAGCUAGGACAAUGACUAGCUUAAUAAAAUAGAUCUUCUUGCAUACCCAACCAGAUGAAUUCAAAAAAUUAGGUUUUAGCACCUACUUCUACCCUUUUGUAAUAAUGAAAAAAAAAAAAAACUCAAAUGAAUAUGAUACAUUAUUUGAUACAUUAUUGGUACACACUUGAUAGACUCAAAUACAUUACUAAUGUACACGAUACCCAAUACACUACUAAUGUACAUUUGAUACACUACUAACUUCCACUUUGAUAUACUUGAUACUAUUGUGUUAUUAUACAUACAUUUGAUACCGUUUUAAUAGCUACACUUGAUACAUGUGAUAUGUACUUGAUACACAUCUGACACACACUUCAAAUACUUAAUAUUUGAAUAUUAUGUUAAAUGAUUUUGAACUUUUAAUAAAGAAUUGAAAAAUAAAAAUAUACAUUUAUUGUCAAAAUAUAAACCCUAAACACAUACUAUUAUAAUCAAACUAAAAUAAUCUACACUUUAAACACAAACUAUUAUAACCCAACUAUAAUAAUCUAGGACUAAGUAACUUGUUCCUUGUCCCAAACGCCGCAUAAAAAUAUGUUCAGUGUUUUUUUACCCUAAAGUUCAUAAAGAUCAACUUAUUUAAAAAAAAUGGAUAGUUGCAAAUUUAGCAAUUAGAUUCAAAAUAAUUAAGUAUAUAUCGACAUUGAAACAAAAUUGCAAAUAUAGCAAAAUUUGUCAAAUUAUAUCAAUGUUAGAAGUUUAUCAUCGAUACACCAUGUUGCAAAUAUUGGUUUAUCAUAUGAGUCUAUUAGCAAUACAAGUCUAUCAGCGAUAGUUUUUGCUAUAUUUGAUUUUUUUUAAAAAAUGUCGUUAUAACCUGAAUUAUUAUUUAUAAAAUUCCUAAAAUGGCUAUCAAUUACAAUUACCUUUAAAAAAUGUUAUACUAACUUUUUUUGACAUAUUUACAUAGCUACCAUUAAGUUAAAAGCUUCAAUAUUUUGUAAUUUUCAACAUUUAUGUCUAUAAAUUUGGAUAUCUUUAAGUAUAUCAUAUGUAUAAGUAUGUAUCAAGGUGUAUCAGGAGUACUACCAGUAUGAAGUCUAUAUCGGAUGUAUAAGCGUAGUCCCAAUCACUUACAUUUUUGUUCAGUUUUUCUUUUUCUAUUGUCAUUUAGACUUAUGCUUGCUAUUUAUAUGUAACUUACUCAGGUUUUACAAAAUUUUAAAAUUCAAGGCAAAUGAAAUUUACCAAGUCUAAGAAUUAAUAUAUAUAUAUACAACUGACAAAUAUAGAUGUAAAAACUUGACAACUAUUAUUAUAUUAUAUAUACGAGUGUUCGUAACUGGGCUUAAGACCCAAACAGAUACUGAAUUAGAAAUUUAAAAAGGAAAAACAAAAAAGCUAAAUUAAAUAAAUGAAAUAGAAAAUAGUCGCAUCUUUUCUUCAGUAAGUGUUUUUGUUUUUCUUUCAGAGAUGGAUAGAAGCUAUUGAAUACACAUUUAAUUGGUGGUAGGCACAAUUUUGUUGUGGAACACCCCUGCGUUAAAAAUAAAUUUGACAUGACUUUUAAUAUGAAUUGUUUAAGUCGAUCCAUCGUGGUCUCCAAAGUCAUUCUCAACAACGCAUAAGAAAUAAUAUAUAUACUUAUAUUUUGAUAGCUUGGAGUUAUUGCAACUUCAGUUUAGACCGCAGAGUUUUUCCAUCUUCUGCUUUCCUUUUCCUUUAUUCGGGACGAUUAAAAGAUUCUCAAUGAUUCUCUCUUUUUCAUUGUGUGGAGGGGAGGGAGAUUGGGAGUCCAUUUGACAAUGCUUAUAUAAUAAUGUUGGCGUUGGGGAAUAUAACAAUAUUAGAGAAUCAUUUGAUAAACAUUUUGUAAAUGAUCCAAAUCAUUCAAAACAAAUGUAGAUUAACAAAGGCUCGUUACUAUGGACAUGCUGCAUCUGUUGACAUAUAAAGAAUUAUUGAUGUUUAAUAGUUGUUAACUUAAUUAACACUACCAUUAUUGACCUUCUAAACUGUACUUUUAUUGAAAUUUCUCUUUAAGACAAGUUGCACAAAAAUCAUUUAAGCCAAAAACUAAUAGAAUAUACAGCACGACCAUAAAAUGAUGGUUAAUUUUCAUAAAUAUAAUAAACAGUAAAAAUUUACUAUCUCUAUAACAAAAUAAAAAAACUCAUUAACCUGGCCAUUGUUUUUAAGUUAUUUCAGAUUUGCUCUUCCUUUUCAGUGUCUUUCUUUUCUUCAUCUUUUGCGAUUUUUUUUCUUUUCUUCAUCUUUUCCGAUUUUUUUUCUUUCCAUCAUCCUUCUUCUCUUUUUCUGCCAUUUUUCUAUAGGGAACGAUCAAAAAUAGCAAAUUUGACAAAAUAUUUACAAUAUAUAGCAAAAUUUUCAGAUUUGAUCAAUAAUAGUGGCAUUGAUAGCCAAUGAUAGAAAUCUAUUCGUGACUAUUAUCGAUAGAAUCCAAAAUUUUGCUAUAGCUUGCAAAUAUAUUAUUUUAUUUUGCUAUUUUUAAAAAGACUCAUUUUUCUUUCUUUUUCUACCAUUUUUCUUUUAUUCUUUUCUUCAAACGGUUAUUUGGUUCAAGAUCGUGUACCAAAUAUAAAAUAUAUAUUUGUUUUUAUUUUUUUUCAAACUGUUGGUUGUUCAAGAUCGUCUAUCAACUAUAAAAGAUCUUGAAAAAACGUCAUUUAGAUUUGGCUGUCAAAUCUAAACAAUCGUAUAAAAAAAUAACCAAAUCUAAAUGAUCGUAUAAGAAAAUAGUCAAAUCUAAACUAUCGUGUACCAAAUAAUCUUAAAAAAUCGUUUAGAUUUGGAUAGCCAAAUUUAAACGAUCAUAUUCCAAAUAAAAACGAUCUUGUACCAAAUCUAAAUGAUUGUGUAGGAAAAAAUAGUCAAAUAGUUUUCCAAAUAUAUUACGCAACAUGGAUGUCAAUUAAUCACGUGACAUUUUUUAUUAUGGAUCUGUGGGCUUUUUUCAUUUUUGAAAUUGUUUUAUAGAGUUUAAAUAUUUUAGCGCUUUGUUAUAUUUUUUAAAAGACCCCUAAAAUAAUUGCAUAUAUAGUGUAAAAAUUUGUAAAAGACUAAAAAGCCCACACCCAACUACCAUUUUAUUGGCUUCUUCCCGAUUUCUCAAAAUUGAAAGUCAUCAAUUAUAGCAUUCAUCACCAAUAGUUGUCAUCAAUGAUGGAUGUUGUGUAACGACCCAACUUUUCUAACUAAGUCGAAGUCAUUAAUUUUUGACAAAAGACAUUAGUUGAUACAAAAUGAAAUGUAAGACAUUUGAAAAACAUACAAUCAAGGAAAAACAACUUUAAGUCAGGCAUGUAAAAACCCGACUUUUCUAACUAAGCCAAAAUCGUUAAGUUAACACAAAGACUUGAGUUUACACAAAGUACCAAAUUUAAUUAAAUUUAAAAUCUCAAGAAAACAAAAUUUAUUUUUGUUUGAGCCCAGUUUAAAAUAACCAAAACUUUCAAGAAAAUAAAACUAAUAAAUUUCUACUCAUUGAAUAGAGUUAAAUCUCAAAUUUUCUAAACAGUCUUUAAGUACGAAAACAAAACAAUACGGUAAAUCACUAAGCGGAAGCGAAUUUAAAGUGUCCCCUAUGACGAUCACGCUUCCUUCCUGCCCCUCGUCGGUUUGCCGUCUUUGUUACUUUUGCCUGAAAAAUUAAACAUAAAGGGGUGAGUAUUAGAAUACUCAGUAAGGGACCCACUACUGGUCCCGUUAGGGAAAAAUAAACUAUUAGCUCCCUAUGGAAAACCCUGCACAGUCACAAUCUUGUGAUCCCGAAGGAUUCACACAAUCAGUCUAACGCCCCAUAGGACGCAUAAUCAAUCUAGUGUUCUACAGAAACACAUAUCAGUCUAAUUCUCCCGAAGGAGAUAUAAUAAUUGGUGAUCCUGUGGGACACCUACAAGGCACGUCUUGACAGUCAUUAUAACCCCAUUCCAUUACUUCAACAUAUAUAGUUUUCUCACUUAACAUUCUAGUUGUCAACCAAUCUCACUUUAGCCCAAAGACCGUUGGUAACGUUGUAAUACACCAGUCGAUCAAACUACAAAGUCCUAACACCCCUCAGUUUACCAGUACAAGCCACAGUUUAGCAUAACCCACACCCAAACAAAUUAAAUUCUCAAAUUCACAUCCAAAAUUUUAGACAACAAUCUACCAAUAUCAUCAUGUCUACAUCCACACCUACAUAUUUAGUUCCAGACAACCUUCAUAUGCAUUCAACAUCACGUCUACGUCAAUUUAAAUAUAUACAAUAUUUCCAGUCACUCAACAUCCAUGUGUAUAUAUACAUAUCCAGUCAGUCACAUUCAUGCACUCAAUACCAAAUCCACAUCAAUCCAUACAUAAAUAUAUAUGUUUUUCCCCGUUAAACACAACUUACACAAAACAAUGAGUCCAUACCCAAGUGUAUAUAUCAUAACCAUCAUCUCUGCUAACUUCCGAUUUAACCAUACGGUCCAACAUAACUCAAAACUCCAGGUGAGUCCAGUAAAAAUUCCCUUACCUUAAAGUUAGUUAAACUCCUUAACCACGUUGAGGUCUACAAAGAACGAACCUAAACAUUAAGACAAUUUCUCAAUAAAUCUCUCCAACUCAUCAAUCAUUUAAAUGGAACCGUAUGUGAUUUUUUUUACAACUUACCCAAAUUUUCACGAAACAGAGUUCCAACUAAAAUCAAAUGUUACCUUCAACCUAUGAUCGAACAGUAAACAAUUUAUCCAACCAAUUAAUCCAGCAAUAUUACUUGAGUUUAUUUUGGAAACAACUACAAAUUUCAUAACUUCAAUCUUACCAACCAAAAUUUGAUGACUCGUGGCAAAGCAGGAACGAUAGCGAACAACCCAAUCGAAUGGCGUGGGUUUGCUACCUGUGACAGGAUGAAGAAGGAACUCAACGCGCAGAAAGUUGGAUCUGGGGUCUUUAGUUCGGUUCACGGCAGCUUCACGGUAGCGGACGAAAACCUAGCGGCGCAGGGUAGCGGACGAACAGAACCGCGACGACGGCCUUGGUGAAGCGUCUGCGGACGGUCAGACACACGCCAGUCACGCGGCGGCUUCGCGAAUGAAGACAGAGAUGGCGGCCGGCGGACGUCCCUGUUCGCUGGAACGGAAUGCGGCGGGAAUGGGCGCGGCGGUUUAAGGCGGUUGCUGGCUGAAGGGAGGAGGAAAAACUGAAGAAAAGAAAAGAGAAAAGAAGAAAGAAAGAAAAAAAAAAAAGAACGGGGGUGGGGGUUGCGGCGCGCGGGAGGAGGAAGAAGAAAAGAAAUUUUUUAUUUUUUAUUUCCUUUUUCUUUAUUUAAUAUAAUGAUUAAUAAUUAUAAUAAUAUUAUUAAAUAUAUAUUAUUAUUAUCUUAACAUUUCAAAUCCCUUUCUCCCUUAACAUCUUUUCUAAAUAAAUAUAUAUAUAAAAUAAGGUACCUUAGAGUUCAAGAUGUUACAUGUUAUUACUGAUAUAACCUUCAAUUUAAGAAAUGUGUGAUCAUUUGUUAUCAACGGUAACAAUUAUCACUGAUAACUUUUAUCAAUGAUAGCAAAAAUAAUUUUAAAAGAAAUUGCCAUUUGUAUAUCCCACCUCUUAUGCAAAAGUUAUAUCUAAACAACAAGUUAUCUAUUUCAAACCUACUUUUUUACAUUACUAGCCACUAUCACUAUCAUACAUAUUUCCAAACUACCUUCUCUUAGCCCAAUAGACGGUGUGAAGCCAACAAAUACCAUUUUUCUCUCAACAGUUCUUGUUGAUUAUCCACAAAAUUAAACUAACAACUUCACCUUUAAACUAACAUCUGAAUACAUAUUUUUAUACAUGAAAUCAAACUUUCUAUAGCUGUAGUGCAACCCAUACUAUGAACAAUUAAGUUCUAACAAAUCUUAUAUAGACAAUAAUAUAUACAUCAAACAUAGGAUAAACUCUAUACAACGCCCAUAAACUCACUCUAAGUGUAUCUAUAUAUACAAACAACAUUCAUGUUAUAGAUACAGGACAUACUGAAAUGGAACUAAAACUCUUUAGCAGGUGAACAGCAGUAAGUAAGACUUAAGGUCCAUAAUCUCCACAUGGAAAGUGAUAAAACAUUUUAGAAAGCAUGAGCUAAAGCUCAUUAAAUGGCUAGUUCUAAUACAAAGCAUGCUUUUUAAGCAACAAAACAGGGAAAUCUUAACAAAAAUCUUUAGGCCCAGGAUUUGGAAUUCAAAUAUCCAACAUUCUCUGGCAUCUCCUGUGACUUGGCAACAUCAUCCCUACAUGUCCUAAAGGCUUAUUAGAGCGAAAAUUCUCCCCACAAACCAACACGAGUCCUUUCACCAUGUUUUUUCUUCACAUCUUAGGAAAAUUCCUAAGAAGUCCCUCAAUAUAGAAUUGUUCUAUGCUAAGCAUGCUUAACUUUAGAGUUCAUAUGAUUGAGCCACCGAAAAGGAAGGUGCACCUUGGUAGUAUAAGUAGUAACAUUUAAUUCUUUUAAGUAUUUGUUAACAUUAUUUUCAUAUCCUCAUUUCAUGUCCUCAGGAUCCAUCUCAUUCAAAUGUGAUACCGGUUCAUUCAUGUCUCCCUCCUAAACUCAGGGCAUGUAUCACUCACAUGCAUCAUAUGAAAAUUUUUCAGGAGGUCACCCAACAUAGAAUUGCUCCAAGCUAAGCACAUUGAACUUUGAAACUCCUAUGAUUAAGCCACCAAAAAGAAAGAUGCACCUGUUGGAAUUUAUGUCAUAAAACUCAUAGAUAAUAAAUAUAAUUCAUUGAUCGUUAUUUAUUAAUAAAAUGCUAUUAUUAUAAUUUCAAUAAUUGUUUGAUUAUUUUAUUAGUUUUGUCUUAAUAACCCAAAUUCAAUAAACUAACAUCCUAAGUUGUCUUAUGAGUCUUGAACAAUAUGUAGAGUCAUACAGGAAUCAAUGUUUGAGAUCAGCUUAAAGGGUUUAUAAUAUAGAGAUAACGUUUGGUACCUUAUCCUUGUAACACUAUGGAUACGAUUCACUUUGUAUUUGAUACAAACGCAAUUAUAAAAUGCGUUCGUGUAGGUGACAUGCAAGUGAGGGUAUCCUAUGUAAUGAGUUUGCAUAAGUCCGAACCACGAAAUAGUAACUACUAGAUGUAACUUCAUUAACUAGUUAGGGUUGGUUUUAUUUCAUUAGGAUGACCUAGGUAACUUAGUCUUAAUCCUAAGUAUAUUAUGAACUUCUGCUUGUGAAGGAUUGUUCUUUAAUUUUUACUAGUGUGAGUGGUCAGAUUGCCAACUCAAUAUGCUUAUCAUUUUGGCGACAAGAUCGAGUGGGGAGUUGGAAACAAAAUUACACAAGAUGGAAAUAACUAACUCCUUCCCGACAUUAGGGUAAGUAGAAAAGUAUUCCUUUAACUGGUGUCUCCGAGACUUAAACAAAUAGCCUAAGGACUAGAAGUAACCCAGGGGUAAAAUGGUAAUUUGACUAGCUGGUGCUAUGAACACUCGUGAAUGGCUAACUUAGUAAAAAAUUUCAAAAUCAGUCAUAGAAAUAAUCUUUUAAUAAAGAGAUGUAUUUUUUUAAACAUUAAUUUAAAUAUUUUUUUCUUGAGAUCAAAUAUUGAAUUUCAAAAAAUGUGAUCCCUGACCUUAAGAAUUCUAGGAAAUCGAUGUAACUAUUAAGGUAAUUUUAAAUUUUUAUGUUGAAUUUUAGGUGUUAUUUGAUAAUUUGUUUGAAUCGGUGGAAGUUAAGUAUUCUUUUAAAGGAUAUUUCAUUAAUUUUGAGAUUUGGAAAUGUUGAUUUUAAUAUAUUGGUUUUGUUAGAGAUUAUGACUUUGGUAAGAUUAAGGUUUUGGUGAAUUAUAAUUGUGUUUUAAGUAGAUUAUGAAAGAUUUAUGAUAAUCAUAUUUAUUGGAAAAAAAUUAAGUGUUGUUCGGGAAGAUAAAAGGAAAUUGGAUUUGAUGGUUGAUUAAUGAAGAAAGAGAGAAGGAAUUAAUUGGAAUAGGAAGUGAGAAGAAAAAAAGGGAAAAUUGCAUAUUGAGAUGGAUUAUUCAUUUGAAAAGGGAAAGUUUUUAUUGGGAAGGGAAAAAAAGGAGAAAGAGAAAUAUUAAUAAUAUUAUUAUUAUUAUAUUAAGAUCCCUCUUCAACUUCGUGCAUCAUCUUCUUCCCCAUCUCCUCCCUUCAACCCUCGUCGCCCCCAAGAUCUCUACCAUCCCCAUCUUCGUCAACCUUGCUUCAUCUACAACCACACAUCACCACUCAGGUACAGACGAAGCCAUCGAUCAUCUCACGCCUAGCCAAAACGUUCGUGGCGCGUCCACCUAAGGUUGCCCGAGUCGAAGAUUUUCCCGUCGUGCCUCCGUUUCUUCCUCUGUCACACUCCACCGCAAGCCGCCAACGAUGACUCGUCGCUUGCCACACGCUUCACAAGUCGCACGCCUAUCUAUUUCGUCCUAGUCUGAGUCGCAUUCCUUUUCAUUGAGCCGUGUGAGCCGCGAUCUUCUCUUGCACGAGUCGUCUCUGUUUUUCCAAACCACAUGCAUGUUUCAUCCUCCAUGAGCCGUGCGCCCGAGUUGUACCCUAUUUUGGAGUCACUUUUGAUGAGUUUUGCUUAGUUUUUUAUUGGGUUUGGUACCUCCAUUAAUUACUUAUUUUGUCCCAAAAUGAGUUAAGCUAUGGAUUUAAAUUGAUUUAUAUUUGCUUAAAGGUUCAAGUGUAAUUUGAAGAAUUGAGGCUGUAAAUUUUUUUAUUUAAGGUUGUGUUGGAUUCAACCUUAAUCUUCGGGUAAGUUUGGAUAAGUUUGGUAGUCUAAUUAAACAGUAGGUGAUAAUAGUUGACAAAAUUAUUAACUUUAAUGUUUUUCAUGUUUAGGACCGAAUAUUGGGAGGGUCAACCAAGGAGUUAUUAAUUUAGCAAAUCUCAAGGUAAGAAAUUUUCCUAUUAGACCCCACUUUGAAGCUGCAUGUAUGUUCUGUAUGACUCAGUUGUGUAGCUAAGGGAGAUGGAAUAUGACUAUUUGAGAUGACCUUAUAAAUGGUCACUUCGGUGCAUGUAUGUUCUGUAUGACUCAGUUGUGUAGCUAAGGGAGAUAGAAUAUGACUAUUUGAGAUGACCUUAUAAAUAGUCACUUCGGUAACCAUAUUAUGAUUGAGAUACAAUAUGAUUGGAGCAUGGAAUGAGAUUAAAUAUGCUAUGUUUGAGUUAUGUCUGACUGAGUUAUGAUAUUGAGGUUAUAAUAUAUAUGUAUAGGCUAUAGUUUUCGGUUAGGUCUACCGCCUAUGUGGCUAGUUUUGAUGUGUGAUUCAACGGGAUUACUUACCGCCCGACUCUCCUUUAGGAUGAUUCCUUCGGGUUCAUCGAGAGCCUAGAUGUGUCCCUAUGGGACCACUGGAUAGUGUGUAUUCGGGAGCACAAUAGUAUGCGGUACUUUAUUACAAGAUUCUAAUGGGAGGUUAACAGACACAUAACAGGACUAAUAGUAUACAAAGGUAGAGAUAAAGGCAAGUUGGCGAAUGACAACAAGUGACCGUGGUUCACCAUAGGGGAUAGUUCAGUUUUCUUCCGCAUUUAGAUUCUAGUAAUUAUAUUUUCAGAAAUUUAUUUUGUAACUCAUGAUUAUAUUUUUAGUAUUUCUUUUAUUUUCUUAUAGGCCCAAACUAGCAUUUUAAUUGGUUAUUUUUUUAAUUUAUUUUAUCCUUUCUUUAUAUACAAUUUCUUUAUUAUUAACUGAAUAUUUAAAACAUUUCUUAAAAUUUUAGUAUUUUAUUUUAUUUUAAAAAAAUAAAAAUUCUAUAUUUAUUUAAGUGGUAAUCACUUCAACUUAAUAGGAAAGUUGGAUCUUUACAAUCAGACUCCCAAAUUUUCUCGAUUUCUUCCUAGGAUUUUAUUAAGAAAAACGAUAUAAAUUAUUAGAAAAGAUUUAUUGAAAAAUAUUAGGAAAUCAUAGAUUAAAUUUUGAACGUUUGAAAAACCAUUAAAAAAACUAUAACUUUAAAGACAAAUUUUAUUUUAUUUUAUUUGAAAAAAAAGAGUUUUGUAAAAGAUUUGAAAACUUAUAAAAAAUUAAAUUGGAAGGAUUUUAAAAUAUCGAAAAUUUUAAUUAGAAAGAUUCAUUAGAAGAAAUAUGACCAUUGAUGUCAAUUGAAAAAAAUGAAAACGAAUCUUUAAUGUCACUUUUUAAAAUGUGGAUGUUUAUUGUCGAUUUUAAAUGGACAUUAAAAAGAAAGGAUUAAUGUCGGUUUAAAAUUAACAUUUGAAUGCUCGCUUCCUUAAAACUAACAAUAAAGAUAAUAAUUUAAAUUUUUGUUUCUCUCCUCACCUGUUUUCUUAGGGUUUCAUAUAUAUAGUAAUAGAUGGAGAGAGGGUGAUAGGUGUGCCCACAAUAGUCACCAUAAAGAGAUAGACUGUGAGUUUUUUCCCUACAAUUUGUGAGCAUCGUCACCACCAGUUGACAGAGUAUUUGAAGGGAUAAAAGCUCUAGGCGGCAAAAGAUUUUACAGAAUCAUUCCUCAAAUUAAUUUUGAAAUCCCAAAAUACCAAUACAUUGGCAAAAAUAAUGAAGAAACUAAUUUUCUUAUUAAGCAUGCUUUCAUAAAGUAUAAAUUAGAGAAAGAAAAAAUUUCGUAGUUUGACGUCUCUGAAUCUACCAAAUCUCUAAAUUUGGGGGCACCACCCGUCGGAGACCUUCCUAUCAUUUGGGAUGAGAUUGGUUUUAGAGAGAACUAUUUUGAAAAAAAACAAAAUCCACUACUAAAAAACUGACAAUACUUGACGCUUAGAGAGUUGAUAUUCUUAACAGUUUUUAAAAACUGUCAAGUACAAAAAACAUCAAGAAUAACCAAAAGUGAAAAAUGCAUAAUUUUUUAUUUUCAAUACUUAAUAGAUUAAAAGUGUCGAGAGUAAUUAAUUCCGUGACAUUUUUUUAAUGUCAAGUAAUGUGUUUUUUCUUCUCUAAAAACAAAACUUUUUCCUUCUUUUUCUCAAAUUUCUCAUUUUUCUUCAAUUUAUAAAAUGAAAAUUUCCCUCUUUUUCUCCCCCAAAAUUCCAUUUUUCCCCUAAAUUCUAAAAAAGCCCUAAUUCCCCUCCCCCCCUCCCCCAAUUUUUCUCAUCCUUUCUUCCAUCCAUGAUUUCUUCAUCUUCUAUGCAAACUUCACCGAACGAAAACUCCAUCUCCAACUCCAAUUCCAUUGCCGCUCUCAAGUCUUUCCCGUUCUCCCCCACGGUGUCUCUUCGUAGAAUCUCCACUCGCUCUAUUUUUCCCACCCUUCUUACUCUCUCUAUUCUUCUCCCUUUCUUUUUCCUUCAAUUCGCUUUCUUGCUCCUCGAAUCUGUCGUCACUUGUUCUUCUUCUCUCGGUAAUUCUACAAAUUUAAUUUCUCCAUUAAUCUCUCCAUUUACUUCAUUUAUUAACUUCAUUUUCCUUCUUCUUUUUGACAGAUUGCUCUUACUAGUUGGUCAUCUAUUAUAUUAGUGAAUGUGAAUGUUCACUACUACAAAAACAGACUCUCUUGACAUUUGCAGUUUCCCUUUCUUGACGUUUUUUUGAAAAAAAACGUCAAGAAACGUUUUAUUUUUAAUAAAAAAAACGUCAAAAAAUUUUAUGAAACAACUUUCUUGGCGUUUAUUAAACGUCAAGUAAGAUAAAUUUUCCCUUGACAUUUUUAAAACAUCAAGAAAUAUCUAUUAAUUUUUUGACGUUCUUAAAACGUCAAGAAGGUGUAUGAAUUCGACAUGCUUGACGUUUUUUAAACGUCAAUAAUUUAUAUUUUUCCUUGACGUUUUAAAAACGUCAAGAAAUUUAUAAAAAAUUAUUGACGUUUUUUAAAUGUCAAGAUAAUUCUAUAAAAAUUCUUGACGUUUUUAAAAACCUCAAGAAAUUUCUAAAAAAUUAUUUCAUAAAACGACGACGUUCCAUUUAUAAAUCAUUUCCCCUUUUCUAAAACCUAAUCUGUCGUGUGUCUCCCUUCUCCAAAACCUCAAGCAUUCUUUCGUUCAUUCGUCGUUCUUCCUUCACACAUUCACAUGUGUGCAUUUGUUCGUUCACCGUUCACCACCGUUCAUCGUUCACCACCGUUCAUCGUUCACCGUUUACCAUUCACUGUUCACCAUUCGAAACUCGUAGUCACCUUCUCUGUUCGAAAACGCGUGAACACAUUCACCAGCAAACCUCCAUUUGUCUCCAAAUCCUUUGUAAAAGGUAGUAAUUUCCCUUUUUUCCUUUGUGAUUAGAACUUGUAAGCUGUAAUUUAAAAUUGGAAUGUGUUUAUUGCCUUUUUUUUCCUUUGUGAUUAAAACUUAGAAUCUGUAAUUUUAAAUUGGAAUGAAAAACAUACUGUUCAGAAUUAGGGCUUGCUAUUUGUGAAUUUCUCACAUUAGUUUACUAGGUCGUGGCAUUGGAAAUUAAUCAGUUUAUGCUUAAAGUAUUUGAAAGAAAUUUGUAGUACGAGUUUUAGGGAUCAUUUGCUGAAAAACCAUCUUAGGUGUAGGGAUAUUUGUAAUCUCGACUAGGCACAGUCUUGAGUUUUAGGUUAGCCAUUAUAUUUUCUGAGUCGUUCUCUGUUUUUUUUUUUUUCUUAUCUACUUUAUUUGUAUUUGUAGAAGACUUGACUUAGACUAAAUUUUGGGGGUAAGUAGUAUAUUUUGUUUUAUAUUCGUUUUGCAAUUGCCACGAUGUAUGGGUUUGACAUUAUUUUGCAAUUUGGUAGCAAUUUAGGUUAUGGAUAUGUUGAUGUGGCAUACAAAGAUUCGCUUGUAUCCAGAUGAUAAAUAAUCAAAGAAAUUUCUCACAUAUAUAAUUGGGAACCUUAACCAUAUCAAUUAUUAGUGAAUGUUCAUAAGCGACCUACCUUCAUGCACAUGUGUGUAAACAUUAAGUGGUUGAUGAUGAAUUGCCAAUUUUUCUUGGUUGAGUAUGUAAGGGUCUUCAUCGGCCAGCGGCCCAUGGGGCUGAUAAUAGUACUUUCCUCUCACAAAAUAAAUAAUACACAUGAAGUGAUUAGGGAAAUAAGUUUAGAGAUGAGGUUUCAAAGUCAAACUUACUCAACCUAUCUUUUCUUCUUUUAUUCUUUUUUCCCUUUCCACAGUGUUCCAUUAUUGUAGUUUUGUUAUAAUUUUUAAGUGUGUUUUCAUAUCUUUUGUUAAAAAGUAAUUGCAAAAAGUCGGGAAAGUUUAUUAAAGAUUCGGUGUUUUUAAGUUUGUCUUUCCACUUUAAUUAUCAAUAGUGACAAUAACUUUAUUUCUCACUAGAUUUACAAUGAUGGAUAAAUCGUGAAUGCACAAGAGUAUAUUGUCUAAAGAUUAUGAGUUGGGUGUGGAAAACUUCAUCAAAUUUGGAUUUUCUAAUACAACUAGCUCUUAUAUUCGUUGUCCUUGUUUAAAAUGUGGGAAUUGUGAAAAACAUAGUAGAAAGGGUGUUAGAGAUCAUGCUUGUAUGUUAAUGGUAUUGAUGAAAGUUAUAAAAUUUGGUUUUGGCAUGAGGAAGAACUUCCUAACUCAUCCUUCUAUGAAUCUUCAAAGUUUGACAUCCAUACAUGUGAAGAUGAUGAUGUUGGAAGUGUAAAAGAAAUGAUUGAAGUUGCUCAUGAGGAGUAUUCAAAAGACCCAACUGGAUUUGAGAAGUUGCUUAUUGAUGCUGAAAAAAUAUGUACGAAGGAUGCAAAAAGUACACAAAGUUGUCUACUCUAGUCAAAUUGUAUAAUUUAAAAGUUAGGUAUGGAUGGAGUGAUACUAGUUUUUCAGAAUUACUUGAAACUUUGAAGGAAAAUUCUGCCUACUACCAAUGAGCUCCCGAAUUCAUUGUAUGAAGCAAAGAAAACAUUAGGUGCAUUAGGAAUGGAAUACGAAAAGAUUCAUGCAUGCCCGAAUAAUUGUUGUCUCUAUAGAAAAGAAUUUGCUAAUGCAAUUGAAUGUCCUGAAUGUGGUCAAUCAAGGUGGAAAAACGUCAAGGAUACAAAUGAAAGGAGAAAGCAAAUUCCCUCUAAAGUGAUAUGGUACUUUCCAAUCAUUCCACGAUUUAAAAGGCUAUUCAGAAGCAUUGAAUGUGCUGAAAACUUGACGCAUUCUACUGAAAGAAUUAAUGAUGGUAAGUUACGACAUCCAGCAGACUCUCCAGCAUGGAAGUUAGUAGACAUGAAAUGGCCAGACUUCGGUUCUGAACCCAGAAAUCUUCGUUUAGCAUUGUCAGCCGAUGGAGUAAAUCCUCAUGGUGACAUGAGUUCUAAAUACAGUUGUUGGUAGUAGUGAUGGUUAUUUACAAUCUUCCACCAUGGUUGUGUAUGAAAAGAAAGUACAUGAUGCUAUCAAUGCUAAUUUCAGGACCAAAACAACCAGGGAUGACAUAGCAUAUACUUAGCACCACUAAUUGAAGAUUUAAAACUUUUAUGGGAAAGUGUGUUGAAUGUUAUGAUGCUUAUCGAGAAGAACCAUUCAACUUAAGGUCAUUUUGUUGUGGACAAUCAAUGAUUUUCCUGCAUAUGGUAACCUUAGUGGAUGUUGUGUGAAAGGGUAUAAAGCAUGCCCAAUUUGUGGAGAUAAUACAAAUUCUAUAAGGUUAAAGUAUGGGAAGAAAAUGCAUACCUUGGACAUCGUAGAUUUUUGGCACGAAAUCAUCCGUAUCGACGACAAAAGAAGUCAUUCAAUGGUAAAAAAAAUUGAUACAAUUCCAGAGCCACUUUCUGGGGAGGAUGUGUAUUUAAAAUUGAAAGAUCUUGAAUUUUCUAGAGGGAAGAAGAACCAUAAGAAACGGUUGAUGAACAGAAGUGACAAAAUUUGUUGAAUAGAUUAUCUUCUUUUUUUAGUUGCCAUACUGGAAGGAUCUUCAUGUUAGACAUUGUUUAGAUGUGAUGCACAUUGAAAAAAAUGUUUGCAUGAAUAUCUUAGGUACACUUCUUGAUAUUCCUGGGAAAAGUAAGGAUGGAUUGAAUGCUAGACGCGAUUUAGUUGAUCUAAAACUUCGACCAGAGCUUGCCCCUAUCAAUAGUGAAAAGAAAAUAUUCAUUUCUCCCGCAUGUUAUACUCUUACAAAGGAUGAAAAAUGAUGUGUGAAAUAAAGGUUCCCGAAGGUUACUCUUCCAAUAUUAGAAACCUUGUGUCAAUGACAGAUUUAAAACUUAAUAGUUUAAAAUCUCAUGAUUGUCAUGUGCUCAUACAACAGUUGUUUCCCAUUGCGAUAAGAUCAGUGCUACCGAAACAUGUUCGUUAUGCUAUAACUAGGUUGUGCGUCUUUUUCAAUUCUGUAUAACAAGGUAUUAGACGUACAACAACUAGACAAGUUGGAAGAAGAUAUUGUGGUAACAUUGUGUUUGUUUGAAAAGUAUUUUCCCCCUUCAUUCUUCACAAUCAUGAUUCAUCUCACAGUACACAUAGUUAGAGAAGUCAAACUUUGUGGCCCUAUAUAUCUUCGAUGGAUGUAUCCCUUUGAAAGAUUCAUGAAGGUCAUUAAAAACUCUGUGAGGAAUAGAUAUCGUCCAGAAGGUUGUAUUGCUGAAAGUUAUUUAAUAGAAGAAGCUGUUGAAUUUUGUACUGAUUUCUUAUCUGGAGUAGAUCCCAUUGGACUUGGGACUCGCAAGUCACAAGACCAUUUAGAUACUUCAAACAUUGGUAGACCAUUGUCCAUGGGAGUUCCUUUCAAACCUCAACAAGAACUUCUACAUCAAGCUCAUCAAUAUGUUUUGGAAAAUACAGUCGAUGUCCAACCAUAUACAGAGUAAGUUUUUCUUGCUUUCUUGAUUUUAUUUUAUAUACUUAAUCUAACUAUAUUACAAUGUUUGAAUUGAUGACUACAAAGAAAACAUAUGAAGGCUUUGCAACUACAAUAUUGGAAGAAGUCUAGAAAUUAGAAAUGACUUCAAGAGGAACAUAAUCUAACUUUUAUACAUUGGCUAUGGGAAGAGGUAUAGUGUUGAACAUAGUAAUUUAGUUACACAUGUUAUGUGUCCAACUUUAAAUAUGAAUUAUCAUGUUAGGUAUCAACUGACCUUGAAGUUGGAAAUGUUGGAGUUUCAGAUAACUUACGAUGGAUUGCUCAUGGCCCUCAUCCUUUUGUUAUUAGAUAUAGUAAUUAUGCAAUAAAUGGAUAUCGCUAUCACACACAAUCUUGUGAUAAGGAACGAAGUGUACAAAACAGUGGAGUUAGCUUAGUUGCAAAAACAAUGCAAGUGUCUAGUUCUAAAAAUAAAAAUCUGGUCAUUGGAGAUAUGUCAUUUUAUGGAGUGAUACAAGAGAUAUGGGAACUCAAUUAUAAUACGUUUAAUGUUCCUGUGUUUAAAUGUGAUUGGGUUCAAAACUAUGGCGGUGUUCGGUUGAUGAACUUGAUUAUGUUUUAGUUGAUUUGAAUAGAUUAGGACACAAGUCAGAAUCCUUCAUACUAGCAAGCCAAGCAAAACAAAUUUUUUAUGUUGAGGAUCCAAGCGAUGUUAGAUGGUUAGUUGUGCUUACUCCACCACAAAGAGACUUUGAAGAUAGAUAUAACAACGACGAACUUGGUUGUUACAGUACUACAGUGUGAAGGAAUACCUAAUGAUAUGCCAGAUGUCGAUUUAAAUAAUGACUUGGAUGACAACAUCUUAACAUACGUACGAGCAAAUUGUGAAGGCACAUGGAUACCUACAUAAUAUUAUAAGGUUUUGUUUUACUGUUCUCAAACUAAUAGUACCAUAAGUUUAUUAUGCUCAUUCAUCCCAAUUAAUUGAUCAGUUUUUUUUUUUUUUUUAAACUUGUAUACUAUGCUAAUUGUUUCUUGAUUUUGAUUAGCAACCUUUGAUUCAUACAUCACAUUGACAACUUUAUUGAUGAGAAGCUGGUGUUGAUGAGUUGGAACCAAAAUUUGGAAUUGAGGAUGAUGAACAUCUUGGUACUGAAAAUGAAACCCAAAAGCAGAUAUGUAGACCACGAGGACCAACUAUUAUGUUCGAUGUAACCGCAUUAGAAGUUUGGGAGAGAAGAAGGUGGUGAUGUACAAUGAAGACAGAGUACCUAUUGGUGAGAAUGGAGCAAAGUUGAAGUCUUUCAUAGGAUCUGUGACACAUUAUCAUGUCUCGAUCACAUAUACAUCUUGGAAAAGUGUGUCUGUAGUGCUGAAAGAUAAAAUAUUCAGUACGAUUGAGGUAUAUAUAGAAUUUCAAUGUGCUUAUAUUGAUAAUGUUCCUGAUGUACAUUUUAUUAAUCACUUUUAAAUAUUUAGGCUGCAUUCGUCAUUGAUCCAAGAUCUAGGAAAAAUAUUAUCCAAACUGCAGGCAUUUCAUUUCGUCAGUUAAAGUGUUGGCUAACAACGAAAUACAUUAUACUACAUAAGGAUGAACCACAACUCCUACAAGUUCCACCAGAAAAGUAUUCAUUUAUUGAUCAAUAUCGUUAGGCAGAAUUUGUAAGGUCUAGAUUGUGUGAAACUUUUCAGGUAUGUUACUUUCUCACUAACAAAUAUAUUUGUAAGGUCCAGAUUGUGUGUUACUUUCUUACUAACAAUAUUUUUGGAAAAUAGGAAAAAAGACUUCUGCAACAAGAUAGAUGAUCUAAGAACAAGUAUAACCAUAGGAUUUCGAGGAAGGGUUAUGCUAAUCUUAUCGAGGAAAUGGUAAUAAUUAAUUUAUUAAGUUUAUCAAACUUUAUCAAAGGUUGUUCUAAUCUUAUUAUGGAAUUGGAAUGUAGAAAAAGGAAGGUUCAAAUCAAGCGGAUUUGGAUCGAGCCAUCAUGUGGAAGAAGACUCGAGUUAACAAAAAAGGGGAGUAUGACAACGACAAUGUUCAACAAGUCGUCCAUAAAAUUGUAAGACUUUUUGUAGAUUACACAUUUGAACUAACCAUACAUAAGCAUUUCUAUAACUUAGAUUGGUUUUGGUUUUAGGAUGAGAUUUCAAUGAAUACAAAUUCAUCGUCUAAAAAAGGAUAAGCUGGCCAAAUUGUACAUUAAUAAGAUUGUAAGUGCGUAUGGAGCUCCCGUAUCUGUUACGUCUAAUAAUGAUUCCAAGUUUACCCUAAAGUUUUGGCUGAGUUUGCAACAAGUAAUAGGCACUAAUUUACAUUUUAGUACCAGAUUUCAUCCUAUGACAGAUUGUCAAUUAGAAAGAACCGUCAGACCUUGGAAGAUAUGCUUCAAGCUUGUGAUUUUCAGUUCGAAGGUAAUUGGGAUGUUCAUUUGUCAUUAAUGAAAUUUACAUAUAAUAAUAGUUUCCAUUCAAGUGUUGGAAUGGCACCUUAUGAGGCUUUGUAUGGUAGACGUUGGAGAACCCCCAUGUGUUGGGAUGAAGUUGGGGAAAGAAAGUCAGAAAAUGUGAUCAUUAAAAAAAAGUUGAAAACAACACAAGAUUGUCAAAAGAGUUAUACAGAUAAGCGACGGAGAGACUUGAAAUUUGAGGUUGGUGACAAAGUCUUUCUAAAGUUAUCUCCUUGGAAGGGUGUGGUUCAUUAUGGCAGAAAAGACAAGCUGAGUGCAAGAUUAAUUGGACCUUAUGAGAUAUUAGAACGUAUUGGGCUUGCAGCAUACAAUUUGGCAAUGCCUAUGGAACUUUCGAGGAUUUGUGAUGUGUUUCAUGUGCGAUGUAGCGUAAGUACGUUUCAGAUCCAUCUCAUAUUCUUGAAACACAACCAGUUCAUUUGAAAGAGAACUUGUCUUACAAAGAGGAGCGAACACAAAUUCUUGAUAAGAAAUAGUAGGUGCUAAGGAACUAAGUCAUACCGUUAGUUAAAGUUCUUUGGGGGAACUAUAUUUAUGAAGAAGCAAUAUGGGAGACUGAGCAGGCAAUGAAGGCUCAAUACCCACAGCGUUUCACAUCAUCACCAUGAUCGAAUUUCGAGGACGAAAUUCUUAUAAAGGAGGUAGUAACGUGUAAGCCCUCGUAUCUACAUUAAAAUAAUAUAAAUAAAAGACAAAUUCACUCUCCCCUUUCUCUACUCCACCCCACUAAGUCUAUAUAUUUGUAAUUUACCCACUCACUCAAAAACACCAAUACUGAAAAAAACGUCACUAAAGGAAAUAGCUCAACAACAUUCAAGGAACAAAUCAAGUGAAAGAAAACCUUUUCCAAUUCCUUGCCAUAAAUCUACUAAAUAAUGCAAAUUAACUAUAAAAAAUUCAGAAAUCAAUGAAUAGGUAAUGAUAUUUUUACAAAAAUAAUAAAGAAUACUUGUUGUCAUAUAAUCUUAAAAAUUAAUUAUACGCACAGAAGAAGUAUUGAAUAACAUAAUUCAAGGCUUGUUGUGUGACUCAAACAUCCUAUAUCGGGACAAACACAAUCACACAACAUCAUUAGCAUUUCAAUACAUUCAUAAAUAAUAAUAUAUCGUUUAUCUUUUCUUUCCUUCAUACAAUCCUAAAGAGUUUACAACUCUUUUUUUAAAUAUCUCAUUCGUCUUUUGAUAUACGCUCAUCUUGAAAAUCCCCCUCUCCAAAAAAAAAAAAAAAAAGGACAGAUUUCAUUCUCCAAUCUCUCCAUCCAUUUUCACACCCACCCCUAAUAUUUAAUAUUUACAAAGAAUCUUAAAAAAAAAAAAAGAACUUAGCAUGUUUUUCCAAAAUGCCACUGAAACUAGUGGCAUCAUUGAUCAUUAAUCUAUCGAUUGGGAGUGACAGAAACAUCGAUAGAGAGCUCUAACAAGAGAAUAUUAACAUCACCAUGCUAACCUUUUGAGUGGCUAAGAAAAAAUUGAGAUGAAAUUCUUCAAGACUUGAACUUCUCAAUGUACUGUAACCCAACUUCGACUGAAUCUACACGUAAACAUUAAGUCAUCAGAACUUGAAUGUCAUCAACACACAAAAAAAAUUCAUGCUUCUUGUAUUCUACAAGAUACUCUUAUUACUUCAUUGGUUGUCUUCAAACAUUAUCACUUUCAAUAAAAACAACCAAAGUCCAUAAACAGAUUGUAUGUUAUUAUUGGAAAACAAAAUAAUUGAAAACAUAGGACCAUUUUCAAACCAUUAAGCAAUCACUAUAGGACCAACCAUCAAUAAAAACAUAUUUACAAAUAUGUAAAGUAGAUCAGAUACGUCCAAAACUAAAGGACUAAAUGAGUUAACGUCCAGAAAAAAAAAAUCCAGACAUGCAUAUACACACCAAAUGCUUACAAAAUCAAUAUAACAAUCUUCCAAAGUACCCUACCCAGAAUAAUAAUCUCGUGACAAAUAAGUGUCCUUAAGAGGACCAAAUUGCACAAAUAAUCCUCGUAGGUCGUCUGACCUGCAAAAUACAUACCGAUGAAGAAGUUGAUCAACUUAAUAGAGAACAAAACCAAACACAAUCUCCUUUUUCCCUUUUUCUUCCAAAAAAUAAAACGUUUCUUAGAAUUUUCCUAAUUCAAACGAACGAAAAUCAAUUAAAAAUCAACUAAAUGCUUCAUUGAGGCAUUUCAUCAAACACAUUGUAAUCAAACAUAUCGUAAGCAACCAAAAUGCUUCAUCACAUAACCAACCAUAAAGAAAAAAUGUGAUUCACAUUAGAAAAAUGAUCGUAAACAACAAUAUUGAAUAUGAUGAAUAUGAUGGUAGACAAAACAAACACAUAUCUCCUAUAAAAUCAAAACUAUGAGGGAUGUUUUUCAUAAAAAGAACCAUCAAUAUAUCACAUUGACUCAUUCGCAUGGAAUCCAACAUAUAGGAGAUGGGUUAUGAAGCCAUUGGAGAGUAAAUUGCAUUCAACAAACAACCAAAGACAAAGUGGAAUUGGAAAUCAAAAUUUCAUCCAUUUCGCAAUUUGGGAUUUAGGCAAUGAGAAUUCCCAUCAAACAUUAAAAAAUUUGCCCAACCUAUUUUUUAUCCAAAACUUCUCUAAAACCUUUAAUUUAACACAAUUCAAACCUAGGCAUAAUGAAAUUUCAGAUAUUAAAACCUAAUUUUCAGCAAUUUGCAGUGAAUUUCGAAAGGACAGAAUUUUGAUACUUACUGGAAAUUCCCCAAAAUGUAAUUAACAUUUGCUGGACAACACGAUAAAAUCCUUCAAAACCUGAAUCUAAUGUAAAAAUAGGAUGAAGUCGAAAUGGAGCCACGGACGCGUGACGGGAAAAGAAAACCUGAGAGUGAGGGAGAAGACGCCGAUGAGAGGUGGUAGCGGUGCGUUUGGCUGGUCAGCGCUCAGUCGCAGAAGCCACCGACGCUGGCAGUGGAGAGAUUGAGAAAGAUUGCAGUGAGGGGAGGGUUUUCGAAAUUUAGGGGCUUUUUCUUUCUUUCUUUCUUUCUUUCCAUUCUUUUAACUUAAAACAAAUAAAUUUUAUUUUAUUAUUACUAUUUAAUGCAGUUAAAAAAUGUCAUAGAUUUAUGACAUUAAAAAACUGUCAUAAAUUUGGCCAAUCCGAAAAUUUCCAUCUUUUCCCGCCAAAAAUGGGCAUUUUGACAAUUUGUGACAGUUUUUUGUUCUUCUUUUAAUUUGGAUUGUAUACAAAUGUCAUAGAAUGUCAUUUUUCUUGUAGUGCAAUUUGUGGGGUCUAAUUGAAUUUCUUUAACUUCAAAUUUUGCUUCAAUCCUUCUAUUUUAGUAUUUUUAGAAUACUUAAUUUUUGGCAUUGGUGUUAAUUUUGCUUUAUUUUUGUCUUUACACUCUUAAUUAAUUAACUUUUGGCAUUUCGACUUCUUCGCUAUAUAAAGGUUAGUACUUACUUUUAUAUACUCAAGACUCUUUCUUAUUUUAAGUUUUUCCAUUUUAUUUUGAUUUUUAAUUACAUGUUCUUUUGAAAAUUGUUUGUUUAUCUAUUAAUGUUGAGAAUAUCAUAAAAUGUUCUCUACAUUUUUUAUUAUUGAAAUUUUGGGGUUUUUUUUUUUUUUUUUUUUUUUGCUUUUUCACUUUUUCACUUUGUGGGACGAAGAAAAAAGAAGUAAAAAAACUUUUAUUUUAUGUUUUACUUUUAUAUUUAGCAAGAGAAUUUAAUAUUGUAAAAAUACUUUUAGUGGAAAAUAUUUGCGUAUGGAAGGUGUUUGUGAAUAUGCCUGAGAGAUGUGAUGUGGCUUUGUUUUAUACAAUUUGUUUUAAGCAUAUUUUGACUGUUGAACUGGAAAUGGACUUUUAGAAUCCAACCCAUUUGCUUUAAUUGCACAAAUCCCUAGUGGAAGGAUUUGGUUGCAACUCAUGCACUCUAAAUAAUGGUUUGUUAUUAUUGUUAGCCUAUUGGUACAAUUCUAGUGUAAUUAUUAGAAACUUCCUGCCCCGAGUAUGGUAUUUACUGUAACACCCCAAGCUCUAGGGAUUUUAUUUAUUAUAAUUGUAGUUAAUUUGCCUUGUUAUUUAAUGAUUUUAAAAUUUGGGUGUUAUUUUACUAUACUUGGGGUGGAAGAAAAAAAAAAGAAAUAAUAACAAUAAUAUAUAUUUUUUUUAAAAAAAAAAGAAAAUAAAAGAAAAACAAUUUCCUUUUCUUCUUCUCCCGCGCGAGAUCCCCAUUUUCUUCUUCUUCUCCUAUUUCUCUCCCUACCCAGUCGUCUCACAUCUCCCCUCCCAUUUUCGCUCGUCCGCCAACCACUAUCACCGUCCAAAUCUCCUCAUCCCGCCGUCGCCGCUGCACUAUUUGCCUGAAGUCGUCGUCCGUCCAGGAUACAAAGCCGCCGCAUACUGUUUCUGUUUGUGCUGCAUCCCACUGUAUCCUCCAGCCGUCGACCAUCUCCUCUCUCCCUUCUCCUUCAUUUUUCUGGCGCCGCCGUUACCCAAACCCCCAACUGCUCGUCGCGGUUCGUCAGUGCCUCCCUGCUGUCCAGAUCCGCAAUCGCUCGAGCCACUUCAACACACUGUCCGUCAUCUUCUGCUAGUCGCACUGCUCGGAAAUUCGCGUUGCUCAGCUUGCACAAGUCUUCUGCCUCACGUUUUGUGCCGUCGUGACGUCUGCAACCGUUCCACACCGCCACGACUUUCCAUAUUCCAACUGAGGGUUUUGUUCCGCUUUCGUCAACCAUCUGCACCGUCGCGUCUGUUCGUCGGUCGACAGUAAGGUAGCAUCGUGCUUCUUUUUCCAGCCGCGAUUCACAAACCGACGUACACUCUAAUCUGGUUGUACGAUCUUUGUCGUUUAGGUUCGAUCGCCGUUGCCGUUGUUUUGUUGUGAGUUCUCUGAUAAGUGAAAUUGAUGGUUUCUACAUGAUGGAUUGUUAAGAUGAAAUGUCAAAUUAAAUGUUUGGUUAACAUUGUUCUUGAAGGUGUUAGAAGUAACGUUGAGUCCCUUGAAUUCACAACCAACUUGUAAAUUGUUGGAGUUUAGUUCGCUAAUACCUUGGUGUCUUUCAUUGGAUAUAGUUUGUUCGAGAAAUUGAGUUACCUUAAGGUAAGGGACUUUCUACUGGACUCACCUAAAGUUUUUGAGUUGUGUUGGACUGUAUGGAUGAUGAUUAAGAUGUACAUGUUUGGUUGCAGACUAAAUGUCUAGUGUAUGUUGUAUUUGACUGAAAACAUAUAUAUAUAUAUACAUUGAUGUGUGAAUUGAUUUGGAUUGCCGAAAGUAUACAUGUGAAUGACUGAAAUUAUGCUUAUGUGUACAUGAUGAUAUUAAUAGAUUGUGCUGUAUAAAGAUUUGGAUGUGAACUAGUGAAUUUGUUUCGGUUGGAUGUGGAUUAUACUAAACUGUGGUUUGCGCUGGUAAAAAUGAGGGGUGUUGUGACUUUGUGGUUUACUUGACGGAUGUAUUAAAAUGUUAUCAACGACCUUCGAACUUAAGUGAGAUAGGUUGACUGUUAGAAUGUUGAGUGAAAGAACUUUAUAUUUUGAAGUAACUGAAAGAUGUCAUAAAUUACCGUAAAGAUGGUUAGAAUGGAUUGAGGGGAAAAAUUGUUAGUUUUAUUGGGAUGUAUGCCUUGUAGGUGUCCUACGGGAUCACCAAUUUUUAUGCGACCUUCGGAGCAUUAGACUGAUAUGUGUUUCUGCAUAACACUAGACUGAAAUGUACGUCCCUCGGGGCGUUAGACUGAAAUGUGCAUCCUACGGGAUCACAAGACUGCGACUGUACAGGGUGUCCCAAUAGAAUGUUAACAAUUUAUUUUCCCCUGACGGGACCAGUAGAGGGUCUCUUACUGGGUAUUUUUAUACUCAUCCUCCUUAUGUUUAAAUUUUUCAGGCAAAGGUAAUAAAGGCGGCAAACCGGCGAGGGGCAGGAAGGAAGCGUGAUUGCCAUAGGGAAUAUUUUUAUUUUGCUUUCGCUUUAUGUUUUUGACAUUUAAAACAUUGUGAUGUAACUGAGCUUACGAACUAUUUUUUUUUUUUGUAAACAAUACUUUUAAUGUUUUGAAUAUUUGAAAUCGGGCCCGACUUAAAUUUGUUUUUUCUCGAUUAUAUGUUUUUCAAAUGUCUUAUAUUUCAUUUUGUAUCAAUCAAGGUCUUUUGUCAAAAGCUAACGACUUCGACUUAGUUAGAAAAGUUGGGUCAUUACAUUUACUCACUAGCUUUUCAUGGUUGAAUUUUCAGAUCUAUUUGAACUAUCAACCCGAAUUUGUAACUUCAAUGUUGGGGCUUUGGUGAAAGAAAAUGCUAGAACCUAAAUUUGAACUGAACUGUAUGUUUAUUAAUCUCUAAAAAGUUUGGUAGCCUGACCUACAAUAGUUUGACAACGAUUUUAAGGAUUAAGAAAAUGUUGGAGUUUCAAAGGAAGAAAUCAAAAUUUCCAAUAGAAGAAAAUGGGAAAUGGUGAAAUGAACGUGUUGCACUCAAAUCCAAGUUUUAACUAUUUCCAUGUCUUUGCUGCCUUCUCAUAUUUCAAAGGGAGAGAGUUUGUUUCUUGUUUUUGUUUUUUUUUUUUUUUUGUAAAUAUUGAUUUGUUUUAUGCUGAGCAAUUAAGUUGAAAUAGCAUUCAAGUAUGUUAAUUGAAAAAUGUUGAUCAUUAUUAUUUAAUUCUUGUUUUUUGUUUACUAUGAUUGUGGAGUUCUAUUCUCUAUUAUUGUGCAAGGACUACUCUGGUCAGUUACUGUUCUAUACCUUUGCUGAAGACAUGAUACUGGUAAUGGUGACUUGAACAUUUGACUUGAGAAUGAUUACAACACUGCCUCAUGGAAAUCUUCACGUAAGUUCUUCUCUUCAAUAGUUAAAUAUCUUAUAAGAUAAUUAACAUAAAUUGCAUAUUUUCUAAGAUAAGAUGAUAGAUACAUGUCAAAUCUUUCCUUGGUUAUUGAACCUUGGUUAUUGAACACAUGGAUGGCUGGGUAUGGCUGAGAGAUUCCAAGAUAUAAUGAAUACUUUAGUGAGUCAUGUUGGAUUGCCAACAUAAGCCAUUUUUUUCUAGGAUUUUUGGUGACUAAGUUGCAUUUCUGCAGAACGGAGAAUUAUAACCAUACAUAAAAUCUAAUCAUGAACCGGUAAAACUGGUGGUGGAAAUCCAGUUUUUUCAGUUGCAUUUCAAGACACAGAUUUCAACUCAGGAAGAAAAUGGUAUGUAUAAGGGGACAUUUAGUGGCACAUGUGAAUUAAAAGAUGAUGGUGUGGUGGAGGUGGUGGAAUGACCAUCUGUGGUCCACCAACGUCUGAAUCAAGAUGAUGGUGUGGCGGAAGGGGUGGAAUGACCAUUUGAGGUCUGCCAACAUCAGAUUGUGGGUCAACAUGAAGCAACACUGUAAAUACACAAACAAAGAAUUAGAAUACAUGCAUACGUGAUAUAUGUAUACGUAUAUAUAUACAAACGGAAAAUAAUAUUCUUCAAUACGUACCACGACAACGUGACAUUGUGGCUAUGGACAAAAGCGAUAGAAAGAGAAGAUAAAUUGUUUGUGUUUUCUCCAUAUUGGUCACUAGAAAAUGGAGAAUAGAAUAUUAAUCUUGUGGAAAUGGAUGGAGGAACGAAGGGUUUAUAUAAGAUGGUUUUGUUGGCCAAAACAAGAAUUAUAGUUUAAUCAUAAUUGGUACGCAACUCAAGAAAAUUGAAAUUGAUAAAGUUAUACCCAAACAGUUUUAAUGGUCCAUUUUAAUGCCUAAAACUCAACAAUCUUAACUUUCAUCCAAAAACAUCCAAUAUCGUGCUUAAGAGAAUUUAAUUACUACUUAGACAAAUUAAAUGAGAAUAACAAAAAGUAGCUAUCCGUGAAAAAAAUAAUUUCAUAUGCUCGUAUUACCAUAAAUCUUCCAGCAAUAACCUUCUGUAAAAAAAAAAACGAAAUCUUAGUUAAUGAUGGUAGUUAUAACAAUUUAUGUCAAUGGGUAUCAGUGCAUUUUGAGAACUAAAAAGUCCAUGGUCCAAUUCCUUCGUCUCUCCAAUUUGUACUAAAAACAAUUUUAAAAGAAAAAAGUAGAUUUUUGGGAACUUUUAAUCAAAAAAAAAAAAAAAAAAAAAAAAGAAAGAAAGAAAGAGAAAAAAGCAAAAAAAAAAAAAAGAUUGUAAAAGAUUGUAUAAAUUAAUUAGUGAUGGUUGUCUUAAAACCAUCGAAACAAGCAUAACUCAACAAAGAAGUAAGUUUUAUCGCUCGUAGGUCUAUUGAUAUUGAAAAAAUGAAAUUUAUUAACCAAAAUACUAUUGGGAUAUAUUUUAUCUAACUUAAUUAGGUUGUUAUAUAAUUUUAAAUUGUGUUGUUGAAUGAGAAGUGUUUUACUAAUCGAUCGUAAAUUGCCCCAUCAUUUCUUAGACUAGAAGCUAUAUUGCUAAGAAAGUUAGUAAAAGAGGUGAAAUUGAACCAAGGAACGAACUAUAGCUUGAGGGGUGAUGGUGCCUUGAUGAAAUAUGAUAGGUUGUGUGUCCCUAGAAACCAAGGCAUAAAAGAUCAAAUUUUAGAGGAAGCAUAUAGUUCUGCAUAUGAUAUUCAUUCUGGCAGUACAAAGAUGUAUAGAACUUUAAAGAAGCACUAUUGGUGGCUUGGUAUGAAGCGUGAAACUGCAGAAUAUGUAGUUAAGUGUUUAAUCUAUCAACAAGUUAAACCUGAAUGAUAGAUAGCAGCAGAAAUUUUAAACGUACUUCUAGUGCUGAAAUGGAAAUGGAAACAUGUUACCAUGGACUUUUUAUUUGGACUUCCUCGCACAUCGAGUGGGUUUGAUGGCAUUUGGGUGAUAGUUGACAGACUUACAAAGACAACAAGAUUUUGACUAGUGAAGGUCACUUUCACCUUCGAUAAGUUGGCCAAAUUGUAGAUUAGUAAGAUUGUAAGUGCGAAUGGAGCUCCCGUAUCUAUUAUGUCUAAUAGAGAUUCCAAGUUUACCCUAAAGUUUUGUCUGAGUUUGCAACAAGUAAUGGGCACCAAUUUACAUUUCAGUACCAGAUUUCGUCCUCUGAUAUAUUGUCAAUCAUAAAGAACCAAGACCUUGGAAGAUAUGCUUCAAGCUUGUGAUUUUCAGCUCGAAGGUAAUUGGUUUGCUCAUUUGUCAUUAAUGAAAUUUGCAUAUAAUAAUAGUUUCCAUUCAAGUGUUGGAAUGGCACCUUAUGAGGCUUUGUAUGGUAGACGUUGGAGAAUCCCCAUGUAUUGGGAUGAAGUUGGGGAAAGAAAGUCAGAAAAUGUGAUCAGUAGAAAAAAGUUGAAAACAGCACAAGAUUGUCAAAAGAGUUAUACAGAUAAGCGACGGAGAGACUUGAAAUUUGAGGUUGGUGACAAAGUCUUUCUAAAGUUAUCUCCUUGGAAGGGUGUGCUUCAUUCUGGCAGAAAAGACAAGCUGGGUGGAUUUAUUGGACCUUAUGAGAUAUUAGAACGUAUUGGGCUUGCAGCGUACAAUUUGGCAUUGCCUAUGGAACUUUCGAGGAUUUGUGAUGUGUUUCAUGUGCAAUGUAGCGUAAGUACGUUUCAUAUCCAUCUCAUAUUCUUGAAACACAACCAGAUCAUUUGAAAGAGAACUUGUCUUACAAAGAGGAGCCAACACAAUUUCUUGAUAAGAAAGAGCAGGUUCUAAGGAACUAAGUCAUACCGUUAGUUAAAGUUCUUUGGGGGAACCAUAUUUAUGAAGAAGCAACAUGGGAGACUGAGCAGGCAAUGAAGGCUCAAUACCCACAGCAUUUCACAUCAUCACCAUGAUCGAAAUUCGAGGACAAAAUUCUUAAAAAGGAGGUAGCAACUUGUAAAUCCUCGUUCUUUUCUCCUUCUAUUUAUGAAUAUUUUUAAGUUUGAAAAACAAGUUUAAAUGUAAUAGUUAAUAUCUAAAGGUUGAAUUGUUUUAAUAAGGUAAAUUGGUUUUAAUACGAAAGUUUGGAACAAAUUUAGGUUGGUUUAAGGUGUAACACGCCGAACUUUAAAGUAUCUUACUUUAAAAUUAAAUUGUAUUUUUGUUUGAAGUUUUUUUUUUUUAAGAAAAGAAAUUAGGAGAGAAAAGAAUUGGAAAUGUUAUAAUAAUAAAACCAUAUAUUUAUAAUUAUUAUGAUAAUUUUUAAUUAUUAAUAUAAAAAAAGAAAAAUUUAAAUUUCCUCUCUCUCUCGCGUUUUCCCCCCUCCCAUUUAUUUUUUUCUUUCUUUUCUUUUCUUUUUUUUCUUCUCUUCUUUCACCAUGUCUUAACCCCAGCCGCCCCACCCCUCUUCUCUUUUUUUUUUCUUUUGUUCAUCGCUGCCCACCCCUUUCCUUUUUCCUUCUCCCGUUUGCCGCAGCCGCCCACCCCUUUCUUUUUUCAUUCUUUCGUUUGCCGCGGCCGCGAUCAUCUCCCCUCUCCCUUCUCUCUCAUUUUUUUUCUCCUAUGGCGCCGCCGUUACCCAAACCCCCAACUGCUCAUCGCAGUUCAUCUGUGCCUCCUUGCUGUCUAGAUCCGCAACCGCCCGAACCACUUCGUCACACUGUCCGUCGUCUUCUGCUAGUCGCACCGCUCGGAGAUUCGUGUUGCACAGUUUGCACAAGUUUUUUCCUGCACCAGUAGUUCCGCCUGCACCUGUGAUUCCCCCCGUACCAGCCGCUCCACCUGCACCAGCAGUCCCUCCUGCAUAGGGAUUGGCUGCACAGCAGCCACAAAUAGUACCGGACCAGCUUUUUGCUGAGGCGAAACAUUUGAGAGACUUUAGGAAAUAUGACCCUCAGACGUUUGAUGGGUCACUAGAGGAUCCUACCAAAGCUGAAUUGUGGUUGUCCUCUAUGGAAACCAUAUUUAACUACAUGAGGUGUCCUGAGGAGCAUAGGGUUCAGUGUGCUGCUUUUCUUCUGAGGGAUAGAGGUAUCAUCUGGUGGAGGACCACGAUGCGUAUGUUAAGUGGAGAUGUGAGACAAAUCACUUGGAAUUAGUUUAACCUUAGAGACGCUAAAAGUCAGGAAUUCUUAGAAUUGAAGCAAAGACACAUGACAGUUGAUGAGUAUGACGAGGAGUUCGACAUGUUGUCACGCUUUGCCCCUGAGCUUGUUGGAAAUGAGUAGGCCAGAGCUGAGAGGUUUGUUAAGGGAUUGAGGGAUGAGAUUAGAGGCUUUGUGCGAGCACUAAAGCCCACCACUCAGACUGGAGCACUACGUCUGGCAGUGGAUAUGAGUAAUGGGAAGGAUGAGGUUCAUGCAAAGAGUUCUGAUAAGGGAACGUCAUCUGGUCAGAAGAGGAAAGCAGAGUAGAGAUUUGCGGGAGUUCUUCAGAGGAACUUGAGGUCAGGAGACCCUUUUCGCAGCUUCCAACAGAGUCCUGGUGGGGCAGGGGACACUACUAGAGAGAAGCCACUAUGCAACAUGUGUGGGAAGCACCACCUGGGUCAUUGUUUGAUGGGAACGAGAGUUUGCUAUAAGUGCAAGCAAGAGGGACACAUGGCUGAUCGUUGUCCCUUGAGACCUACUGAGGCUGGACAGAGCAGUCAGGGAGUGAGAACUCUACAGCGGGGUACAGUUUUUGCCACCAGUAAAUUAGAGGCAGAGAAGGCUGGCACAGUCGUGACAGGUACGUUACCAGUGUUAGGGCAUUUUACCUUAACCUUGUUUGACUCAGGAUCUUCUCAUUCCUUUAUUUCAUCGUUAUUUGUGACGCAUGCAUGCUUAGAGGUGGAACACUUAGAUUAUGUCUUGUCAGUGUCUACACCGUCUGGAGAAAUUAUGUUGUCUAAGGAAAAGAUUAAAGCAUGUGAAAUUGAGAUAGCUGGUCAUGUGCUGGACGUAACCUUGUUGGUAUUAGAUAUGCGUGACUUUGAUGUAAUUUUAGGUAUGGAUUGGCUAGCUACUAAUCAUGCUAGUAUUGAUUGUUCUCGUAAGAGGUGUGUUCAGUCCCCUACCAAUCUAGCUUUAAAUUCAAGGGGUAGGAACAGUAGUACUGCCUAAAGUAAUCUCAGCUAUGAAAGCUAGUAAACUGCUCAACCAGGGUACCUGGAGUAUUUUGGCAAGUGUGGUGGAUACUAGGGAAGAUGAGACUUCUUUAACUUCAGAACCUGUGGUAAGAGAAUACCAGAUGUGUUUCCAGAAGAUCUUCCAGGACUCGCCACAUAGGAGAUUGAUUUUGCCAUUGAGUUGGAGCCAGACACUACUCCCAUUUCUAGAGCCCCUUAUAGGAUGGCUCCUGCGAGUUGAAAGAACUGAAGGUACAGUUACAGGAGUUGCUUGACAAAGGCUUUAUUCGACCUAGUGUGUCGCCUUGGGGUGCACCAGUAUUGUUUGUGAAGAAGAAGGAUGGGUCGAUGCGUCUUUGCAUUGACUAUAGAGAGUUGAAUAAAGUAACAGUCAAGAACAGAUAUCCUUUACCAGAAUCGAUGAUUUGUUCGAUCAGUUACAGGGAGCCACGGUGUUCUCUAAGAUUGACUUACGGUCAGGUUAUCACCAGUUGAGGAUUAGAGACCGUGAUAUUCCUAAGACUGCUUUUCGUUCGAGGUAUGGACAUUAUGAAUUCAUAGUAAUGUCUUUUGGUUUGACUAAUGCACCUGCUGUAUUUAUGGAUUUGAUGAACAGGGUGUUUAAGGAUUUCUUAGACACUUUUGUGAUAGUCUUCAUUGAUGAUAUUUUGGUUUAUUCCAAGACUGAGGCCGAACAUGAGGAACACUUACAUAAAGUGUUAGAGACUCUUCGAGUCAAUAAACUUUAUGCUAAAUUCUCUAAGUGCGAAUUUUGGUUGAAGCAGGUGGCUUUUCUUGGUCAUGUGGUUUCCAGUGAGGGAGUUUCUGUAGACCCUGCAAAGAUAGAAGCGGUUACCAGUUGGUCUCGACCCUCUACAGUUAGUGAGGUUCGUAGUUUUCUGGGUUUAGCAGGGUACUACCGGAGGUUUGUGGAGGAUUUUUCACGUUUGGCUACUCCCUUGACUCAGUUGACAAGGAAGGGAACUCCGUUUGUUUGGAGUCCAGCUUGUGAGGAUAGUUUUCAGAACCUUAAGCAAAGGUUAGUUACUGCACCGGUCCUUACAGUACCAGAUGGAUCGGAAGUUUUGUGAUUUACAGUGAUGCUUCCAAGAAAGGACUGGGUUGUGUUUUGAUGCAGAAAGGUAAGGUGGUUGCUUAUGCCUCUCGUCAGUUGAAGAGUCACGAGCAGAACUACCCCACACAUGAUUUGGAGUUGGCACAGUGGUUUUUGCAUUGAAGAUAUGGAGACAUUACUUGUACGGUGAAAAGAUACAAAUCUUUACUGACCAUAAGAGCCUGAAGUACUUCUUCACUCAGAAGGAGUUGAAUAUGAGACAGCGAAGGUGGCUCGAGUUGGUAAAAGAUUAUGACUGUGAGAUAUUGUACCAUCCUGGUAAGGCGAAUGUGGUGGCUGAUGCUCUUAGUAGAAAAGUAUCACAUUCGGCAGCACUCAUUACUAGACAGGUACCAUUACAUCGAGACUUGGAGAGAGCUGAGAUUGCAGUAUCUGUGGGGAGAGUCACCUCACAGUUAGCUCAAUUAACGGUGCAACAACUCUGAGGCGGAAGAUUGAUGCUCAGAGUAGUGAUCCUUAUUUGAUGGAGAGACGUCGCCUUGUUGAACAGGCAGACUGAUGAGUUCUCCAUAUCCUCUGAUGGUGGACUAAUGUUAGAGAGAUGUUUGUGUGUGCCAACAAACAGUGCAAUUAAGAUUGACUUACUAGAUGAAGCCCAUAAUUCCCUGUUUUCCAUGCAUCUUGGUAGUACGAAAAUGUAUCAGGAUCUAAAAUGAUUUUAUUAGUGGCGGAAUAUGAAAAGGAAAGUGGCAGAAUUUGUUAGUAAGUGUCUAGUAUGUCAGCAGGUUAAGGCACCUAGACAAAAACCAGCACGUUUGUUACAACCUUUAAGUGUGCCAGAGUGGAAGUGGGAGUAUGUGUCGAUGGAUUUUAUUACAGGGCUGCCUAGAACCCUGAAGGGUUUCACAGUGAUUUGGGUUGUUGUAGACAGGCUUACGAAAUCGGCACAUUUUGUACCAGGGAAAUCCACUUAUACUGCUAGUAAGUGGGCACAGUUGUAUUUAACUGAGAUUGUGAGACUGCAUGGAGUGCCUGUAUCGAUUGUUUCUGACAGGGAUGCACGUUUACUUCCAAGUUUUGGAAGGGACUUCAGACUGCUAUGGGUACGAGAUUAGAUUUCAGUACAGCCUUUCAUCCACAGACUGAUGGUCAAACUGAACGUUUGAACCAAUUUUAGAGGAUAUGCUACGAGCUUGUGUUCUAGAGUUUCCAGGUAGUUGGGACUCUCAUUUACAUUUGAUGGAGUUUGCUUAUAACAACAGUUUCCAUGCUACCAUUGGUAUGGCACCAUUUGAGGCUUUAUAUGGUAAAUGUUGUAGAACCCCUGUUUGUUGGAGUGAGGUUGGUGAACAAA
rnacentral:lncRNA from 1 species